rnacentral:lncRNA from 1 species
AAAGAUAGGUCAGACCUAAACGAGAUAUGGCGUCUUUCACGGCAAAUGAACGACUUCUGUUUCAGUAACUUGAAAACCUUGGUUGUGGAUGGGUGCCAACUUUUAUCAUAUGUAAUCCCCUUCCAUGUGCUUCCUUUGUUACCUCAAUUGCAAACAUUGGAAGUUCGAAACUGUGAUUCUGUUAAAACCAUAUUUGAUGUCAAAUCUUCACAAGAUACAUUCACUUUUCCUAUGAAGAAAUUAGUUUUAUUGAAGCUGCCAAAUCUUGAAACUGAUUGGAAUGAAGAUCCUGCUGAAAUUGUUACAGAGCCUAAUCCAGCUCAUCCAGAACAAACAAAUCCUAAGGUUACAUUCCCCUGUGAUUUGCCCAAGUUCAAGCAUAUUCGUAUACAUUGCAUUCAUGAUCCAACAGCAUAAUAGUACAUAUAUUCUUGUACUUCCAUUGAAAUUAUCAUGCAUCAAAUAUUGCUUAAAUCUCCUACCAAUCAUCGAAAGUCUCUCAUCUCAUUUAUCAAAUUUUUCAUCUAAAAUUUUAAACUCGAAAUUGUUGCAAGUGCAUACGGUAUGGCCUUAUUAACAGCUACCCGGCCUGGCUUGUUCAUCUUUUUUAGAGUUUUUAAAAUAAACGUUUUUUCUUUCAAAUUGACUAGUUCACACCUAUUUUUAUUUUAUAUUGAUUUGUUUAGUUUUUUUUUUACUAAUUAUCAGACUUAUUUUAGCAUAAAAAUUUACGGUUUCAAUUUUAUAUAGAGAGACGAAUAUAUAUGACUGUGCUAACUGCUUUCACUUCGUUAUUGGUUUUUCUUUGUAGAUAAUUACAUCGAACUUAGAACAUCUGACCGUGAGUGAAAAUGAAUUGAAGAUGAUUGUCGAUGGGAAAUUUCAGAGAAACCUUUUAAACAAGCUAAAAGUUCUCGGUCUGUGCUUUGAUAAGAAGUGUGAUGAAUAUCCGGAGAAUGGGUUUCUACAAGAGUUGCCAAAUGUAAUGAAGCUUGUGGUGUGUGGCAGUUCCUUCAAAGUGAUUUUCUGCUAUCAAAGACCGAAUAAUAGUGAAAUGCUUUUACAAUUAAAAGAAUUACGUUUGGAGUCCCUUCAAGAGUUGGUUUCCAUUGGCUUAGAAAACUCAUGGACUGAACCCUUUGUCAGAAAUCUAGAAACCUUUGAAGUCAUUGCGUGUUCCAAUUUAAAAAACUUGGUAACAUGCAGAGUGUCUUUUUCAAAUCUGAUAUGUUUAAAAGUGGAAAAUUGCGAUAACUUGUCAUAUUUGUUCACAUCUUCGACAGCCAAAAGUUUGGCUGAACUUCAAAGAAUGGAAAUAGAAAAGUGUGAAUCAAUUGAAGAAAUAGUGUCUAAUGAAGGGGAGGAAUCAGAUGACGAUGAAAUAAUAUUUCCGAAGCUCAAUUGUCUGAGUCUUAUAGAUAUGAAAAAUCUCCGAAGGUUUUACAAAGGGAGUUUAAGUUUUCCAUUGUUGGAGGAAUUGUCAAUAGGACGACUUGGGUAAAAAUAUAUAUAUAUAACCUUAGGUACGACUUGGGUAAAAAUUCAUCAAAAUAAUAUUCAUAAUAGAAUUAUACUUUUCAUAUAUUUUUAACUACUAAGAGUUGCCUACUGCAAAACUAAAUCACAAAAAAAAAAAAAAAGAUAGAUGGAUUUUGAUUAUUACAAUUUUUUCUAUAACUUCUGAUUCAAACUGGGUCCAUAAUUUGAACUCAAAAUUAUAAUAUUUAUUUACAAAUUUAAUUAAUAUUAUAACGAAAUUUAUGUGAAAAAAAUUAAAAGUACUAUACUAAAAUAUUUCAAAAUAAACAAAAUAUAAAUAAUAAAGAGUUCGUGAUAUAUAUUAUUUGUACUUAAAAAUAAUAAAUAUGAAGAAGAAAAAAAAAGAACAUUGUUUAAAAUAAUUAUAAAUUUUAUUAUUCAUAACAACAAUUUUUAUUUAUUUAUUUACACGCCUCAAAUAUACCGUAACGGUUCAACAAAAAUAUUUAACUUUAUGAUAACUAAAUAAAAUUAUAAAUCUCAAUUCUUAACUUGGUUUUGCAAGUCGUUAGGAGAAGUAAUGUGAAUUACAAAACGAGAUUCAGUAGAAAAUUUCUUUUAAAUAUAGUAAAGUGGAUUUCUUUUCGUAAUAAAAAAUAAUGAUAAAAAUAGUGAGUAUUUCAUAUUUGUAGAGUAAUAAUUUAAAGGAUAUCAUUGACUCUUGUAAAUAAUUAGUUUCAUAUUUUUAUUUAUUGUUUUGCACGUGCAGAGUUCAGAGCUUGAGGAACUUGAUCUAGAAAGUAGGCCAGGACUACAAGAGAUAUGGAAUGGCUCACUACAUAUCCCCAACCUCUGUUUCACUGAGUUGACCAAAUUGACUGUGAAUGACUGUCGAUUUUUGUCAGAUGCAGUGCUGCCCUUCCAUUUACUUCCUUUAUUACCUAGAUUGAAAACAUUGGAAGUUGGAAACUGUGAUUCUGUCAAAACCAUAUUUGAUUUCAAAUGUACAACAAAAGACACAUCAAUUACUUUUCCUCUCAAGAAAUUGGUUUUAUCCAAGUUGCCAAAUCUGGAGGAUGUUUGGAAUGAAGAUCCUCAUAGAAUUUUAUGCAUGCAACAUCUAGAAGAAAUACAUGUCAAGGAAUGUAAAGGCCUUAAAAGUGUGUUUCCCGCAUCAGCAGCCAAAAGUCUUGUGGAACUUGAAGAUCUAAUAGUGGAAGACUGUGAGGGAUUGAUGGCAAUUGUUGCAGAUGAAUCUAAGGAGGGGGAUGAAUUAGAUGAGAAUACGAUAAUGUUUCCUCGGCUCAGUUAUUUGAAGGUAGAAAGUUGCAAUAGUCUGCCAUAUUUGUUCACAUCUUCGACAGCGAAAAGUUUGGCUAAACUAAAAACGAUGAAGAUAAAAGAAUGUAAAGCAAUUGAAGAGGUAGUGUCGAAGGAGGGGAAAGAAUCUGACGAGGACGAAGAAAUAAUAUUUAAGCAGCUCGAGGAUUUGUAUCUUGAAAAGUUAGAUAAGCUACGGUGCUUUUAUUCUGGCAAUUUAACUUUUAGUUUUCCCUCCUUGGAGGAAGUAUAUGUCAUCAAGUGCAACUCUAUGAAAACUUUCAGUGCAGUAAACAAAAUAAAUCAUCCCACAAAAUGGUAUUGUUCAGAAUAUGAGAGACCCCAGAAAGAAACCGAUCUCAAUUCUGCUGUGCUCAAAACUACUGCAAAGGUGGUACCUACACUUUUACGUCUAAAUGUUUCUUUAUAGAGAAUGAUAGAUGAUAUUGUCCAGGAAUUAUAGGUUCCUGUAUAACAAUAUUUUCAGACAUUAUUUUUAGUGUAAUGUGUUUUUUAGUUGCAUCGUGCUUAAAAUUAACUUGCACAUAUUCUUUUGUUUUAAAUAGGCUCCAGAUGCUUCUGGUGCCAUCAUUUCAGUUCUCCAAUAGCACAGAUAGUGAAUAUGGUACAUCAAAUAUUAUCUAAUGCUACUAAAUUGUUACUUUUUUUAUGGUGAGUUAUGAGUUAUACUAUCAUUUUCUCUAUGCAUAUGCAGGUGGUGAUCAAUAAGAAGCAGUUUUUCACAGCAUUACAUGAUGAUUAUGACUGAGUAUGUAAGCAAUUUUUUUUAGUUUAAUUUAAUAUUAUAUUGAUUUCUAUUUAAAUGGAUGUUUUAGUUGAGACUUAUGAUAGAAUGAUAUUCUCUAUAUAUAAUGCUACUUUUACUUCCUUUGUAAUUAAAUUCAUAUUCUUUUCUUAAUAACUUUUAUGAAAGUAUAGUAAUUGUUCUUGUACAUUGUAUAGGUUGAAUCUGAGUUGCCGACUACAAUAUUGCAGUAACUAAGAGGAGAUGGAAGGCAUAAUUAAAGAGUGCAUGAAGAUGAAUCUAUCUCUAUUUUACUAUUUUUGUGUGAUUUUUUUUCAAAAUAAAAAAAAAAAUGUGUUUGUUCUAGCUCGUUGAAGAUGAAAUACAUUAUAUUAUUUAUAUUAUGUAAUGUGGGAUUAAGAAUGAUGAACAGUCAUGAACUGUCACUAAAUAUUGACUGUAAGUGCUUAUGCCGAAAAAAAAAAAGUGUGCUUGUUUUCAUAUGUUGUUAAUUUUAUUUAUAUCUCAGGUUUGAUCAUAAUACUUUAUUGGAGCUGAGCAACACUUAGCCUGCUUUUACUUCGUCAUUGCUUUCUAUCUGUAGCUAAGAACUUAGAAAAUGAAAUGAAGAUAUUACUCUGUGCUUUCAUAUUGAGUUGUAUUUCUGGAAUUUAUGGAACACCUCUUGUGGUGAAAUGUGGAGAACCUUGUGGUGUGUUAUGGUUUCUUGAAGGGACACCUCUUACAGCUGAAAGAAUUACACUUGAAGUCCUUUCGGAAAGGGGUUUUCAUUGGGUGAGAGAACUCUUGAACUGAGUCCUUUGUUAGAAAUCUUUGAAAUCAACUGAAAGGAAUGGAAAUAAAAAGGUGAAAAUGAAUUAAGAGAUAGUCUCGGGGAGGAAGUGAGCAUGAAAAGUUAAUAUUCGUGCAGCUGCAGGUUUUGUAUCAUUGGCUAAGCUGUUUUUAUUGUAUCAAUUUUACUUUAUGUUUUCCUUCGAGGAAGUGUUCCGAAGAUAAUAAAAAUAAUAUUCGAAAGUUAAAUUUACAUAAUUUUUUUAUAUAAAAAAUAUGCAAAGUAAUGAAAUGUACCAAAUAAAAGAAACAAAUUGCUCACACUGUCUUUUACAAGAAAAGAUUUUAGACUUCAUUUCUUCAUCAACCAUUAUGUAGAAAUUUAUUUAUUUUUAUUGUUUCGUUUGUGAGAAUUUUUAAAAGAAAAGUUUGUUUAAAAUAUUUUAUAUGGUAAAAUAUUAAAAAUGCUAAUAUUUUUCUAUAUAAAAUAUUUAAAAUAAUAAAGUUAAGAGUGAAACAAUAAAAUCAUAUCUUAUAUUAUAUAAGAAAGAAAACAUAGUAAAUAUUUUAAGAAAAAUAAGAAUAAAUAUAAAAACGCUUCUAGGACCGUUAAUCAAACAUAAUUUAAAAUUUCAUGUGAUAGAAAAUUAAAUUAAAAUUAAAAUUAAGUAAAUAUGUAAUUUGCAUCCUUGUCCGUUAAUUUAGUCUCAAUCAAUCAAGCUGGGGUUGAAUUUCAAAAUAACAUCUACUGAGUUCUAUUCCUAAACUAAAAAAAGGAUUUCGUCUCUUAAAACUAAUAAAAAAUGAAAGUUUAUGAUGGUUUUAAAAGUUAUAGAAUUCAAUAAUAAUCACAAAAUAAAAAAAAAUUAAAAAAUAGUUAGAGAUCUUUUUAUAAAAUGCUUAAAUUGAGGAAGCAAGUAAUAUUUUCUUACUGAAAAAGUUGACAGUGCAAAGAAUUUCCAAUUUUACGAAAAUUAAAUUGGAUUUUAAAUCAAAGACAAAUUUUAAAUGAAUUGAAGAUGAUUGUGGAUGGAGAAUUUCAGGGUAACUACUUUCCCAAGUUAAAAGUUCUUAUUCUGUGCUAAAUGUAUUUCUAGAAUUUCUACAACUGGUGCCAAAUGUAUAGAAGCUUGUAGUGUACCAUGGUUCCUUUUUGAAGGGGAUCUUCUGCUGUCAAACUUCUAAUAAUGUUGAUGACAGUGGGCACAUCUUGCAGCUGAAAAACUCAUUGAAUUUGUCAUAUCUAUGACAUAUAAUUAAGCAUGCUGCAAAAUUAUUAUAAUUUAUUUAAAUAUUUUAGAAAUAAUAUAUAUAUAUAUAUAUAUAUAUGAGUUUGUUUUUCAGUUGAAUCUAUGUUAUAGGAUGAUAUAGAAAAUGUUGGAAUGAGAGAGAUAAAAGAGGAAGGAUUGAGAAGAAUGAGGGAGGUAAGUAAGAGUUUGGGUUUCUUUUUUCUUUUUUUAGUUGUGAGAAUGAAAAUUAUUUAAAUACCUUGACUUUAAAACUUAGAAUUUUUUCUACUAUUCAUAAUACAUUGUUAAAACGUACCAAUUGAAAAACAGGCGUACCCGGGUUAACAAAUCUCAUAUAUAUAUAUAUAUAUAUAUAUAUAUAUAUAUAUAUAUAUAUAUAUAUAUAUAUAUAUAUUUAUAUAUAUAUAUAUAUAUAUAUUUAUAAUACAAUAUAAUAUAAUGUGUGUGUACCUACGACUUUUUAAACAAUUCUUAAAAAUAAUAGUCAUAAUUUGAUUGUUCUUCCUUUUUUUUUAACUACUAUAUAGGAGUAGCCAACAAGUGUAGUGUAGGUGACACCAAAGAUAUAUCAAUGUAAUUUUAAUCAUUACAAAUUUCUCUAUCUAAUUAAAAUCUACACACUAUUUCUACAAUUUAAAUUUCCAAUUGUAUUGAUUUACAAGUUUAAUUAAAAAUUAUGAUGAAUUUUUUUGAAUAAUGUUGAAUAAAAAAAUAAAAGUAACAAAGGUUUGUGAUGAAGAUAUCUGACAUGGGAGUGAAAUGUUAAAUGUGAUAGGUACUGCUUUCAUGGUAUUCACAAUCAACUGAAUUCUAUUGAUAGCUGGAGAUAGAAUUGUUUUAUUUUUACCAAAAACUCAAUUUUUAUAUAAAAACUAUUCAUGAAGAUCAAAGGAAAAAACAAAAAUGUUUAAAAUAAUAAUAAAUUACAAAUUUUUUGUUCCGAUAACUAAACAAAAUUAUAAAUCUCAAAUCUUAACUUGUUAAGAAGCUCUUGAAGUGAUGUAAUCUAAAAUAGAAAAGGGGAAUCGGUAGAGAAGUUAUUUUAUAGAUAUAGUCAACUGAGUUUUCUUAAUUAAAAAUAAUUCUUAAUAAAAUUAGUAAAUAUUUCAUAUUUCUUAAUUAAAAAUAAUUCUUAAUUAGUGAAUGUUUCAAGGUGACCACAUUGACUGUGUUCAUGUGCAGGUUUUUUUCUACGAAUAAAAAAUAAUAUACAUUUUCUUUCGGGAGAGAAUCUCUAACUAGGAUAUUAUUUUUCUUCCUUGUAAAUAUAAUUCAAUUAAUUAAGAAAGUUCAAUAACACAGGCAUAAAAAAAAAACAAAGGGUAGUUAUUCAUUCUUUGAAUUAUUAUUUUUGUUUUUAGUCUUAUUAUGCAUAAAAUUAACUUCUAUAUAUAUUCCACUAGUGUAGAAAAGAAAUAUGAUAUUGAUUGUUUUUAUAAUCAGUAACGAUUUCGCUACUAAUGCAUAUUAAUAUAAGAUAAAAAAAAAAACUUUUAGUUUUGAUUAUGAAUUAAAACAAAAUGGUUCACAAUUUACUUUGGCAAUAAAAAAAUAAUAUACAUUUUGUUUCGGGAGAGAAUAUGUAAGUCUGAUUUUAUAAUUUUAAAAUUAUAAAAUCAACUCUGAAUUAAAUCAAUUUUAAAAUAAAAAUAUAUUUGGCAUUGGUUGUAGUGAACUAAUAUGCUUUACUUUAAAAUUAAUUUAAAAAUUAGCAUAUAAAAUUUGUUGUAAAAAACUGACAAAAUAGUAUUUUAUGAGACGGUCACUGUCCUUAAGGACUUUCCGCAGUGUGUUGUGCAAGUCCUCAAUAUACAACCAGAACUUCUCAGUUGAGGCUCAGAACUAGCAACGAUUUCUUUAAAGAGUAUAAAAACAAACCCAGAAUAUUUUUAGAAGAGAAAAAGAAUACAAGAAAAUAAGUUUUUAGUGUGUCUUGAAAUGGAGAAAAAAUUUUCUAUUUAUAAAACUAGGGAGGAAUCAAUUAAAUAAAAGAAAUUAAAAAUCAUAAAGAUUUUUAAGGUUGCAGCAAUUAAAAUAAUUUAACAUUAAUGUUUGCCAAUUAAAAAAUAUAAAGGUUGUAAGUUAAGAAAGUUAACGUUGGCAAAUAUUAACGUUGCAAAGCAACGUUUUCAUAUUUUGCAAUAUAUUAUAACAAAAUUUUAGAGUCUACUACACAAUGCAAAUUGAACACACUAAAUAAUUAGCAAUUUAGCAUUAACUUUUACUUGUUAGGAUCUACCUAUGAUCAAAAUGUAUAUUUUCCUACAUAAUCAAGCAAUAUUUUCCUAACUAACACUCUGAUUUAGAAAUUCGCAAUAUCCCUCCAUAAUCAAGGAAACAUACUUUUCGUUGAAUGUUAAUUCUAAAAUAAAUUACAAACCUCAUUUGAGUCCCUUCUUUUUAGAAAAAUCUAAAACCGAUAUAAUAAAAUCAAUUAUAACUAAAAAAUAAAAUUGAUUUAUCUGGACAGUUUUGGAUUUGUUUCUAUACUUUUUACGUGGCUAGGACUUUUUAUUUUAUUUUUGUCUGUGAUUCACUUGUCUAUUACAUGUAGAACAAGUAAUUCUCGUGUAUUAUAUCAGUAAAAAUGUCUAAAUAAUUAUCAAUUUUAACAAUAUUUUAUUGUAUAUAUAAUUAGCCAUAAUCAAAUGAUAAUAUGAAAAAUUUACAUGGUAAGUUUUACCAAUUUUUAACUCACUUUUUCUUUCUUACUCAUAAAGAAGCGGAAUAUGACAAGCGCAACCCAAUUAUUUAUCUUCUCAGAAAUUAAAUUUUUUUAUUUUUCAAUAUAAUUUAUUGAUACAUUAAAUAAUUUUUUAUAAUUUUUAUCGUGCAUAAUAUUCACAAUGUUAUUUUUUUUAGGAUUAAUUUUUUAUAAUAUUUUUAUUGUGCAUAAUAUUCACAUUGUCUGCCACAUUUUACAUAUUGUGUAAGUGGACAUAAAUAUAGACAACUGAAAGUUGUUUACAUUCAUUACAAGACAAUGCUUCAUUGGUGACCCUAAUAACAAAUCAACGGUAAAAGAGUGUCUGUGUCGUGUAGGCCGAAAGCCCAUCCUUCAACCCUCUGGAUACGUUUUGUAUCGCUUGAAAGAUCGACUUUAGUAUGGCAUCUAUUUGAUCAAUGCUUAUAUAAUUUUGUAUUAAUUAAUAAUUAAAGCUAGCCUUGGUAUUAGUUAAUGCUGUAUAUUUAUUUUAAAAAAUUUAUAUUAGAGAUAGUGUUAGUUUAACUGAUAUUAAUUUUAUUUUCUUUUAGAAAAAUUCAUAAUAAAAAAAAUUAUUUUGUAGUAUUGACGUAGCUCAUGAUAUUAUUGUUUUUAUUAAGUUACAUCCAUAUAGAAUAGGUUUGGCUCACUUUUUCAUUAAUAUUUUUAUUGUUUAUUUAUUUUCUCUAUUUAGAACGGAUUAGAAAGAUGCUUAAUUUUGUAAUAUAGGCUUGAUCAACAUGAUGUUUAAUAUUAUUAUUUUUUAUUUGUGUUUGGUUAGAGGGAUCUUGUUAUAAACUCUUUCAUUAAAUUUUUAUUUAUUUAUUUAUUUAUUCUACUUAAAAUCGAUUAGACCAACACUUAUAUUUGUAGUGUAGACUUAAUCUACAUAAUGUUUGAUAUUAUUAAUUCUUAUUAAAUUGUGUCUAUUUAAAGUGGUGACAACUCUUUAAUUAAUAUUUUUAGUUUUUAUUUAUUUUUUGUAUUCAGCGUUUAUAUUAAUAAAAAGUUAUUUUAUAGCGUGAUUUAACUUAUGUUCAAUAUUAUUACUUUUCAUUAAUUUGUAUUCAAUUAAAGUGAGCUAACACACUCUUUCAUUAAUAUUUUUUUUUUUUUAUUUCUUUUACUUAUUUCGGUACCAACAUUUAUAAUAAUAAAAAUUCAUUUUGUAGCACCGAUUUUGACCAGAGCUGUUAAAAUUGAUUAAUUUGCGGGCCAAUCCGAUCCAUCAUGGGUUCGAGUCGGGUUGGGUUUGAAAAAGUUAUAUUUUUUUUUUGUGUGUCAAUUUACUCAUUUAAACUAGGCUUAUUCGGGUUGAACUCGUGGUGGACCGAAUUGACUCACCUACCUAAUUUUAUUUUAUUAAAAUUUAAUUUUAAUUUUAUAAAAAAGUAUUUAUUAUUAUUUUUUGCUUGAAAAAUUAAUUUAAGUUCUCUAUUUUUAAAAUUAAUUAAACACCCCAUAUUGUAUAUAUUCAUUUUGGGAGUGUAAUUUGUUUAGAUUUGAAUUACAAAAAGUUUGUAAUUUUUUUUAUUUAAAAAAAUUGUACUUAAGUGAGUCAAUGAGCCAACCUAUUUAUCCACCAACCUGUGGUAGGUCAAGGCGAGUUCGAAUUUUUCUAACUCGUUAAUAAAUGAGUUGGGUUGGAUUGACUCACUAAGUGAUCAAGUCGGACUUGGUGACCUGCUAUGAUAACACUAGUUUUGACUCAUACAAUAUCUAAUAUUUUUUUUUUAUUUGAUUAAUUUGCACUCAUUUAGAGUGGAUUUGAUCCACUUAAUUCUUUAUAUAUUUAAGUUUGUAUUGAGUUAGAGUUGGUUUGAGGGAGUUAGAGGUGAUAUUUAAUGAUAAUUAAUAUCCAAUACUGUUGUACUGAGUGUUGAAUUUGAUGAAGUAUUACAACUUUAACAUAAGUUUAAAAUCGGUUGGUAUUCAUAAUAUUACAAAUAUAAAAUUUUCUUGAAGUAGCCACAUUUUGCAUAAUGCCUAAAAACAUUAACUUGUAAGUUUCCUAGACCUACGCAGUGAAAUGAGAAGAGUAUUAAGUUAAAAUUACUAUGCAAUAGUGACGGAAGCUAACAUUGCAUUUCACGGGGGACAAAAAAAAAAUAGAGAAAAUACAUACUCGUUGAAUAUUAGACGAUAUAAAUUAAAAUUGUCGUCUAUAACUAUAUAGACAAUGAUUUCUGUUUUUUUUUUCGAACUUUGGAUGACCGAGUAUAUAGAGAAAUCAUCUCCUAUAGAGCAAUAGAUGAUGAUUUUAAGUUAACCGCUUUCUAAUCUUUCUCAAUAAUUUAAAGAUUAUGACUCCUUCGUAAUAAAUAACAUUUUUAAGAAGAUUACCGUCUGUUUUCAUAUAUAUAUAUAUAUAUAUAUAUAUAUAUAUAUAUAUAUAUAUAUAUAGAGAGAGAGAGAGAGAGAGAGAGAGAGAGAGAGAGAUAUAGAUAUAUAUGAGUAAAAUGUAAUAAUUUUGUAUUUAUUUUAAUUAUUGAUAUAUAUUUUAUGGAACACUACCUUUUACCAUAUUAUCAUGUUAUAAUGAAAUGUCUGUUGUUGUUGGUUUUCUUUUUUCAUGUUAAUUAGUGUUUGAAGGAGUGGGUUGGUUAAUGUAUGAUGCAAUAACAAGGAUUUUAGAAUAAAUUAGACGUUUAAUGAUUGAUUACUUUGUUGAGUGGGUGGAAUGUGCACCAAUAUUUUAAAACGACUUGGGAAGUGUUGUAAUGAGUCAUAAAAUAAAGUGAACAGAAGAUCCUGAUAGAUAUCUAUCUAAUCUUUAUGGACUACAUGUUUUUAUAUAAUCCAAAAGAUAUUCUCUCCGCGUUACCUUUCACAUGUAAUAAAAUAUAAACAAUGACAGUAAUGAUUACAAAUUUAAAGCAUUAUUUGUUGGCUUUUAGAGACUAUAGCAUGUGAACACUAAAAGUGUUGUGUAAUACGUGAUAUUACCGGCCUUUGCCAAAUACCUUUUCUUUUCUUUUGAUAUAUUUUAAAGUGAAGGGACUGAUUGGAGGAAGAAGGAUAUUGAAGUAUUUAUUUUAUUUUCGGAUCAUGAUAUUUUGAUAACUUUUUUAAUAAUAUUUUGAUAACAAGGUAUGUGUCAUCACUUUAUUGGUCUAUUUGAAUUUAUGUUUAAAAAAAUAUUUGAAAUGGACCAAUCACAAGUUGUUACGUAUGUGUUGUUAAAAAACUGUCAAAAAAAGUGUUGUUAAAAGAACUUUUUCCUUUAUUUUCUUCUGUUUUGACUGUUCUUUCAAGCUUUGUUAAGAGUCUCUCGCUGCUUUAGUUGUCGUCAUGGUGUGGUAAAGUAAACUCUCAUGAAAACAUGAUGCUCUCUAUUUGAACUUCAGGUUUUCUAUGUCUUAUUAUACUAAAAAAAAUUGAAAUUAUUGACGGACAUAAUCCAUCGAAAACAAUCAAAUUAUGUCUGUAAUUUAUAUUUUCUGACAAUUUACCGACAAUCAAAGAUUUGUCGGUAAUUUACAAUCGGUAACCAUUAUCGACGAAUAUUGAUUGUCAGUAAUUACUGACGAACAUAUUCUUUGAUAAUUACCAACAAACGAGCCUUUCGGUAAUUAUCGACGAUCGUCGGUAUGUCUAUCGGUAAGGUCGUGAGAAAGUCCCAUGGAAUUUGUAUUGUUUGACUACCCCACAUUCACAUAAUUAGACUUGCACAAAACAAUAAUAUGUAAUCCAUAUCCAGACAAUCAGAACUAUAAAGACUACAUUAAACCCUACAUAUGAGAAACAUCUUUGGUACAAAUUUUUCAUAUAUUGAUUCAGUAUAAGCAUAUAAACCUAUGUCUUGUUUAGUAUCAAUUUGAAUAUCCUUAACAUUGGACUCUCCACUACACCCACUCAAUUUGGACUGAUUUAUUCCAUUGAUUUCGACUAUUCACUCCACAACUACCUUCUUGACUUCAAGAUCCUUUUUAGCCAAGUCAACAACAUCCUUAUGAAGAGAACACCAUUAACCAUUUUUAUAGAACAUCAGACCUUGAGCUAUCUACUAAAGUUUAGAGCAAGAAGAAGAAAGAGGAGAAUGAGGAUUAAGAAUUUUAGAACCCUGUGUGUUUGUGUUUACAUUUUUAUUCUUUAGUUUAAUGCAGUUUCAAUUUUAGGCUAGUUUAGUAUCAUUUAAAAGUUGUUUACAUAGUUACCUAGCAUUUUCAAUUACUAUGAGUAGUUUUCAAUUUAGGCAUUUUUAGCCUAUUCUAGUUGCUCAUUUUAGUUUCUAGGUAGUCAUAUUUUGAGUUUUAUGUAGUUUUUGUAGUUUGAGUUGUUUCUUAGCUAGAAUUUACCAUUUUAAACUUGUUGGCAUAGUUUAUUUACAGUUUCUUAGGAUAGUUUAGUACAAUUUUCAAUUUUGACCUCUUAAGAAGAGUUUUUGAGGUUUUGUUAAUAGAUUUUGUCUCUAUUUUUGACUCAAUUUUCCAGAUUUAUACAUUUCCAAUUUUGCUAGCUAAGCUUUUAAAUAGAUAGGGUAUCUAGUUGAAAAGUUUUUCCUUAGCACUUAUUGGUCUUGUUUGACCCUUUUAUUCUGAAUUAUAGUUCAUUGAAAACCUUUGGCCUAUAAAACCUUGUCUAGACCUUGUCAUAGAGCUGUGGGGUGAAUUAGGUCAUGCAAUGGACCACUGUUGAGUUCAAGUGUGGGGAUGUCAUUGACAAGAGAGUUGACCAAUGGUUGGUUUGCAAUUGAGCUUCAAAUGUUAUAGCAAUUGUGGGAGAAGCUAGAGAGAGAUUAAAAUACACUUGUGCUGAACUUAAAAGAGAUUAGAAAAGACUAAAAGCCUCUAGCUUUCAUUUGCAGUUACUUAAUUUUGUUUAGAUACAUUUUUGUAGUCAAGUCUUAUUUGCGUAGUUUUAAUUCUUGUGUUUAGUAAUACAAGAUGGUACAUAUGUUGAGGUUUUAGAGGUACAUUUGUCAUAGGAGAAGCUUUCAAGAUGAGUUUACCAUGAUAAAAAAGUUUCAAAAGUUACCAUAAUGGACUUUCACAUAGGAAUUGAUUUUGGAGGCUUAAGUGGAGUGUCAUGGUAUAGUUGGACUUGUUACUUCCUAUAACAGGUCAAGGAGCUUAAAGAGGCACAAGGGAUAACAAGGAGCUUAAGUGGAGUGUCAUGAUCUAGUUGGACUAGUUGGAUUUGAUUUUGCUUUGUGUGCUUGAGUGAUUUUAGGUUACAUGAUGUAUCUGAUGGCAGUGAUGACAUCAUCUACUAAUGGAUGCUAGGAGGACUCAGAUAACAACAUUUACUGAUGAAUGUUGUUAUGAUGAAGAUGACGAAUGAAAACAUCUAUUGAUGGAUGUUGCCAUGAUAAGGAUGAAGAAUAAUAGCAUCUACUAAAGGAUGAUAUGUGAUUAAGCAUCUAUUGAUGGAUUCUAUGUGAUUAGACAUCUAUUGAUGGAUGUCAUUGACAACAUUUACUGAUGGAUGCUGAUGAAGAUGAGAAAGAUUAACAUCUACUAAUGGGUGCUAAUGAGAAAGAUUCGCAUCUACUGAUGGAUGCUAGAAGAUUCAGAGAUAGCAUCUACUGGCGAAUGCUAUAAUAUCAGGAUUUUUUUUAUUUUUAUGCUUGUUUGAAUUUCGUUUAUUUUGUUUUUAAUAAGCUAUGUACUUGGUUGAAAGAAUAACUCUACAAUAGUUUAUGAACUAUUUUGUGAUGAGUAAUAUUGUCUUUUGUUGCUCUAUGGUUUUAAAAUGCAUGGUUGAGUUAAUGAUUGAAUUAGCUAUUAAGCACAAAUAGUGGUUGCUCAUAAUUGUUUAAAACAGAUGCAUGGUUUCAAUUGUGAUUGAUAUGCUUGGCAAGAUAUAUAUUAAAUUGUGGAACUUGAGUUAACCUGUGAGAGGUUGGGCUCCAGAGUUUUAUUGUUGAAUGCUAUUGCUUUGGAAUCAUAGUUGAUUAUGCCUAAGUUUUUCUGUUGAACUAUUUGCUUGGAUGUGUCAUAUGAUCAAGGCCAUUUGUUCUUCUGCCAUAUAAGCCAAUGCAAUUUUUGAACCCAACAAAAGAACAAUGUUUGUUCUAUCCUUUGAACCUUAAGCCUAAAUUUGUGAAAAAACCCUUUUUGAAAUCUUUACCUUGAGUUGAGUUGAGUAGAUUUGUAUGGUAUGGAGAAAGGUUCAAGUUUGGGGUUGUUGAUGAAAUUUGAAGAAGAAUUGUGAAAAUAACAAUAAAAAGAGCAUUGAGCUAAGUGUUGAACAAAAUUGAAAAAGAAAAGAAAUGAAGAAAAAAAAGGAAAAGCUCAAUGAAUGAAAAGUUGGGAGUAAGAUGAGAAUGGUUUCUCAAAUAUAAAGGAGAAAGAGAGAUUAUGGUUAAUGUGAAAGGAUUUUUUUUACUCUCUUAACUCAAGGAAUUUUGUUGUCCAGAAAAACCAAUUUUCAGCCCAACCACGUUACAAGCCUUAGAAAGUCCUUAUGAUGAUAACUUGCUUGGGAAUGUGUUUUAAUGUGUUUAAAUGAAUGGAAAAUUUGAUCUAUGUGACAUUGUGAUAAUAGAGUGAAAGAGACACUGACACCUCACUAUACACCUUUGAGUUUGAGUGAAACACUUUUGAGUGCUUAAGUGAAAUACUUUUGAGUGCUUGAGUGAAAUACUAUCUUUGGUGAGGAAUGGUUCCAUGUAUUACAAGUUAACAUUCUGCUUGGUUGUUGAUCACUCAUCUUUUUGCAUAUGUUGUGUAUUCAUUGUUAUGUAGGCACCAUAAUUGAAGCUUAAUUGGCUAAGACAUCAUUAUUUCUUGACUUAUCUUUCUAUGAUGAGCAUACAUGAGUGAUUUACUUGUCUUAGAGAAAAAUGCUUUCUAAUGUACUAGACCAUUGUAGUAUAUAUAUUUUAUGUAAGCCAAGUUACAUUUUGCUUGAGCGCAAGCAAAGUUUCAAGUUUGGGGUUGUGAUAACGGUUGAAUAUACUAUUAUCAGUGAUUCAAUUUUGAUACUAAAUGCACCCUUCUUGACUUAGAAACUUGCUUUAACUCAUGUUUUUGCUUUAAUUUUUUGAAUAAGAGAAUUGAGGUUAUACUUAAUGAUUUUAUUACUAAAUUCCCUUAACUUUGUAGGUUAAUAGAGUGAUUUGGAAGAGGAGUCAAAGUAUGAAGGAGUCGAAACUCAAGGAGCGAGCAUAACUACAGAAAAAGAGAAAAAAAUAUGCAGUGCUGAAAAAGUUGUCCAAGCUGAGCACCCCUUUUAGGGGGGUUGAGUGCCAGAAGUUGCUGUCCAAAGCUUGGGCGCUCUUUUAGGAGCGCUAAGCACCAGAAUUUGCACCACAGCACGCCUGGGUGCCCUGAGCGCCAGUACUCGCUAUUUCACGCCUGGGCACUAAGCAUCGACGACGUGGGCUUGGACUUGUUUUCUGUUAUUUUUAUGAUCUAUUUAAAACCCAAAUGUCCUAAGGUUUGUAUCUUUUGAUGGUUUGAGCACAAAAACACGUUUUUCACCCCUUUAGGGACAAAUUUGGGGAUGUGACAACUCUCCUCUUCUCUUUCUAGGAUUUUUCUAUUUCUUCCAUUCCAUUGUACACCUAUUUUCUUCAUGAUGAUGGAGAACUAAUCUCAUUUGUUAUUGGGAAAGAUGUAACCUCUAACUCUCUUGUAUUUGAAUUGAUUCUUGUUAUUAAUAUAUGCUUCUUUCAUUAAUUGUUAGGGCAAUUCUUCUUCGCUCAAUACUUGCUUUGUUUAACUCAUUCAUUAGCAUGAUGUAUGAUUUGCAUGAGUAUCGAAAGGUAUCUUACAAUUCAGGUUUUUGAGAAUUAUUCCCAGAAGCAGUAUUGCUCAAGAAUGGGGGUAUGAGUUCUGGUUGUAUUAAGCUACUAAUCGUAAUGCAUAAUUAAUUGUUAGGGAUGCAAGGAAUUGAGACCUACUAAUUAAGGAUAGGUUUUCUUUGCCGAAGAAUUGGGUUUUAAGUACUUUAGAUAGUGACAUUGACAUUAAUGAAGAAGAUGAAUUCGUACAUGCACGAAAGUAAUUAAGUGAAAUCUAAACUCCAACAACCUAUUCAUUCCAUAUUAUCAACUUCAUCCAUUCAUUCUAGUGUUUAGUUUCAAUUAUUCAAAUUGCAUUCAUGUUUAUUUUUCUGCACUUUACAUUCAAAACUCCCAAAAUAUUGCUUUCAAUCUUAAUUAGUUAAGCAAAAGCACAACUGUUUAGUGCCAUGAGUUUCUUGGGAAACGAUACUUGGUCUUACAAUUUUAUAUUACUUGAUACGAUUUGUUAUACUUGCCAAUUCAUUGACAAGUUUUUGACUCCGUUAUCAAGAAUUAAAAAUUUUGUUUAACAAUGAGAAAGUUAUUUUUGGAUGUAAAUUACUUUUGAAUGAAGGACAUAAAUAAAUAAGUUGUUUAAAAAAAUAUACACAUAUGUUGUGGUGGUGCUUUUAGAUUUUAAGAAUUUAAAGUAAUGUAGGUUAUGCAAUCUAGCUCAUGGUUGGCCCCCACAUAUUACUAAAUAUGCGAAACAAGCAAGCAAAUUAAAAUACUCCGCUCAUAUGCAUUCUGAUUGGCCCGUGUGGCCAAUCCGAAUUAUCUCUAUCAUUGAAGAAAGAAAUGGCUUUUGCUGCAUAGUAACACAAGGUUUGAAGCAAUUUUUUUUUCUUCAAUACAUCUACAAGAUCAUAAAUCUUAAAAUCUCCUUAGUGGAAGAAAUCAUUCCGCUUUUGCACCGACCUACCAAUGACAGUUAAAUAUGUUAACAUAAUUAUAAUUACAUGGGUGGGUGGUUAUUAUCAUGUUGCAUACUUUUGAUGAAUCUCACCAUUUCCUGUAUGAUCACAUAAAAAAAUGUUUCAUUUCGUCGGAAUGUCAGAUUGUUAAAACUUUUUUUUUUCAGUGGGAAAUUAUUACAUUUGUUCACAACUGUGAUGAAUUUAAAUUACUCAUUGGGAAUUGAGAAAGUUGAAGAAACUGUUAUAGAUUUGUCAAUAACUUAUUUUAAUUAUAUUUCUCUCAUAUCGAGUCUCUUUAUAUAAAGAUUUUUAAUUAUUGAUAUAUCUUUCACAGUAAUGGGAUACUGUUUUGUGUUUUGUAUUAUGUAUGAUGUUAAUGAGAUACUCUCGUAAUAUACUCUUAGAAUACCCACAUACAUAGAGGCAAACUUAGCCCCUCACACUCCUUGUUCUCUAUUUUUCUCCUUCACGCUACACACUUCGUAGCUCUCUCUUACAACUAUGUGGUUUUCACUACUUCUUCACAGUAUGUGUUUUCCUUUAAGAUUUCUUAGUUUAUUUUACAAUUUAUUGGUAUCUGAAGGGCUGGGUAGUUGAAUGGGAGAUGUACUAACAACCAUCAUAGAAUAAAUUAGACGUUUAAUAAUUGAUUAGUUUAUUAAGUAGGUGGAACGUUGCCUCGUGUAAGAAUAUUUAGAAGGACUAACUAGUCUUGUAAAAAAUAAUAAAAUAAUCUGAAUAAUGUUUAAGUAAGACAACAUGUUUUAUUAUAACCAAAUACUCAUUCAUUCAAAACUCUGAGCUGCAUUAUUAUUUGGUAUAUAUUUUGAAGUGAAGGAAGUGAAUUGAGGAGAAAGAAUAGUGAAGUAUUGUCAAUCAUCCAUUCUCAGUGCUCUCUUUCAAGCUUUCUUCCGAGUCUCUGCCUGCUUUCUUUAGUUUCCCUCAUAGUCUGCUCAGGUAAACAAACACUCAUCCAAACUUCACACUUUCUACUUCAAGUUCAGCUUUAUCACUCUGUUGCUAUUUCUUGUUCUAAGAGAAGCACAUUAGACACCAACUAUGUUUCGUUUAUCUAUAAUAGGAAACGUUUUCGUUUGAAAUUUUACGCUCGGUCAACUUUCCUCAUAUUUCGACAUACAGUUUACAAAUUCAUUAAUUCUACAAGUUAAUAAAAAAAAAAAAUUGAAUUCCUUUUAGGUUUUGAUUUAGGUUUGUAUAGUUUUUUGCUUCUUAUCACUUUUACAAAAUUUUAAAUAAAUCUUCCAGGGAUUAUAAAAUAUGUAUUUUGUUUUUAGUUUUUGCAACAUAUUUUGUUUACACUGUAUGUUUUUAAAAUAACAAAAAUAAAAAAACAAAAUUAACCUCCCUUUCAAAAUUAUAGUGUGAGGUCUCUAACAUAUCCUCCAUGUGAAAAUUGAGAUUAAAAUUUUAUCGUGAAAGGGGAGCAAGUUCCUUCAUUAUUUUUACUUAUAGAGAAGGGAACAUGACAAGCGCAUCAUCUUGGUUAAGCAUGUGAAUAUAAUUGAAAUAAUUAUGUUUUUCAUCCUUUUUUUCAUCUUAUCUCAAAUAAUUGUAAUCUAAUUUUUUUACUUCAUAAGCAAAUAUUAUAUACUUAAUUUCUUCUUUUUAGUAUCAGACUUAUAAUGGUAAUUUUUGAAGGCUACAAAUCUUUUUAAACAAGUUGAAUAUGAUGACCCUAAAAGAUAUUAGCAUAAAAAUGAGAACCCUAUUAGAUUAAUUAUUAACAUAAGCAUUUGCUAUAAAUAGAUCAAGUGCAUAGCUCAACGAAAACAUUAUUUUCCCCUCAAUUCAGUACAACACAGGUGAAACCUCUCAAUGAUCACACGCACCGCCGAAGCGUUUUCAAAGAAAAGGGCUUGAAAUAUAUCAUUUAACUCAUUCGAAGAAGCUGGUGUGGAUCAGUUUCUCGUAUACUCUCAGAAACUCUCUUGCAGUGUUUCUCGGUGUUACGAUUUGGAAUAGUGACAAGCACAAGGAAAUCACAACUUAAGAUCAUCUAAUUCGAAUAACAGAGGUGCGUUUUGUAGCUUAUAUAAAUAUUGAUCUUAAAAAGUCUAGUAUACUUUGUGUAGAGACUUUAAGUUUAUGGAUAUUUUUAACUUUACUUUAGUCAAUUAAUCUUCCUUUUUGUCUUUUGUUAUUGUCUUUCACGAUAUAGAUGAGUAUUAUGUCUACAUAAUAUUCUCCUACAUUUAAGUAUGUUGAGUUAAUGUUAUAAUAAUGAACAUAAAUUAUUUACUUCUAUUUACUUCUAUUAUUGUAUUAUUUGAAGGAUAGUUAUGACUUAUUCAGUCAUCACUUAUAUGGGUCUAGAUGGACCCUAGUAGCCAAUUUACUUCAUGAGUUAAUUGUUUAAUCUAGAUUCUAUUAAGUUAUAUAUAGAGUAAUAUGUUAUUAGUUUUUUUAGCCCCAUUGAUAGUCAGACGGAACUACUUAUGGCCAGGUCUUGGUGGUUAUAUAAGUCUGUUUGUAUUUGGGUAGAGACAGUCAAUCGUUGUUUUUACAACUCUGACUUGUGGUGAGGUAGAAAUAGUAACUUACAAGGUCAAUUUAUGACCGAGUAAAACCAGACAGACAGGUCAACUUGUAGCCGAGUAGAAGCAUUCAAACAGACUGACUUGUUGCUUAUAAAGGCAAUAAGCAAGAUUGAUGUGUGGUCGAGUAGAGGCAUUCAGAAAGACCGACUUGUGGAAGGGUAGAGAUAUUCAGAGAAACUAACUUAUGCUUAGGUAGAAGCAUUCAGACCGGGUAGUUAACAUUAGCCUGGGUAGGUGACACAUAGUUUUGGUAGAUGACACAUUGCUCUCGGUAGAGGGUGUGUAGUCCUUAUAGGCAGCACUUAGAUCUCGAUAGACAGCACCUCUCGGAAGACGACGAAUAGUCUUGGUAGGAAACACUUAGUUUUAGUUGUCGGCACUUGGUUUUAGUAGGCGACAAGUAAGCGAUACUUGACUUUAGUAGUCCACACCAGGUAGGUGGUAGGGAACUGUAUGGAAGGUUUAACCAGGACUGUCUAGGUAGGCAAUAGGGACUUAAGCCAUGAUAUUUUUUAUCAUUAUAGACUGAGAUGUUCCAAGCCGUGAUAUUUCUCUUUUCUUUUCUUUUUCUUUUUUUUUUUUGGAAUGAAUGAUUCACAAUGGGCUUUUUCAUUUCCAAACAAGUGUGUGUAUGCAUUUAUAAGAAUCGUUCAAAAAUCAAAUUCAUAGAAACAACAACUUCCUCACUUUCUCUUAAAACAUUUUCAUCACACUCAAAUAUUCAAUGCUCUAGGUCAAAAUCAAACAGGAUAAUGAAUGAAUCAUUUUACAACCACAACCAUAAAUCUUAACACUUAAAUUUGCAAUGAUUUCCUCAAGAUAUACAAGUUAUCUUGUAAUGGAUUCAAAUCUCUAAAUGCCAAAAGAAAAAUAAAGGCAUAAAAUCAAGGAUAACCAAAAAAAUUAAUUUAAACACUACCUGAAAAUGUUCUAAAAUAAGUUAAAGUGUGAAUAUAAAACCUAAAACAUAUUAAAAGAAACUAUAACAACAAAAACAACAAGAAAGAAACCCUCAAACAAAUGGCUAGGGUCUCCAUGCCGUGUUAGGGCUCUCCUAUCCUCCCUAAUAUUCUUCAGCAUCCACUCCUUCUAUGCCAUCAUCAUCACGAAAGACAUUGAAGCUUCCCUCCCCCCACUAAGAGUCAGGCCUGUACUUAGGCCAAUGAACAUGUGCCUCAAACUAUGUGCCCAUCUUAAGAGAAUCCUCGAGGAAAUCAAGGACACUAAGAGAUAGAUAAUACAUACAGUCCAUGAGGGAAACCUAGCAUUGCCAGAUCACAUGGUAGCCUCAAAUGCAUCAAGGGAUUCACGUGUAAUCUUGGUCAUGAUGUUUUUGAGGCUCCAGUCCUCCUUGUGUGAACAUCCCCCUGCAUACACUUAGACACAACUAGGCUAAAAUCACAAAUUAGCCCAAGUGAAAGUGAAAAUCUAUUUACAAAAAAAGAGUUAGUUCUAUAUGCAAAAUCAACUCUACAUAUGUUAGAAACCUCACAAAAGUCUAGUAUUGACACGAGUCCCUAGUAACGGUGCCAAAAACUCGUUGGAUUGUUUGACAUGUGCAUCGAAUCGUCUCAAGUAAUAAACCAUGGUAAGACCAGGUAUCGUUUUCUCAAGAGACUCGUAUUACUAGAGAAUGGUGCGACUAACAACUCAUAUAGACUCAAUAGAACUACAUUCAUUUACAAGCAUGUGCAGAAAGAUAAAUUUACACAUAAUUACAUGGUUGGACUUUGGUAUUGAAGGCACAUAGAUAUGGCAUAGACUAUAAAUAAUAUGAAAUGACAUUUUUAAGGUUAGUUUUCUCCUAUUUCACUCUUGUGCUUACCAAAUUUCAUCUAACAAGCAAACCUGCAUUAAAGAGCUAGGAUCUUAAGACAUCAUGUGAAUCAUCUUCCAUCCUUAGAAUCAAUGACCACAAAGACUUUUGUUUUAGUUCUAGGUUUCAUCUUACGUCUCCAUAAUCCAUGAAACCCCAAAAUAAAGUGAUGAACAUUCCUAUUACAUGCAAGCUUUAAGAUUGGAAACAAGAAUAAUAGAAUUUGAUAGAAAAGGAAUAUAUAAAUACGAAUCAAUAACGCAUUACACAAGAAUUCAUUGGCUUUAUCGAUGGCCUAUCGACGGUUAAAAAGCCCUCGGUAAUUUGCUUGUCGCUAAAUUUUGUCCUUCGGUAAUUACCGAGGGCCAUAAGCCUUGAUAAUUACCGAGGGCUAUAAGCCGUCGGUAAUUACCGAGGGUCAUAAGCCUUCGGUAAUUACCGAGGGUCAAAAGCCUUCGAUAAUUUCUGAAGGGCGGAAGCCCUCGAAAAUUUCCGAAGGGCGGAAGCCUUCGGUAAAGCCUUCGGUAACAGUACGAAAAAAAAAAGUCAUAUUUGUUUUUGUUAUCCAACCACAAAUACCUGCAUAACAAAGUUCACAACAACACAGAUAGACCUGCAUACAACUUUCAAACCACAGACAGAGCUGCCUUUUGUGCAUCUGAAAACCAUCCAAUAUUAUCAUUGAUGAAAAAAGAUAAUGUACUAAAAUGAUCUGUAAAGUUCAAUAUGAAAUGUGAAACAUAAAACAAUAUCAUCUAUUUCUAAGCAAAGAUAAUGUACUAAAAUCAUGAUGUACUAAAAUUCAAAUGUACUAAAAUUCAAAUGGACUAACAUUAGUACUUUCUAACACCUAUGAUCAAUAACAAAAUAAAACUAAAAUACUACAUAGUCUUCAGAAUCAUCUUCAUCGUCCUGUUGAUCCUCUAUAGAUGGCUGGACUGGUGUGGGCUGGACUGAUGUGGGCUGGAUUGAUGUGGGCUGCUGAGGGACGGCGGGUGACAGGAAGGGUCGUGACUGGGUUGGAGGGACGGUCGAAGGAGUGUCUGAAGUUUGAGGCAGCGCUCUCAUGACCAGGGACUUGAAGUUUGUAAAUUCUUCUUUCAAUGCACAGUUUUCCUGGUCACGUUGCUCUAGUAGCUGUGUCAAGCGCUGGAUGGCCUCAUCAGCAGAAGGGGUGGAAGAAGAAGAAGAAGAAACAUCAACCUCCAAAGUGGCUUGUAGUGGCAUCUCAUGUUUUCUUGAGUUCCUUCCAAUCCUCAAACAUUUAUCACAACUUUUCGCAUGACCUUAAGCAUCCUUUAAAAUUAUCUCAUGCCACAAGGAUGUCAUUAUCAUCAUAUUCCUUUUUAAAGUGAGCAAAAAACCAAGCAUUUUGCAACCCAUCUNAGUUAAUUAUUUUUUGCCUCUAUGUAAACUUAUUACGAAACCCUUCCACUUUAAUAAACAACAAUGUUGUUGUUGCCACACAUUACAUACACUCCUUAUUCCUCUUUCUACCAUAUANAUUCUAAAUCAUGUUAGAAUACAACUACAAUUUUUAGAAGUUCCUUCUACUUUGACUACUCAUAAAAGUUCGCAACCCUUAAGUUCAAAAUACUUUUUUAAAGUCCUUUGAGAUGGAUUAGUUUAUGCACAUGCAAGAGAUUGUCAAUAAUGCUCUCUAUCGCCAUGUUGAACAACAAUAAGUAAACCAUAGUCUUGAUGAANAGUCUCCCAAUGAAGCCACUAAACAAUAAGCAAAAUUUCCUUGUGAGAGUAGCUUUGAUGUGGUAUCAAGGUCGAUCUCUCUCUAAGCUUAAGGUAAUUUGGCCUCAAGGUCGAGCUCUCUUUAAGCUUAAAGUAGUUAGGCCACAAAGUUAAGCUCUCUCUUAGCUUAAGGUAAUUUGGUCUCAGGGUCGAGCUCCUUGAUGGCUAUUGGGACCGAUCUAUUUGGAAAUGAUGAUCAUAUAGGUCGAGCUCCUUGAUGGCCAUUUAAGCUGAGCUCCUUGAUGACNAUUGAGGCCAAACUCUUUAGGCGAUGGCACCAUGGUGACUGAGUUCCAUGAUGGCUACAAAGGUCGAGCUCUUCAAGUAAGUUGGUUAUCUGACCGAGCUUUUUGAUGGCUAUAAGGCUGAGCUCUUUACCGUGAAGGUUGUUGGCUGAGCACCUUAAUGGCUACUUUGGACGAGCUUUUUAGACAAGUUGACCAUUUGACCAAGCUACUUUGAUGACCAUUAGGGUNGAGCUCUCUGGACAAGUUUUGGCCAAGCUCUAUGAUGGCUACAAAGCCAAGCUCUUUAUCAUGAAGACUGUCUAGUCGAGCUUCUUGAUGGCUAAUAUGGCCGAACUCUUCAAAUAGGUUAGCGGCGGCCAAGCUCUUUGAUGGCCAUUGGGGCUAAGCUCUCAAGACAGGUUGACCAUUCGACCAANCUCCUUGAUGGCUAUAUUUGGCCAAGCUUCCUUGAUGGCUAAUCUAGUCGAGCUCUUUAGAUCGGUUGGUCAUUCAGGCAUGCUCCUUGAUAAUUGUUGAGGUUGAGCUCUUUAGACGACGACCUUGUUCUUGAGGCUUUGUAAUUGAAUACCUGAUUUUUUAGCAGACCGAGUUCUUGUCACAAUUGUUGUAGUCAUUUUGUGGUUGGCCNUGAAACCCCUACCCUUGAUGUUCUUUUUAUUGGACUUGUAUUUUCUAUUGUUGGCCAUGCUUCCUUGUCGGGUUAUAUUAUUUGUUGGUUGUGUACUAUGUUACGUGAGGUUGAGCUCUAUUGUGUGCUAAUUAUGCUUUGAGGUCAGAUUGUGUUCUUUGGUGAUUGGGCUCUACUGCCGAGGUGUGUUCUCUAGUGGGUGGGCUUCAUUGUUGAAGUAUGAUUUAUGGUGGUCAGGCUCUACUAGUGGAUUUUGUUCUCUAGUUUGGAAGGAGCUCNAUUGGAAAAAGCUCAAACUAUAUAAGCUCAACUAGAAAAAGCUCGAACUAUAGGAGGUCGACCUAAGAAAGACCACCUAGACGAGGUUGGNGAGGAGAGCUCGGUUAAAGAAGCUCAGCUUGUUUAGCUUGGUUGAAAGAGCUCGCCCUAGAGGAGGUCGACCUUAGCGGGAUGGCUNGAAGGAGGUUAGCNAGGGGAANUCGACUUGUAAACGUCAACUGAAGGAGCUUGGCCUGAUGGAGGUCGGCUUGGCAUGAUAGAGGUCGGUAUGUAUGUGCAUACAGUACAAUAGCUUUGAAACUUUCACAAUUACGUAACCCUUUUACUGUCCAUGAGGGACUACCAUGUGAUAAUUCCAUAUUUCUCUGAAGAAUAAGUUUUUUGUGAGGUUUGGUUGCUUGAUGUGGUUCAAAGUGCGAAUUUGCGUUUCAUGGUUCAUUGUGUUUUUGGGUUUGCUAGCCUAGCANAAUGGUGGUUCUUCCUGGUUUGCUUCUUAUUUGUUGGAGAUAGGGUUUUGCGACUUGGGAUUUUGUGUUGUCUCACAGUGGACGAGGAUGGAACUUUAGUGGAUUCUGAUGACUCGUGAUUUAAACUAGUUUUUCUAUAGGUGAGGUUUGAAGCUGACAUGAUUUAGGGAUUUAAUGGGAGGGNNUUUUGGUUUUCACAUGGUGAAGCGCGACUUGGGAGAUAGUUCCGCAGAUGGUGGUUGAUGGAGGCAGAUCUGUGGGUUGUGGUCGUGAUAAACAAUGGUUGAUAGUAAUGAAAUUUUUUAAUUUGGGGUUGUUCGAAAGAACAAUGGUGAAGCGUGACUUGGCUGAUAGUUGUGCAGAUNACGUAGUUGCGUGAAUAGGUAGUGUGAUGAAGGAGGUGCACAUUGAUUUUUGUGUUGUGGUUGAUGAUGGACAUUACCGACGCAAUUCUAACAUGGUUAAAGAUGAAGUGGAUCAUGUUGUUCAUGAUGCNGUGGUGCUAUGGCCACCAGAGGUUGAAGGAUCAAAGGUUGAAUGAUAUGGAGCANAGGGUAGAUAAUGUAGAACAGGAAAUCAAGGGGUGGCCAUGGUUGAUGGUGGUGGGAUUGCACUCUCCAUGGAAGGACCUUGUGUGUGUUUUGUGAGGAAUAAGGGGAUGAUGCAUUCACGCUUCCAAUGUCACCAUUAUCAUCAAGCGGAAGGGCGAUGCUUUAGUUAGGAACUAUGUUUAAUUAUUAACACUUGUGCAUUUGUUUUAGUGAUGGAUAUGGUUGAGCCUGACAAGAUGGUUCCUCCUUAUUNAGGUUGGUCAGAGCUCCUCAAUCUUUAUGGUGUUGUAUGAGCAUUUUUUUAUGACAUAUAGUCGUUGUGUGUGGUGAUCAUGAGAAUGUGAGGUUNGGGAUAUGCUUUACUUGAGCUCUAUGGUAGAUGUCAAUGUUUUUACUUAGAUCUUGAGCGUAAACUCUGCAGAUAAGUGACAAGAUCCUAAUGAUCAUUUGAUCGUCCCUUUCGUUUAGAUAUGGUUUCCUCAUUUAUGAGAGGAGAAGAUGUUGUGGACAUAUAUUCUUAUUAUAAUAAUACUUAUCUAGGAGAAUAAUAACAAUCUAAUAAAUAAAAACAGAAAGAUAAAUAAUAANCAAUACGUCAAACUACUUAGAUUUAAUUAUAAUAUAAAAAUAUUAUAAAAACUUUGAGGUGCUUCAUAUUAAAGUGUCAUAUUGGAAUAUAUAUAUAUAUAUAUAUAUAUAUAUAUAUAUAUAUAUAUAUAUAUAUAUAUAUAUAUAUAUAUAUAUAUAUAUAUAUAUAUAUAUAUCAUGGAUGGAAAAUAAUUUAACACUUAUUCUUCAUAUCCAAAAAUAAAUUAUUAAUUAUUAAUUUUUUUCAAAUUCUAAUUAACUUUUUCAUUUAUUAAUUAUUAGCUUUAACUAUGUAAACUGAUUUGUCUUUUAACUACGUAGAAAGAAGUUUUUUUUUUUUUUAAGAGAAAGUGUUAGUUUUGAUAUCUUGGUGUAAAGUUUGGUGUAAAACAUGAAUNUUCGUAUUGUUCAUUAGAGUAACAACUUACUAGUCUCUUGCAUUUUCAAAGACGAAUUUAACCAUUUACUCUUGAAUGAUAGCAAUAUGUGCUAUGCAAUACAAAUUUUCUUGUAAGGUUGCAAUUAUAAAACAGAGGGUCCAAUGUAGUUUUUAAAGCAAAUACUAACAAUUGUCUUAGCUGGUAUUUAGCUUUCCUUUAUAGAGAAUAUAUAUAUAUAUAUAUAUAUAUAUAUAUAUAUAUAUAUAUAUAUAUAUAUAUAUAUAUAUAUAUAUAUAUAUAUAUAUUCACAUGCUUUUUUGUUUAUGUAAACUGUGCUUGCUUGGUUGAAUAUAUGCGAAUGUAUUUGUGAAUUUUAAUUAAUAAAAUAUCCUUUAUUUUUCUUUAUUCGUCACUAAACUAAUCUAUUUUCACUAUAUGUUUUGUUGGCAAAGAGUUGUAGUCGAGAAGGGUACAAGAAAAAAAGGUUGGAAGUAUGGAAAUUGUGUCGAAAAUAUUUGAUCCAGCAAUUGAGUUUGUGCGGGAUCAUGGUAUUAGGCAGGUGACUUACAUUUUUUGUUACACGAAAAAUUUUAAGGAACUACAGAAGAAAGUUAAGCGUCUAAGAGAAAUAAAAGAGAGGUUAGUUCGUCAACACGAUGAAGCUAAAAGAAAGGGUGACAUAGUUGAAGGUACGGUUGAAGAAUGGUUUGUGGAAGUGGGUGAAUUUGAGAGUAGUGUUGAAAACUACAGCAAAAAUGCAGGUCACAAGAAGACAAGGGGUCUCUAUUAUUUGUUUCCUUACUAUAGGCACAAACUGGGCAGACAAGCAAAGAAGAUGGAAAUAGAGGCUUUGAGGCUAANAGAUGAGUCCCCCAAGAUUGACGAAGUUUCCCAUGCAGAGAAAGUAACAUCUUUUGACCUCACUUCAUCUAAUUCUGGCUACAUUGAAUUUAAUAGUAGAAAAUCCAUUAUGGAAGACAUAAUGAAAAAACUUAAAGAUCCCAAUAUGAAAAUUAUUGGACUCCAUGGAUCACAAGGGAUGGGUAAGAGCACUUUAAUAAAAAAAAUUGCUAAUAAAGCUAAAUAUGAGGGGUUAUUUGAUAGGGUGGCUGAAAUAGAUGUAACUAUCAAUCUCAAUCCACUUAAUAUUCAGGAAGACAUUGCAUAUGUGCUAGGAUUGCAACUAACAGGGGAAAGUGAAAAUGUAAGAGCUGAUUAUCUAAGGAGAUGGUUAAAGAUAGAAAAUGUGAGCAUCCUUAUAAUCUUGGAUAACCUUCAUGAAAGAUUAGACUUGAAUAGGUUAGGGAUUCCGAUUGAUGAUGAUUAUGACUUAAGAAAGAAGAAUGAGUUAAGCAUAAGGUCAAGUAAAAAAGAUAAAGACGACAACACACAGGGUACCGACGAAAAAGUGCUAAAAAAAGCAAAUUUUCUUGCUGAUUAUAAGGGAUGCAAAGUUUUGCUUUCUUCACGUUAUAAGAAAGUAUUUCCUAAUGAGGUUGAUGUUGAGUCCAAUUUUUGUUUAAAGGAAUUAGAUGGCAAUGAUUCAUUGAAGCUAUUUGAGAAGGUGACUGGAGGAGGUAAUAAAAUGUCUAUGCCUAAAGAAGAAAUCCAAAACUAUUGUGCAGGGUUGCCCAUGAGAAUAGUUACAUUUGCAAUGGCAUUUAAAAACUGGAGUGAGUCAGAAAGUGAACCUACACUGGAAAAAUUUAAAAAGCAAGGUCUGGUUAAAUGGAAGGAGUCUUCGGAGAUUCCUAAUAAAAUAAAAUAUGACCUUCCAGAAAAUAAGGAACACAAGUUCAUUUUCUUGCUUUGUGCUCAAAUGGGCCACCUACCCCUGGUUAACGACUUGGUGAAAUAUUGCUUUGGAUUAGGUAUACUUGAAGGGGUCUCUUCCCUUAGUGCAGCUCGGAAAAAAAUAAAUGAAGUGAUGCAAGAGUUGAAAAACUUGAGUUUGGUGUCAUACGAAAAUCCUAAUAUUCAUUUCAGUAUGCCUCAUAUGGUUCGAGAUGAUGCUAUAAGUAAUGCCCUCAUGGAUGACAAUGUUUUUGCUAUCAGAGAUGGAAAACUAGAUUAUUGGCCCAAUCUUGAAAAAUGCAUUUUUAUUUCUAUAUGCAAUAGUGACAUUACAUAUCGGUUUCCUCAAGUCAUAAAUUGUCCACAACUUAAAUUCUUGCAAAUAGAAACUAACAAUCCAUCUUUAAAAAUACCUGAGAGGUUUUUUAGCAACAUGAGAAACUUGUUAGUUUUAAUAUUGAGAGGUUUUCAUCUAUCAUGCUUACCUUAUUCAAUUGAAGACCUAUUGAACCUCAGAAUGCUUUGUUUGGAGCGGUGCACUUUGNNUUGCAAUUUAUCGGUAUUGAGAAAGUUCAAAGACCUAAGUAUUCUCAGUUUUUCUGGAUCUCAACUUAAAAAUUUGCCNGUUGAGUUACAAUACUCGGAUANGUUGCNAUUGCUAGACAUCANUGAUUGUUUUGAAUUGGAGAUUAUUCCACCUAAUCUUAUAUCUAAUUUGACAUGNUUGGAAGAGCUAUAUAUNGGAAAAAGCUUGAUGAAAAUGUUNGUGGAAAGAGAGGAAAGCAAAGGUCAAAAUGCAUUUCUUUCUGAGCUAANAAAUUUACAUGAGUUGAAAGUGGUGGACUUAAGCAUCCCGUGUGUUUCAAUUUUACCCAAUCACUUAUUCUUUGACAGGUUAAAAUAUUACAAGAUUGAAAUUGGGGACUUCGAAAUGUUUUCUAUUGGAGAAUUUAAAAUGCCCAAUAAGUAUGAAGAACUCAAAGUAUUUGCAUUGCAACUGAAGGACGACACUGAUAUCCACUCCCAUAAAGGCAUAAAAUUGUUAUUUAAAACAGCACAAAGUUUGUUGUUGGGAAAGGUAGGUGUUCAAAAUGUUGUUAACGAGUUGAAUAUAGACGGAUUUCAGGAUUUGAAACACUUAUCCAUCAUAAAUAACAAUGACAUCAAAUAUAUCAACUCAACAUGUUUGUCUAAUAGUGUGAACAUUUUUCCCAAUUUGGAAUCUCUAUGCCUCUACAAUAUGAUGAACUUAAAGAUGAUAUGUGGCAGUUCAAUUACACUUGAAUCAUUUGCCAAAUUAAAAACCAUCAAGGUUAAGAUGUGUUAUCAAUUGGAAAAUCUCUUCUCCUUCUAUGCAAUUAAAAUCUCUACUAGCACAAGAUCAAGUGAGAUUAAUGAAUGUAAUUCUUACAAGAAGAAAGUUUUGGCUAGUUUAGAAAUGAUUGAGGUUUGUGAAUGUGAAUCUUUGAAGGAGAUCCUUCAAAUACCGAUGGAUUGUGAUAAGGUUAAGUUUCUCAGAUUACACACUUUGACACUCCAAUCAUUGCCAUCACUCACUUCUUUUAAUACCAAAGUCAAGAGAUCUUGUUGGCCACAUUCGAUAGAUGCUCAAACUACAAAUAGGGAUCACACAGAAAUUUCUACUGAACAAGAUGGCCAUAGUGACAAUGCGCCUCCUCUUUUUGGUGAACUGGUAUGACAUUACAUAUUUUUCAUAUUUAUUUAAAUAAUUAGCUCAUUUGUUGUAAAAAUAUUAAUUGUGUAUGCGUUUCCAGGUUGAAGUUCCAAACUUACAGAACUUGAAUUUAUCCUCACUCAACAUCCCUAAGAUAUGGAGCGACCAACACUUGUCAAGUUUCUACUUUCAAAACUUGAUAAGGUUAGUUGUGAAAGAUUGUGAUAAAUUGACACAUCUAUGUUCAUUAUCUAUGGCUAGCAGUUUGAAGAGGUUGAAAAGCCUCGUCNUAAGUGGAUGUCGUAUUAUGGAAAAUAUUUUUGAGAUUGAAGGAAUUAGUGCAAACAAGGUAUGUAUUGGUAUAAAUACUUUUUUGUUUAUCUUUUAUUUAUCUGUAAUAAUUGUUUGUUUUCAUUAAACUGAAGGUUUGUGUCUUUCCUAAGCUGGAGGAAAUCCACCUUAGCAACAUGAAGAGGUUAACAAAUAUUUGGCAAACUGAAGUCAGUGUUGAUUCCUUUUGUAGUCUCAUUUCCGUAAGCAUCGAAGAAUGUAAUGAAUUGGACAAGAUUUUUCCAAGUCACAUGGAGGGAUGGUUUGAAAGUUUGAUUAACUUAAAAGUUUCUAAUUGUAAGUCCGUGAAAGAGAUUUUUGAAGUUACUGAUUAUGAAGAAAUAGAUGAAUAUGGUGGGAUAGACACAAAUUUGCAGGUUAUUCUUCUUGAAGACCUCCCGAAAUUGAAGGAAUUGUGGAGCAAAGAUCCACACGGAAUUCUCAAUUUUAAAAACCUUCGGACUAUAGAUGUAAGUAAUUGUGAAGAACUGAGGAAUUUGUUUCCAGCUUCUAUGGCAAAAGAUGUAUCAAAGCUUGAACGUAUGUCAAUAUUGCAUUGUGAGAGGAUGGUGGAAAUUGUUUCAAGUAAAGAUGCAUCAGAAGCUAACAAUGAUCCAUUAGAGUUUCCUGAACUAAGCUAUGUGAGAUUAUAUGAGCUUCAAAACAUCAGGCAAUUCUACAAGGGGAGACAUCCAAUAAAGUGUCCAAAGUUGAAGGAAUUAAGCAUAGGGAAGUGUAUGAAGCUUAAAACAUUUUCACAAGAAACAAGUGAUGAAAAGUUUGUUUUCUCAGCUGAAGUGGUAAGCAUUAUUCCAACUUUAUCAGAGUAAAGUUUAAUCAAAUUAUAUGCCUUAUAAAGAAUAAAAGAAAUAUAAUUAAAAAUAUGUAAAAGAAUUGGAAAAAUGAGAACCAAAAUAAAAUUAACGAUUGUGUAAAGUUGAGAAAAAUAAAAGUAAAUUAAAUCAAAAAUUGAGUUUUAGGAUUAUUUAGUUUUAAAAAGAAAUAAAGGAUUGCAAUUUUAUUUUUAUUGUUAAAUUUUAUUCAUAUUAUUAUUUUCAGUUUUAGUGCUAUUAUUGUAAUAAUAAAAAGUUUGUAGUUUGUAUAAAAAUGAUAAGUAAUUUUUAGUGAAGGCUUUAUGGUCAAAUCUAUAUAUUUACACAAGUGUUUUGUAUAGAAUAUUAUAUAUAUAUAUAUAUAUAUAUAUAUAUAUAUAUAUAUAUAUAUUAUUAGUUUUUAAUUAAUAUUAGUUGAAAUUCUGAAUGAUAAUAAAAAUUGUUUUAAGUAAAUAGCAUAGCUUCAAAGGAAACUAUAACAUUAUUAAAAACGAGGUUUAACUAAUAGUGUUUUAUUUUCCACAUACAGGAUCAAUGUUUGGGAUUUCUAAUCUCACAUUUUUCUUUAAAAAUCUUACAUUAAUACAUCCAUGACAUUAAUAUGAAGUUCUUUAAAGCAUGAUGUUCCUAUUUUAGCUCAUUAUUUACGUUUUUUAAAUUGACAAACAACCAAAGAAGAACAAAAACCAUACAUAAUAAUCAUAAACAGUUACAAAGCAAACAAAAAUGCCUAAAAUCAAAGAAAUUUGAAUGUAGGCAUUUAAUUCAUUCUUCUUACUAUUUAUUUUUAAUGUUUAGGUAUUUCCGAAGUUGGAGUAUAUGGAAAUUGACUUCCUGGAAGCCCAGAAUUUGUUAUCCAAGUACGAAAUGCACAAUUUAAAAGAGCUUAUUAUCUUGAGAGCAAUCGAGUGCCCAGAUCUUUUCUACCCCUUUCUCUACAAAAUGCCAAAUCUAGAAAAGUUAAAAUUGACUUUCGGAUAUUAUUCAUCGUAUUACAGAUUGCAAAGUAGAAACAUUGGGCAGCAUGACAGAUUGGGAGUCGUAUUACAGUUGAAGCAAUUGAUUAUUCGUUCCUCAGAUAUAAAUGAUAUAGGAUUUGACCGGGACCAAGUUCUACAGAGAUUGGAGCUUUUGAGCUUGAAAGAAUGCAACGAAUUGAAGACUUUAGCUCCUUCUUCUGUAUCGUUGAGUUACUUGACAUGUUUGAAAGUAAAAAAUUGUGAGGGAUUAAGGAAUUUAAUGGCAUCCUCCACGGCCAAAAGCAUGGUUCGACUUAAGACUAUGAAGGUAAUCAACUGUGAUAAGGUAAAGGAAAUAGUAAGCCAUGAGGAAAAUGAAGAAGACAAAGUGAUGAAAAUUGUAUUCAGCAAAUUGAUAUCUAUAGAACUUGUGGGGUUAAACAAACUCGUAAGCUUUUGCAGUUACAAGGACUGUGAAUUUGAAUUUCCAUCACUGGAAAUAUUGAUCGUAAGAGAGUGCCCAAAGAUGGAAAAAUUCAGUGAAAAAAGAGCAAUAGCACCAAAGUUGAAAGAUGUAUUUGGUGUGGAAGGAGAUGAAAAAGCCAAAUGGCAGUGGAGAGGUGACUUGAAUGCUACCAUACAGAAGGUUUUCAAUGAUAAGGUAAUUACUUUUUCCUUUAUUUAAUACUAUUUCUCCUAAUUUUAUGAAUUUUUCUUUUAAAGUGCAAAAGAAUAAAAAAUCAUGAUUGGAAUUUACAAAUACAUGUUUCUGCCAUAGAAGCUUUAAAUAGCAAGAAUGUUGAGUUUUGUUUUGGAUUACUUUUUUAAGUCCUUUUAUCUAUUUAUUUAAUUAGAUUUGGUUCUUUUAUUUUUAAAGAAUUUAAUAUAAUAUAAUAUUAAUUUUCUGAAAAAGCAUUCAAUGUUGUAAAUUUCCAUUUAAACAAAAAUACACCCUGAACAACUAACAACGAACGUGUAUUUUCACAGAUACUAAGUGAUUUUCACACAUGACAGCUACAAAUUUUCAUUAUAAUUAAUUAAUAGAUUUUAUAUAUUGAAAUUUAUGUUUUUAAAAUAAAAUUAACACAAUAUGACACGGUAAUUUGUUAGUUAUUUUAAAUUUAUAAUAAUUAAAAAUAAUUGUAAUAUAACACUUUUAAUAACUUUACUUAUAUAUAUAUAUAUAUAUAUAUAUAUUUAUUUAUUUAUUUAUCACUAUGAGUAUUUUAAAUUAAUAAACUUAUUUUCGGAUAUAUAAGUAUUUUAAUAAAUUUAUAGUAUUACAUUAUACUUGUCUAUAAAAAAGAAAUAGUAUUACUAUUUAUUUUAUUUUAUAUCAAUAGUUUUGUUAGAGUAAUGACUAUAUUAAAUUUAAUAAAUAUCAAAAAAAUAUUUACAUAGUAAUUUGAUAAUUUUAAUUUAUACACCAUUUUUACUGUUAUUAGUACUUAUAAAUAUAUUAUAAAUGAAAAAAUAUAUAUUUAGUUAUUUUAAAGUUAUAAUUUUAAAAUUAAAAAAUACUGAAUUAUUGAAGUGAGAAUUAUAGUAAAAGCUUGUAAAUUUGUUUUUUGUUUAACUUUUUGGGGGAUAAAAAAAGUAUGAUUAUAGUAAAAGGUAGAGAAGUAAUUUAAUAAUUUGUCUGAUUUACAGGUCAGUUUCGCAUAUACUGAAGAACUGUGGUGGCUUGAUUAUAAUAUUAUAAAGCAACUAUGGAAUAACACUCAUUGGGGGCAGCAAAAUAACUUUGGGUAUUUGAAAAGGUUGAGCUUAUCGGGAUGUGAUACUCUAACGCGUAUAAUUCCAUAUCAUUUGCUUUCUUGCUUUCACAAUUUGGAAGAGUUAUAUGUAUUCAGUUGCAGUAAUGCAGAGGUGAUAUUUAAUAUGAAUGGUGAGAACAGGGUGAUGACAAAAUCUUCCGGAAUAUUCCGUCUGAAAAUAUUGUCUUUAAGUUUCCUACCAGCACUGGAGCAGGUAUGGGACAAGGAUCCGGAGGGAGUCAUAGGCCUUCAACUGCUAAGGGAAAUGCGUGUUGAAGAUUGUAAGAGUCUUAAAAGUUUGUUUCCAGCAUCGGUAGCCAAACAUCUUACGAGACUUGAUGUACUUAUAGUAACAGACUGUGAGGAAUUGGUAGAAAUCUUUGAGAAGGAUGAAAAGGAUGAGAAAGGAGAAGGAGCAACACAUGAGUCUGUGUUUCCUCGUCUCACCACAUUGACGCUGAAGCAAUUGCCACUCCUCAAAUACUCUAUACAAUGCUCCAAACAACAGGUAAUUCUCAAAACUUUGCCUUUAUGUGACAUUCAAAAGUUAUUUAAAUAACAGAGUCAGUACAUAUAUAAACAUAUAUAAGAACGACAAACAAAUACGCCCAUAGUUUUAUGCCUGCUGCACUCGGAAAAUUCACUCCCCAAAUUUGGAAAAGGUAUUCAACGGGGAAAUUUUCACUCAUGACAAUAUACCAUGAACUUGCUUUUCAAGUUUUGGCAUAAUCCAAGAUGCAAGAAGCAAGGAUCAUAACUUUUUUGAGCUGCUUGGGGAAUUUGCGAACUCAAUUUUAUGCUCUCUUACUCUUCUUCUUUCUCUCUCCACAAUCCUCUAAAAAUUAACAUUCUCUUAACAUUAAAGACUCUUUUCCAUUUGAAUUAAGUGAGACAAGAUGAACAGACAAAUUUUAGAUAUAAAAGUGGGAGUUCAACCCAACAAUAAUAACAUUUUUUAUUUAGCAUUGUGCUACAUCACCCAUUUUAAACCUCUUUAGUUUCUCUUUUAAUUCUUAUCAUCACACCUUGAAAUGAAAUUAUUCCUUCAAUUUCUUUCCAUAAUACGGUUACUAUUAAUUAAUCAAGAAAUUUCCUUUUUAUUCUGUACAAUCUGUUAGUAUCUAUAAUCCCAAUUUUGUAGGUCCCCGUUUUUAUUUUAUUUUAUUAUUAUGAUUUCUUAGUUUAUUUUUCUAUUUUCAUGUUGUAAUAAUUAUUAUGGUAAUCAUGAAAAGAUAUUCCCAAAAGUUAACAUUUCAAACAAAUUCCGAUGUGCGACAAAAACAAAUUUCUAAAUCUAACUUCUUUUGCAGGAGAGUAUAUCAAAUUUGCGUUUUAAAGAAAUACAAGAGUUAUGUCUUGGCUCACGGCCCAUCCCAAACUCCUGCUUCGGUCUCUUAGAUUCUUUGAUUGUGGAUGGGUGCAAGUUUUCAUCAGAUGUACUUCUACCAUUCACUUUACUUUCUUUCUUAGCUAAAUUGGAGUCGUUGGAAGUUAGAAAGUGUGAUUCUGUCAAAGUUAUUUUUGAUGUCAAAUGUACAACACAAGACAUGAUCACUUUUCCUCUAAAGAAAUUGACUUUAUCCCAGCUACCAGAUCUGAAGAAUGUUUGGAAUGAAGAUCCUCAUGGAAUUCUAAGCAUGCACCAUCUACAAGAACUACAUGUUAAGGAAUGUAAAGGCCUUAAAAGUAUGUUUCCAGCCUCAGGGGCCAAAGAAGUACUACUACCAUUCAAUUUACUUCCUUUCUUACCUAACUUGGUAACGUUGGAAGUUCGAAACUGCGAUGGUGUCAAAGCCAUUUUUGAUGUCAAAUGUACAACACAAGGCAGAGAUAUGACAUCUCAGCCUUUUUCUUUGAAGAAUUUGACUUUAUCGAAGCUGCCAAAGCUGAAAACUAUUUGGAAUAAUCCUCAUGGAAUUCUGAACAUGCGGCAUCUACGACAAGUACAUGUUGAGGAAUGUAAAUGCCUUAAAAGCGUGUUUCCGGCAUCAGUAGCCGAAGAUCUUUUGGAACUCGAAAGUCUAGUGGUAUUACACUGUGAGAGAUUGAUGACUAUUGUGGUAGAAGACAAUACAAAUGGAAGUCAAGAGUUUACGGUACCCUGUCCCUGUGUGAGAUCAGUGAAACUACGGGGCUUGCCCAAGUUCAAGUAUUUUUACUACUACUCUCUCACGUCUCACACUUACAAGUGUCUAGAAUCAAAUACCGAGAAUCAAGUCGAUACUGAGAAGGUACGUCCUACUAUUUUACCACUUCCUAUUGAUGCACAAUAUGUUAUCAGUUUCUUUAAUAGUUUACCGUUGUUCAAUAUGAAUAGUACAAAAUACUCUUUAAAAAUAUGUAACUUUCAAGUAUAAAUCUUCUAUCUUCUUUCCCUGUUAACCCCACUUUUGUUUUACAAAAGAACAUGUAUUUGUAUAGGAUAACCAUUGUAACAGAGUCUAUUUAUUUAUUGGGAAGUUUCAAUAAUUGAGUAGUUAAGUUCUUAAAAAGUAAAAAUGGAUAUUUAAAAUUAAAUUUGAAGGCAACUGCACAAGUAUCUCUCUUUCCUAAAAUUACAAAAGCUAAUUCGAAAACAUAGGUAAAAAAAGGAGUAGUGAUUAAUAUAUUAUAUUAUUAUAAUUUAUGAAAAAAAAAUAAUAUACGUAUUAGAUUAGUUAAAAUUAGUAUAUUAUAUUUUAAUAGAAAAUUAAACCGUAAUAUUUUAUUAAAACCAGUUAAAUAAUAAGGUUCAAAAAACAUGUAUAUGUAUAAAUAAGUAAAAGAAUACAAAUUAUGAUAGCAACAAAAUAAGAUGUGAGAUCAAUUCCAUAGAUUAUUAGAGACAAUAUUGUACUUUAUCAUCAUUAAAACAAAAUAAUGGUGCUUCAACCUUAUAAACAAUCUUCUACUAUCAUAGGUAAUAUGUCACUGAUUACCUAUCAAGCAUCUUUCAACAUAAUUUCCCUAACUUGCUUUUUCUUGUGUGUGUGUGUUUUUGUUAUUACAGAGUCUGAUACUUGCCAAAUAUGAAAUGGAGAAGAUUUCCGGUGAAGAAUUUCACAGAAAGCUCUUAAACAACUUAAAAGUUCUUACUCUCUCUUUUGGAUGGGAUGUACUUCAAUAUAAAAUUCUAGAACAGGUUCCCAAUAUUGAGAAGCUUGUGGUGUGUUAUGGUUCUUUCAAAGAGAUGUUUUGUCUUGAAAGUCCUAAUAAUGUGAAUUAUAGUGGACUUCUAUUACAACUGAAAACAUUACGAUUGGAGUCCCUUGAAGAGUUGGUUUCCAUUGGGUUAGAAAAAUCUUGGACUGAAUCCUUUGUCAAAAAUCUAGAAACUUUUGAAGUCAUUAGUUGCUCAAAAUUGAAAAACGUGGUAGAAAGCAAAGUGUUUCUCUCCAAUUUGACAUAUUUGAAACUUGAAAGUUGUAAUAGCUUGCAAUAUUUGUUCACAUCCUCAACGGCCAAAACUUUGGGUCACCUUAAAGCAAUGGAGAUAGAUAGUUGUUACUCAAUUGAAGAGAUAGUGUUUAAGGAGGACGGGGAGAAAUCAGAUGAGGAGGAGAUAAUAUUUCCGAAACUCAUUCGUUUGAAUCUUUACUAUUUACGGAAACUCCAAUUGUUCUAUAGAGGGAGAUUAUGUUUCCCAUCAUUAGAGGAAUUGUUAGUACCAGGUUGCACCGAAAUGGAAACUUUCUGUAUUGGUACGAUAACAGCAUGCAAGUUGUCUCAAGUUAAACUUGGACGAUAUUCACAAGCUAUUCCUAUAGAAGAUGAUCUCAACCAGACUAUGCGGAAGGAAUUUCUAAAAGAGGUAUAUGUUUAAAUUUAAUAUUCUUAAUUCAACAUGGUUAUGAUUCUUUUCGUUACAAUACCCAACCUCAGUAUGAAUUGAAUUUAUACUCUGCCUUCCAAGAUAAGUAUGUUAAAUUAUUUUUAUUUUACUUUUUAACUAAAUAGUAUACAACCAAACUAUUCUUUCAUUACUACUUAUAUAAAAAAAUUAAAUAUAAGAAAAAUAUAAAAAUAUUUUCUUCAUAAACUAAAAUUAACUAACAUUAGUUGAAAAAGUAUAAUAAUUUCUUUUCUCCCCUGCUAAUAUUAAAUACGAUUCUUAAGAUAAAUAUUUUAAAAAAAUAAUAAUUUUAUCGUAAAAUUUUUUGACUGAAUAAUAAUAUAACUUUUACUUUUCUACUAGAUAAACUAUUGUUAACUCUUUUUCUAUACAUGCCUUGGUUGCACUUUAUCAAAACACAUUUUUCGAAAUUUUUAUGACUUAAAAUUCAAAUUAAUCAUCUACCAACACAUAGACGAAUCGUAACUUGACCUAUAAUAACUUUUAAAGUUUAUUAAAAUAAACUAUAUUUAUCAUCAAGUGGUGGGAAGCUGACUAUAGUUAUUCGAAAUACUAUUCUAAUGAUUUAUCAUCUUUAAUAAAAUAUACUUUCAUUUUAAAAUUUUAAAAUAUUUAAUCAAUCAUAUUGAAUCAAACUAUUUAUUACUUUAAUAGAUGAAGAGUAAAAUUAUAAAUAUUUAAACCACGAUACUUAUUUGUUAAUACAUUUUAAAAACUAUCAUUUCGUUAUGUAUAGUAUAGACAUAUAUCCAUGGCAUAUGUUGAAGCAUGCAAGAGGGUUUAGGACAUCUUGGCUGGAAAACUUUAGACAUAAUUGGAUAAUUCUUUUAAAAUAAUCAGAAAUUAUAAAUUUUUAAAUUCAUAAAAGUAACUUUUAUUUAUCUCUUAGGUCUCGAAGUCAAGUAUUGUAAAUUAGAAGACGUGAUUCGCUAGAAAGUUUGUAAUAAAAUAAUGGAUUUCACGUUUUUUCUAUUAUUUAUUCUUUUGCACUUGCAGACACUAGGGGAAACAAGGAUUGAUCUCAAAAAAAAAUCCAAGACUACUCAAGAUAUGGAACAACUCAAUGCAGAUCCCUCGUUUCAGUAAUCUGAUCAGAUUGACUGUGACUGACUGCGAGUUUUUAUCAGAUGCAGUGCUACCCUUCUAUUUCCUUUCUUCAUUACCCAAAUUGGAAACAUUGCAAGUUCGAAACUGUGGUUCUGUUAAAACCAUAUUUGAUGUCAACCCUACAACAGAAGAAGACAGAUUAAUUGUUUUUUCUCUGAAGAAAUUGGUUUUAUCGGAGCUGCCAAGGCUGGAAACUAUUUGGAAUAAAGAUCCUCGUGGAAUUCUAAGCAUGCGCCACUUAGAACAAGUGUUAGUUUAUAGCUGUAAACGCCUUAAAAGCGUGUUUCCGGCAUCAGUAGCCAAAGAUUUAGAGACACUUGAAACCUUUGAAGUCAUUAGAUGUAAGAGUUUAAAAAACUUGGUAGCGUGCACAGUGUCUUUCUCCAAUCUGACAUGUUUGAAAGUAAAAGGUUGUGAUGCCUUAUCAUAUUUGUUGACAUCCUCAGCAGCCAAGCGCUUGAGUCAACUCAAAAGAAUGGAGAUAAAGGAUUGUGAUUCAAUUGAAGAGAUAGUGUGUAAGGAAGAUGGGAAGGAAUCAGAUGAGGAUGAGAUAAUAUUUCCGCAGCUCACUUGUUUGGAUCUUUAUCUGCUACUGAAUCUCAAAAGGUUCUACAGAGGAAGUUUAGGUUUCCCAUGCUUGGAGGAACUGUCAGUAACAGAAUGCGAUCAAAUGAUAACUUUAUGUCAUGGAAGUAUAGAAGCAGCCAAGUUGUCUCAUGUUAAACUUGAUCAGGACUCAGAUGCUAUUCCAUUGGAAACUGAUCUCAACUCUACUAUGAGGAAGAAAUAUCUUACAAAGGUACGUGUUUAAUUUUAGGACACGUGUCAUCAUUUUAUUGGUCUAUUUGAAUUUAUGUUUAAAAAAUAUUUAAAACAAACCAAUCACAAGCUACCACGUAUGCAUUGUCAAAAAGUUGUUAAAAAAGUGUUGUUAAAAAAAGUUUUUCCUUAAUUUUAUUGUUUUUCAUUGAAUAUUUAUGAUACAUAUCUAAGUAUAUGAUGGAAAUUGUGUAUUGUAUUGGCUAGCAAGGAACUUUUUAAUCUUGGUACCUUAAUAUUCAUAUUUUAAGGCUCAAACUUAUUAGUAAGGAAGACAUAAAUAAAAUAACAUAUGUUUUCAAGUUAAAAAUUUUGCGGAAAAGUUUUAUUAAAUCAUUUUUAAUUAUAGGAAACUUAUUUAUUUAUCUCAAGUUAUUUUAAACACACUUGUUUUUUCUUUAAAUUUAAAGUAAGCAAGAUAUAUUGUACCUUACAAAUUUCCAUUUUUUUUAUAAAAUGCAACAAAAAUACAUUCAAAAAGCAAAUAAUUUAUAUGUUAACAAAAUUUAAAUUCUCUAUCAUUAAAUUAUAAUCAUUUUCAUAAUAAAUUACUUUAAAAAUCUUAUUUGACAAAAAUUAUGAUAAACUGAUGGUUUGAAACAUUGUUCCAAUAACCAUACAAAUUAAAUUAAAUUUAACUUAAUUAACGUACUCAUAGUAAAUCGUAAAUUUAUUAAUUAAAAUAACUUAUAAAUAUAAAGAAAUAGAACAGAAUCAAAUAUUUUUUAUAUGCCAUUUUAACAUUAAUUUAGUAUCUUUACUGAUAAUAUAUGUUUUUAAUUAAUUUUAAAUUUUUAUAACUUUUAUUUAUUAAUAAAUUGUUAUCAUUAUAUUUAUUUUAUUUUUCAUUGCUAUAUAUUUAUCAUAAAGAAUAUUUAUUAUUAAUCUUCUACUAUGUUUUAUUAUAUUUAUACAAAUUUACGAUAAUGUAAAAAUAACACAUUUUUAAACAGAUAUAUGAUAAUUAAAGUAAAUUAAAAAUAGAUAUAAAAUUAAUCAUCUGUAAUGCAUAAAUAAAUAAAAAUGAUAAAAAUUAAAUAAAUCUACUAUAAUCAAUAUUAUUGGAUUUUAAGUAUAACCUACAAAUUAUAAAAUGAAAAUUAUGAAGAAUAUAAAAAUAUAAUAAUAGUAAUAAUAAUAAUAAUAAUAAUAAUAAUAAUAAUAAUAAUAAUAGAAAAAAUAAUUUGUUAUCAUUGUCAUUAUCUUAUUUAGAAAUAUAUUAGAAACGUUAAUUUUUUGUUACUGUAAAAAAAAUAAAAAUAAUAAAUACUUUAUAUAAAAAUAAAAAGAAAACUUAAUAAUUGUUUUAAAAGAUAAAUAGAUAUAAAUAUAAAAGGUUAAAAACUAAAAUAAAAAAUGUCACUUCUAAUAACAUUUAAAAGUUCUACAAUUAAGUUGCUAAAUUUGUUUUUCUGGAUAUUAGUAAUAGAUUUAGAAAACAUUAGAAAAUAGUUUAAAAGUAAAAUCAAAGUAAAAUUAAGUGAAGAUGUAAUUUGCAUCCUUAUAUUUGAAUUUACUCUCAUUCAUCAAGCUUUUACUAUUAUGAAAGUUGAAUUUUUAAAUUAAUAUUUUUUUAUAUAUUCCUAAACUUCAUAAAAACAAAUUAGAAAAAUUAACAAAAUAAUAAUUUGAAAAGCUAUAGAACUCAAUCAAAUCAAUGACAAAGUUAAUUAAAAAAUAGUUAGAGAUUUUGUUUAUAAUUAACUUCUAUAUUUAAAUUGCCAAAGGAAAUUAUAUUUUUUUUAAUCAAAGGAUGAGCGUAGAAACUAUUUUCAUUUUUAUGAGAAUUAAAUAGAACUUUAAAUGUACCUAAUAUUUUAGCAAUUCCCAAUGUCCCGAAAUAGAAUUGUGGAGGUAAAAUGUAGUAUGAAAAGAAAAAGUAUUAAAAUUGAUGCAUGUAUUUGUGAGUAAUUAGUUAUAAGUAAUGUUGGUUAUUUGUAUAGGAAAACUGUAAAGUCUGAAUUCUUGGUAAUUCUUAUACAAGAUUAAUUUAAUUUUUUUUUUUUUUUUCAUUUACAUGUGCUGAUUUCGAAAGAUUGUAUCAUCGGAAUCGAAAGAGAGUCUUGAAUUUAAAGAUAGGGCAGACCUACAAGAGAUAUGGUGUCUCUCACUGCAGAUACCCCACUUUUCUUUCACUUACUUGAAAACCUUGAUUGUGAAUAAAUGCAAAAUUUCAUCAGAUGAUGCAGUGCUACCUUUCACUUUACUUUCUUUGUUACCCAAAUUGGAAACAUUGGAAGUUCAAAACUGUGAUUCUGUCAAAACCAUAUUUGAUGUUAAAUGUACAACACAAACCUCAACCACUUUUCCUCUCAAGAAUUUAGUUUUACGGAAGCUGCCAAAUCUGGAAACAGUUUGUAAUGAAGUUACAGAGGCUAAUCCAGCUCUUUCAUCAGAAGGAACAAAUUCUAAUCUUACAUUCUCCUGUUUGACGUCAUUGACACUCUUGGAUUUGCCCAACUUCAAUGCAGCACCAACAUUUCAGGUUUGCGCUUCUUCUUUUUUCAAUAACAUAUACAUUCUCACACAUAUGCUUUUAUCAAAUAUAUAUAAUGCCUUAAAAAGUGCGUAAAUCUUGAUAAAUAAUCUCCUACCGACCUUCGAAAUAUUUUUCAUUAUUUUCUUCCUAUAGGAACCACUAUUCAUCUCUUUUAUCAAACUUUUCAUCUGAAAAUUAAUUUUAAAUCAAAAUGGUUGCUGCCUUAUGAGCAGCUACCUGGUCUCCCUAGUAAAUCCUUUUUUGUCUUUUAAAUGGUCUUGUUCACAUCUUUUAUUUUUAUUUAAUCUUGAAAUGUCAGUUUUUCACUAAUUAUCGGGAUUAUUUUGGUAUAAAAGUUCACCAUUUCAAUUUUAUACAGAGAGUUGAAUCUAUGACUUUGCUAACUGCUUUCACUUCGUUAUUGGUUCCUCUUUGUAGCUAAUUACACCGAACUUAGAAAAUCUGAAAGUGGGUGAAAAUGAAUUGAAGAUGGUUGUCGAUGGGAAAAUUCAGAGAAACCUUUUACACAAGUUAAAAGUCCUGGCUCUGUGCUUUGAUAAAAAGUUUGCUGAAUUUUCAGAGUAUGGAUUUCUACAACAGUUGCCAAAUGUGAUUAAGCUUGUGGUGUGUGACAGUUCCUUCAAAGUGAUUUUCUGCGAUGAAAGACCUAAUAAUAGUGAAAUUCUUUUACAAUUGAAAGAAUUACGCUUGGAGUCCCUUCAAGAGUUGGUUUCCAUUGGCUUAGAAAACUCAUGGACUGAACCCUUUGUCAGAAAUCUAGAAACCUUUGAAAUCAUUGAGUGUUCGAAUUUAAAAAACAUAGUAACAUGCAGAGUGUCUUUCUCGAAUCUGAUAUGUUUAAAAGUUGAAAAUUGCAAUAGCUUGUCAUAUUUGUUCACAUCUUCAACAGCAAAAAGUUUGGAUAAACUUCGAAGAAUGGAGAUAGAAAAGUGUGAAUCAAUGGAAGAAAUAAUAGCAAAGGAGGGGGAGGAAUCUGAUGAGAACGUAGAAAUAAAAUUUGAGCAGCUCCAAGAUUUGUCUCUUAAAAAAUUAGAUGAGCUAAGGUGCUUUUACGAGGGCAAUUUUACUUUAUACUUUCCAUCCUUGAAGGAAGUCCACGUCAUCCAGUGCAGCUCCAUGAAAAUUUUCAGUGCAUUCUACAAAAUAGAUAAUCCAACAAGGUGGCAUUAUUCAGAAUAUGAGAGACCCCGAAAGGAAACUGAUCUUAAUUCUGCUCUGCUCAGAAAUUCUGAAGAAGAGGUAUACAUGCUUUUACGUCUUAAUUUGGUAAAUAGAAUUAGGAGUAUAGGGCCCUGCGUAACAUUCUUCUUAAUUUCUCUUUAUCAACUGCUAUGAUUUAUCAUUUUCAUUAUAAAUACUGUACAUUUUCUUUGGGGAGAAUUUAUAAGAAAACCAUAAACAAAGCUAGUUAUUGGCGCUUUGAAUUGAGAACAUUGUUUUUAGCGUAAUGUGUUUUUGAGUUGCAUCAUGCUUAAAAGUAAGUUGUAUAUGGUCUUAUGCUUUAAAUAGGCUCCAGAUGCUUCUACUACAUCAAAUCCGUCAGAUACGGAAGAUAGUGGAUAUCGUACAAAUACUUCAGAUACGGAAGAUAGCGAAUAUGGUACAAAUACUUCAGAUACGGAAGAUAGCGGACCUGUCGUACAUCAAAUAUUAACUACUGCCAUUGCAAUUGUUAAUCUUUUUUAGGGUGAGUUUUACUGUCAUCUUCUCUAUGCCCAUGCAGGUGAUGAUUAAUGAGAAAGCACUUUUUCACAGCAUAACAUCAUGAUUACGUCUUAAUACCUAAGUAAUUUUGUAUUAGUGUCAUUUUAAGUUUUAUUCAUAUCUUUUUAAGUGAAUAUUUCUUUGUCAUAUUUUAGUUAUGAGACUAGUGAAUCGCUUGAAAUCGCUUUAAUGAAAGUAUAGUAAUUGUUUUUAUAAUUCGUCUAGGUUGAGUCUAUGUGGCAGACUCCAUUAUUGAAGUAAUUAAGAGGAGAUUGAAGGCAUAAAGAAUGGAUGAAGAGGAAUCUGUCUCGAUUUUAUUAUGUGUGAUUGUGUUUUAAAGAAAAUGAAAAAGAAAAGAAAAGUGUUAUUCUACCUAGUUGAACGUGUUUCUAUUUUAUUAGGUAUGACUGUGUUUUUUUUUAUAAAAAAAAAAAAUUCUGUGUUGUUCUACCCAAUUGAAGAUAAAAUACAUUAUUAUUUGUACUAUGUAAUGUGUGAGAUUAAAAGUGUGACAGUCAUGAAUAUUGAUUAAAGGUGAAGUGAGGAACUGUCACUAAAUAUUGAUUGUAAUUUCAUAUGUGAUUAUGCUGGUUAAAAAAAGCAAAGGUAUGCUAGUAUUCAUUUGCUAUUAAUUUUAUCUUCAUGUGAUCAUAAUUAAUGAUUUUAUCUAGUACUCAACUUUUAUCAUGCUUCACUUUUGAGUCCUCCGUUGUCACAUAGGUAAUGUAUAUGCAUAUUUGUUUACAAAAGAAAGUUUGAGGGUAGGAAGAUUUUGAAGAAAAUGUUUCAUACAACUUUUUAUCGGAAAGGGUUAUUUCGCUUAUGGAAGACAUGAAGUAAAGGGAUUAUAUAAACUACUUAAAAGAGUAAUUCCAAUAUAAAUAUUUUUGUACAUCAUUCUAAAUAAGAUUUUCUAGAAUUCUAUUUGGGUCUUUAUAAUAUUAGACUUUUAUCUUAUAAGCCUAAAACACAAAAUUAAUUUACAUUUCAACAAAUUUAUCAUCUUCAAGUACCCUAAAUCCUUAAUAUAUACACAUUUAUAAGAACAUUUUUACAACCUAAGAACAAAAUAUAAACACAACACAAAUACAAGCAAACAUAAGUUUGUACACACAUAAACACAAGCACACUCUAAAAUGCAAUAUAGUCAACCCUAGACUCAAAGAAACAAUAAUGUUCAAUAGGGAAUUCAAGCAAGUCAUUCAAAAAAAGUGUUAUCUGACAUCCAUCAAAAUUGUAUACGGCAGUCCCUUGGAAUCCAAUUAAAUACAAAAUCAUAACUAAUCAGCACUAAAUAACGAUUUUAGCAAGAUGUUAUAAUUGAUUUAGAAGCAGAACAUAUCAACUCUCAAGAUAUGCCAAAUAAUAUAUUAACAGAUAUUAGGCAAUAUUGUGUUAGUUAUAAUUCAGAUAUUAUUAUAAUUUGUGCAGAUUUGUGCUAUUGCUAUUCCUUUAAUAGAUGAAGAAUUAUAGGAUCCUUGUAUGUAUAUAUAUGAUACUCUACCCUUUGAAAUAAUACAUCAAAAUUAUUCUUUAAACCUUUUAAAAUAGUAUCAGAGUCAAACACUGAUAUCCUCUACAAUAUUGGAAUCAAUACUUCUUUUUUUCCAUUGAAUAUUUCUGAUGGCUUCUUCCUAUAAAAAUCAAUCGGAGAAACAUGAUUUGUGACCAAGUCAGGUAUAUCUGACUCUGCCCUUAAUUUUUCUGUUGUUACUAAGGGUAGUAAUUGGAUAAUUGAUUUAGGUGCUACUGAUCAUAUGACUUGUGAUCAUCAUAUAUUUACUAAUUUUUCCUCUAUUUGUUUCAAACCUGUUAUUAUUAAUGCCGAUGAGGUCUCAUCUCCUAUUGAAGGUAUAAGUAUUGUAUCUCUCUCACCCUCCUUAUCAAUUCCUUAUGUUUAAUUUGUUCCUACAUUAAACUGUAGUCUUAUCUCUGUCAGCAAGUUAACCAAAUCACUUUCUGGUAUUGCCUUGUUUUAGCCAACCCAUUGUCUUUUACAAAACAUUCAUUCCAAGGAGAAGAUUACUAGUGGUAGAGAGAGUGAAUAUUUGUAUUAUCUUGAAAAUGUCUCACAACAAAACCAUAAAAGAGGGUUGGCUUGUCUUGCGAAUGAUCACAUACAAGAUAAAAACAUAAAGGAAAUUUGGUUAUGGCAUAGACGGUUGGGACAUCCCUCUUUUGGUUAUUUAAAAAAAUUAUUUCCAUCACUAUUUCUUAAAUGCAAUAUUUCUGAUUUUUUUUUUGUGAAACUUGUGUUAUAGCAAAAAAUCAUCGUGUUGUGUUUCCUUUAAGCAAUAACAAAAUUGAUCUUCCUUUUUCAUUAAUUCACAAAGAUGUUUGGAGCCCUGCCCCACAAUCUACACAUAAUGGAAAAAAAUGGUUUAUCAGUUUUGUUGAUCAUUGUACUCGAGUAACCUGGGUAUAUUUGUUUACACAUAAAAGUGAUGUGGUUCGUUCCUUCUAUCAUUUGGUUGUCACACAAUUUAACACAUCUAUUAAGGUUAUUCGAUCAGAAAAUGGAAGAGAAUAUUUUAAGACUGAAUUAAUAGAGUUCAUGAACUCUAAAGACAUCUUGCAUCAAACUACAUAUGUCGUUAUUCACCAUAACAAAAUGUAGUGACUAAGAGGAAAAAUAUACAUAUAUUAGAGGUGACAAGAUCACUUUUGAUAGAUGGUAAUGUCCCAUCUCAUUUAUGGGGUGAGGUUGUGAGCUAUGUUGUUUAUUUUAUUAAUCGAACCCCUUCUAGUGUGCUUAACUUUUGAAGGCCUUUUGAUGUGUUGUCUGAUCAUUGUAUCCUUCCUCCCAUAGUUUAUUUAUCACCUCAUCUUUUUGGAUGUGUUAUAUAUGUUCACUUACACCCACAUCAACAUACAAAGCUUGAAGAACGAGCGAUCAAAUGUGUUUUAUUUGGGAAUGGAUUAACUCAAAAAGGUUAUCGUGCUUACCAUCCACCAUCAAAGAAAUUUUAUAUUUCUAUGGAUGCGACAUUUAAUGAGCAUGACAAUGAAAGUGAAGUGCAUAAUCAUGAUGUUAAAAUGCUUGAUUGUGAAGAUAAAUUAUUGUGUGAAGAUCAUUCUGCAGGAAGUGAGCCAAUCCUAAAUAUGGACACUUCUUUUCUUUGUCUUUUAAUCAUAACCAAUUGGCUUAAUCUUCUCCAAAGGUUCAACAUGACUCUUCAUAGGUACCUUCUGACCCUAUCUAUGAUAAUACUAAUUUAGAUGAAAUUGCUCAUUGAAUUGAUUCUUGACUGCGUGAGACCACUAGCACACCAAACAUUGAGUCUACUACUAUUAUAUAUUCUUCCACCUCGUUCUAACCGUGGUCAACCUCCAACUAUAUAUGAGGCAGACCUCCAAGCCAAAGUUAAACAUCUCGUUAGUAAAUAUGUGUCAUGAAAAACUGGAAAGAAAUAAGAGAGAUAUAGAACAAUUUCAAUUAGAACAAAAAUCAAAUGAAGUCUUCGAUGCAAGUUCAAGACAGAAUUCAUCACGCAGAAUGCACAACACACUGCAGUCGAAAUGAUUGGAAAGACCACGAGAAAAUCCAUAAAUGACCUCUAUCAGUGUAACUAUGACAAUUAAGCUUCAUCGGAGUUUAUCCAUAGCUCAUGAUAGUUUGCAUCAUUUAGAGAUCAAAAUCAACAAGGCACAUAACGGAGCAAUGAAAUUCCUUCAAAUAAUACACAUGAAACAAUCUAAUUUCUCUCCAAUUUUCAUGCUUACAUAUCACUUGAAUUUACAACUAUCAUCGAAAGGUACACAUUCAAGAAAUCAACAUGUUGUAAAAUCCAAAUCAACCCAUUACAAAGAUGCAACUACAAUAAAAACUAGUUACAAUUGAUUACCUUCUUUCCUAGCCUGACAAGCCUCAAGGCCAACUCUGUAGUAGUAUUUGCAGCAACAAUGACAUCUGCUGCCCUUCCUGUGAUAGGACCUUCCUGAAGUACAUGGAUGUGAGCUUCAGCAGAAAUAAAACCAUUUAUAUGACAAGCCAUAUCACAACACUAACCAAUCCAGCCAUCAACUUCCAAACAAUAACAAAAACCACAUACUAAAUUUUCCAAACACACAUCACAAAUUCAUCUUCUAAAAAUCUGACAUUUUCAAUAUAUCACCUUCCAACACUGCCUCAUCACUGUCUAGUGGAGAGAAAUGACAGACUAUAUUGUUUACUGAUAUACAUAUGGAAAAAGCAACUCUGAUGGCAACCCCUAAAUGGACUUCCCAUCCAAAGAAGCAUCGACUACACUAAAACUAUGAAAGGGAAGUUGAUUGAGAACUUAAUCUUUUCUUUCUAAAGUCUUAGCAUGUUUCUCUCUAACUAAAUACAUCUUACUUUGUUUUGUAGGUUAUUAAUAAGGCUUGGCAAACACUUAGAAGAAUUGCCAAGCAAAGGAGACAAGAGGAGACUUGUUCACGACCAACACUUCAUUUAGCAACAUGUUUCCUACAUGGAUACACCAGCUGCCAACACCUUUUCCACGUGCAAUAUACCUUGCAGCACCUUGCAGCACCUUUUCCAUGUUUACCACGUGGACAACAACUUCUUGAAGCUUAUGAUCCAUAUCUUCCACGUGCAAAAUUUCAAACUUCCAUUGUACACUUCUUUUCCAGCACAUUUGUAAUAAGUUCAUGGCUUGCAUUACACAACUCAUAGGCUCUCUUCAUCUAUAAAAGAGAAGCCAAAUCCUUUGUAAAUUCAACUUGAAUUGAAGUAAAGAAAUGCUGCCAAAUUUCAGCUUUUACUCUUAAGUUCACCUUUGUGCAUUGUUAUCUUGCACUUCCUCUAGCUCCUUUCCCUUUAGGAGAGCUCUCUGAGUUAGAAUUCACCAUUACACCAUAGCCAAUCUUUCACGGACCUUCAUCAAACACCUUGAGCACACUUCAUCCAUCAUCACUGUCUCAUUCAUCCGCUACAACUUCUGAUUACGUGAAGCUUCUCCAAGCAUGAAUCCAGUGGAGGCUUCCAUCAAGUGGUAUCCAGAGCCAACCGUUUCUCAUCCACGCAUCAAGAGCUAAGUGAUCUUCCUUCAUUCUAUCAAUUUCGCGUUGUUCUGUUCUAUGUGUUCUGUUUUCUCUGAAUUUUUCUUUUUCGUUUUCGUUUUGUGUUGAGUGGAUUGUGUUUCGUCCACUGUUCCAUAGCUUUUCUCCUUCAUUUUAAUCGGUGCAAUUCAUUCAUUUUGGUUCGAUUCCAGCUUUCUUUUAUGUUCCGUAUUGUUACUGUCAUGUGCAAAUGUGUUUGCAGUUUUAAUUCUGUCACAGUUUUUGCUUCUCUUCAGCGUUGAUUUUCGUUUUCUUUCGUUUUCAUUGAAUCUUGUGCGUUUGCUAAGCUAUAUGUUGAUCUAUAAAGCAAAGAUAGCAUGUCAGCUUUGAUCAUUUGAACUUCAAGGCACUGCACACUGUUUCACACUCAACACUCUACAGAAAAUGAAUUUUUCAGGUUUACUUUGGUGAAAUUUGUUUCAAUCCAGAUUUAUUGAUUUUAAUGCUUGAGACAAGUUUAAUUGAUGAUUUUCUACAUGUUUCAAGUAUUAACAAUCUGUAUUACACACUGAAUUCCAAAAAGAGUAGUUGAGUUGCUCAAAAUCUGGUUUCAAACACUGUGACUGUUUUUUUUAAUCAAAGCUUGCACCGUGCUUACCAUCCUUGCUGUGUUAUAGGUCAUUUAACAUCUGGUAGCUCAUAUUUUCCAGCUAGAUCUAGUUGCCUAGGGCCUUUCUUAACAGUUUCUUGAUCUAUCCAGCUUUGAAUCUGUUAUAUUCUUCAUUCCUGCUGUUGUUUUGUCCAUUUUUGAUGCAUAACUAGCAACUCAACAUGUGAUUUCGAGCUUGUGUCUGGUUCUGUGCAUUGUAUCUUUUUGAACAUGUUUAAUUGCACAUUUAAAACUUGUUUGCACUGUCCAAUUACUCUUUUCACAGCCAAGGUACCAUUUCACAUCUUGAACCAUCACUUUUGCUUGAAAUAUGCAAGUGUAUACCUCAUUUUGAGAUCCUUACUGUUUUGGAUCAGUCUCAUUGCUUUUGGAGUAAAUUUUGGUGAAUUAAAGUUGGUUUAUUACUGUUCAUAUGGUAAAUUUUGAACCAAAGUCAUAUUAACCUGCUGCAUCACCAAAUUUUACUCAUUUUGAAGUAGUGCACUUGUCAUUGUCUACUGCAAUCACCUUCUUUGCUAUUUAGGUGUUUGUAUACAUCUAUUAUGAUGAUAUAAAGUUGCUUGAAGUGUCAUUGAACCAUUUACCUCCCUGCCAUUCAAAUUCACCACUACUGUUUCUCAUUUUUCAGCCAAACUUCAAUGUUGUCACCAUAUCAGAUUUUUGGUUUUGAAAAAUUGGAUUGGCAAAAGCUGAGAUUUACUUUCUAAAUCAUUUCCAAUGUUCAACCACAUCUAAAACCAUACAGAAAAAGCAAUUAUAUCCCUGCAAUCCAGUUUGAAAAGCACAAAUCAGAGAAACACAUAAAUCUGCUGUUCAUUGAGGAAUUUUGUCAAACAGUUUUACAUUUUCAUCAAACAGUUACAACACACUCAAUUUCUUUGCAGUUUUUGAAGUUUUCUUGCUUUUAAAAUAUGUUCCUAGUGCCCUUCUUAAGCUCCUUGUGCGUCCCUGCUAUUAUUUCAAGCUUAAUAUCAUUUGCAUUCCACUUGCUUGACCUCUAAAGUGUGCUCAAAACCCAUUCUGCAUAUAUAACAGUUUGGUGCAGUGGUUGUUUCAUGUUCUCUUUACUUGUUGUUUCAGCUGGUUUAUGGUGUUAUUAUGGUGCAUUUUAACCCACCAGAUUGCUCCUCCAACGGGGUAGCCUAUUAAGGAGUGGAAGGCUUGCUAACAAGGCAACAAUUGUGGACAUUGGGAGUAGUUGUGUUGUUGUUCCAGCUAUACUUGCAGCAAUAAAACCGUGUCAUUCCAAGCAUAUUCAGCAAGUCUUUACAGCCACACUUGGCUUUAGUCCUUGAUUGCUACAUUUCAUUUUAUCUCUCAUAUUGUAUCACGAAACCUUUGAGUAUUACAUUUCAUUCUUUUUGAAACUGAAAGUAACUUGGGAAAAUGCUUUUCAAGCAAUUCCAAAUCUACUAAGCAACAUUGUAAUAGUUAGUUCCCACCUCUUAGAGUGAAAGUGUGUCAAGGGGCUCCAAGUGUCACUUGCACUUUCACAUAGGCCCGUUUGUCAUUGUCUUUCAUUUCCAUUCUUUUACUUUUCCUUGCUCGACUAAACUUUUAUGUUUUAAGUCUCCGUGAUACUUAGGAGUGCGUUUCAUAUAGAUAAACCUUUGUUUGGUUUAUAGGUGCAUCUCAUAGUGCAUUCAAAAAGCUUUUGAAAGACUUCUCUAGUGAAACUUGGGUAAGAAACGUCAGAAGAAACUUUGGCUAGGAAGGACAAGGUUUCUAAGCUUGUCCAUUGUGACUCACCUCUCCUUCCUGGGAGCUAUUCGGUUUCUUCACCUCUAGAAUCUCUUUAGAAGUCCUUCACCAAAAACAAACAAAUCUUCUUUUCAAAAGUUUUGAUUCAUAAUUGUGAAAGGCUUUCAAAUCCUUGUGAAAAAACUUUCUCUACUUCACAAGCAUGAGUCACUCGAGUGUUCAAGGUAACAUCAAUCAAGUUCAAGAGAACAUAGAGUUGCGAGAAGAACUCAAUAGAACCAAGUCUGAGUUGAAUGAGCUAAGGCAAAUGGUCGCCAAUCUUACUCACAAUCAGAGAGGGCACACACGAGGGGAUCACUCUCAUAGGCAAAACCAUGAUCAUGAUGAUCAUUCCCAACAUAGUGAUCACCAUAGUUACCAACCUUAUGAUCACUAUUAACACCCUCCUAGGCGUCAUCACAACCAUAGAGAACAUCAUGUAGAACCUAAGCUUGACCUUCCUCCUUUCUAUGGUAGAGAUAAUGUUGAAGAAUACUUUGAGUGNGAGAUGAAGGUUGAACAAAUUUUUGAAUGCUACAACAUAGAUGAUAGGAGGAGAGUGACCCUAGCCACCUUAACCUUUCAAGGUGCAGCCCUUUAUUGGUGGACAUCCAUCAUGAGAGACCAAAGGAUGCAUGGCGACUACACAAUCCAAUAUUGGAAUGAGUUGAAAGAAGUCUUACACAGGCGACAUGUCCCGGCCUACUAUGCUAGAGAAGUCAUGGACAAGCUCCAUCGACUUCAACAAAGAAACAUGAGUGUUGAAGAAUAUAGGCAAAAAUUAGAGUUACUCAUGUUGAGAGUGGGGAUAAAAGAAGAGAGAUUCACCAUAGCUAGAUUUCAGAGUGGAUUAAACUAUGAGAUUAGAGAUAAGGUAGAACUUUUACCUUACUUAGAUCUCAAUGAUUUNNNNNNNNNNNNNNNNNNNNNNNNNNNNNNNNNNNNNNNNNNNNNNNNNNNNNNNNNNNNNNNNNNNNNNNNNNNNNNNNNNNNNNNNNNNNNNNNNNNNNNNNNNNNNNNNNNNNNNNNNNNNNNNNNNNNNNNNNNNNNNNNNNNNNNNNNNNNNNNNNNNNNNNNNNNNNNNNNNNNNNNNNNNNNNNNNNNNNNNNNNNNNNNNNNNNNNNNNNNNNNNNNNNNNNNNNNNNNNNNNNNNNNNNNNNNNNNNNNNNNNNNNNNNNNNNNNNNNNNNNNNNNNNNNNNNNNNNNNNNNNNNNNNNNNNNNNNNNNNNNNNNNNNNNNNNNNNNNNNNNNNNNNNNNNNNNNNNNNNNNNNNNNNNNNNNNNNNNNNNNNNNNNNNNNNNNNNNNNNNNNNNNNNNNNNNNNNNNNNNNNNNNNNNNNNNNNNNNNNNNNNNNNNNNNNNNNNNNNNNNNNNNNNNNNNNNNNNNNNNNNNNNNNNNNNNNNNNNNNNNNNNNNNNNNNNNNNNNNNNNNNNNUUAAUUGUGGAUAGUGGUUCUUCUAGCAAUUGUUGUAGUUCUAGAGUGGUGCACAAAUUAGCCUUACCUACUAUUCCUCAUCCUAAGCCUUAUAAGCUUCAGUGGAUAACAGAGGAUGAAGAAAUAGUAGUGAACAGACAAGUAACCAUACCAAUGUCCAUUGGCAAAUAUGAAGAAAAUAUUUUAUGUGAUGUUGUUCCAAUGGAUGCUGGGCAUGUAUUACUUGGUAGGCCAUGGCAAUAUGAUCAUAACUCCACUCAUGAUGGCUAUACCAACAAAAUAACUUUCCUCCAUAAAGGCAAUAAAAUAACAUUGAUUCCUCUUACACCUGAACAAGUAAAAGAGGAUGAGAUAAAAAUCAAAGAAAAAAUUGAAAAAGAAAGAAAACAAGAAAAUAUGUUGGAAAAGCAACAUUCUCAAGAAAAGAAGAAGGAGACAAAGGUAUGCAUGAUAUUAACUCCUUCCUUAGCAGGUAAAUACCUUGACUUUUCUUCUUUUCAAAAACAUCACUUUGAUUCUCCAUUUCAUCAUGGGGAAUGUUCCAAACAAAGUGAAAACAAAAAGGCCAAGACUUCUUCUAAUCACAUUUUUGUCACAAGGCCUUCAUUUCAUUUUUUUCUCUUUGCAUAUCUCUUAUUCAUCAUACUCAUUUUUACUAUCUUUUGUAGAUAUAUCUUUGACCCAGGAGGAAAAUAAACACUAAAGUUCUGCUUCUUCUUUCUUCCCGAUUUGAGGACAAAUCGUUUUUAAAGAGGGAGGGAAUGAUGGCAACCCCUAAAGGGACUUCCCAUCCAAAGAAGCAUCGACUACACUAAAACUAUGAAAGGGAAGUUGAUUGAGAACUUAAUCUUUUCUUUCUAAAGUCUUAGCAUGUUUCUCUCUAACUAAAUACAUCUUACUUUGUUUUGUAGGUCAUUAAUAAGGCUUGGCAAACACUUAGAAGAAUUGCCAAGCAAAGGAGACAAGAGGAGACUUGUUCACGACCAACACUUCAUUUAGCAACAUGUUUCCUACAUGGAUACACCAGCUGCCAACACCUUUUCCACGUGCAAUAUACCUUGCAGCACCUUGCAGCGCCUUUUCCAUGUUUACCACGUGGACAACAACUUCUUGAAGCUUAUGAUCCAUAUCUUCCACGUGCAAAAUGCCAAAAUUCCAUUGUACACUUCUUUUCCAGCACAUUUGUAAUAAGUUCAUGGCUUGCAUUACACGACUCAUAGGCUUUCUUCAUCUAUAAAAGAGAAGCCAAAUCCUUUGUAAAUUCAACUUGAAUUGAAGUAAAGAAAUGCUGCCAAAUUUCAGCUUUUACUCUCAAGUUCACCUUUGUGCAUUGUUAUCUUGCACUUCCUCUAGCUCCUUUCCCUUUAGGAGAGCUCUCUGAGUUAGAAUUCACCAUUACACCAUAGCCAAUCUCUCACGGACCUUCAUCAAACACCUUGAGCACACUUCAUCCAUCAUCACUGUCUCAUUCAUCCGCUGCAACUUCUGAUUACGUGAAGCUUCUCCAAGCAUGAAUCCAGUGGAGGCUUCCAUCAAACUCCUUUCUCAAUCUUCUUCUUGUAUACAUUUUCAGUUUGCCUACACAGACAAGAAACAACACCUAUUAGUAAAACUUUGUAAAUAUAAAAACGUUUAGAACUACGUAUACAUGUCCCAAACAGAGCAUGAUGGACUCGUUCAUGAAGUUGAACCACCUGAUUUAUAGAAACAUAGGAUAGGAGUGACUUCAAACUUGGUUUUGUUAUAUCUGAUGGCUUGAAAGACAAAAUCAUCUUUUGCUGCAUAAUUAUCAGCUUUGUAACAGAGUUAAAACAUCACCAUCAAGUAUUUUGGGCACUCCAUCGUACUAUGACAUAGAUGUAAGAAAACAUGUUUGGCUACAUAUUCUCUCAAGUUUAGAAUAGAAUCUCUCUUAUAUUAUUCUGAGGUUACUAACCUCUAUAUUUAUACACAAGUCAGCAGCAUAUUAUGGGCUGCUAAAUUUACUGGACAAAUCCCUAUAAUUAUGGGAUCAAUCAAACAUAAAUAACCUAAUAAAGGUAGCANGCAUAUUAUGGGCUGCUAAAUUUACUGGACAAAUCCCUAUAAUUAUGGGAUCAAUCAAACAUAAAUAACCUAAUAAAGGUAGCAUUUAACAGUUAUAGAAAUACAGCGUAUUUAAAUAAAAAACUUCCUAAACUAUUCCAUGCCAAUUAAUUCCACGCCAAUCACGGUUUUGACACUCCCCCUCAAGCUGGUGAAUAGGUGUUUUCCAUUCCCAGCUUGGAGACAAUUCCUUCAAAGUUUAUGCAGUUCAGUCCCUUGGUGAGUAUAUCUGCAAGUUGGUUCUGUGUAGGUACAUAUGGUGUGCAAAUCAUGCCACUGUCUAGUUUUUCCUUUAUAAAGUGUCUAUCAACUUCAAUAUGUUUAGUUCUAUCAUGCUGUACCGGGUUAUGAGCUAUGCUAAUUGCAGAUUUAUUGUCACAAUAUAGCCUCAUAGGUUCAUCCCACUUUAUCUUCAAGUCUUCCAAUAUAAUUUUCAGCCAUAGAAGUUCACAUAUUCCAUGGGCCAUUGCUCGAAAUUCUGCUUCAGCACUUGAUCUAGCCACUACACUCUGUUUUUUACUCUUCCAAGUCACCAAGUUUCCACCAAGGAAGGUACAAUAUCCCGUGGUUGAUCUCCUAUCUACCACUGACCCAGCAUAGUCUGCAUCCGUAUAUGCUUCAAGACUUAAAUUCUUGUUCCGUUUGAACAAAAUCCCUCUUCCGGCGGUCCCUUUCAAGUAUUGUACAAUUCUAAGAGCAGCUUGUAGAUGUGUUUCCUUUGGUUGGUGCAUAAACUGGCUAACUAGACUUACAGCAAAUGCAAUGUCUGGUCUAGUGUGAGAUAAGUAAAUAAGCCUGCCCACAAGUCUUUGAUACAUUUCCUUGUCCACAGCAAUAUCAUCCUCCAUACUUCCCAAUUUUAUAUUUGGAUCAACUGGAGUACUUGUUGGUUUGUAGCCUGUCUUCCCUGUUUCUCUAAGCAAGUCGGUAAUAUAUUUUUGUUGAGAUAUGAAGAUUCCUUUCUUGGAAUGGGCCACUUCAAUUCCCAAAAAAUAUUUAAGUCUUCCCAGUGUCUUAAUCUCAAAUUCCGUGGCAAGACAUUUGCUUAAUACUUGUUGUUCCCUUUUGUCAUCCCCACUCACUAUAAUAUCAUCUACAUACACUAAUAGAAUUGUUACUCCCCCUGAAGCUGAAUGUUUGAUAAAUAAAGUGUGAUCCCCUUGACUCUGUUUGUAUCCUAGACCUGUCAUAACUUUGGUAAAUCUUCCAAACCAUGCUCUCGGGGAUUGUUUCAACCCAUAUAGAGCCUUUCUUAAUUUGCAAACAGUUCCAGCAGCAACAUGUUCCUUGUAACCCGGGGGCAACUCCAUGUAUAUUUCUUCUUCAAGGUCUCCAUGUAGAAAUGCAUUCUUCACAUCAAACUGCUGCAGAUCCCAACCAUUAUUUGCUGCNAGUGACAAUAAUACUCUGACCGUGUUCAUCUUAGCNACCGGGGCAAAUGUCUCCAANUAAUCAACUCCAUAGGUUUGAGUGAAGCCUUUGGCCACCAACCUUGCCUUGUAACGUUCGAUUGUCCCAUCAGCCCUAUACUUUAUUGUAUAUACCCACUUACAUCCCACUGGUUUUUUUUCCAGAAGGUAGAGUGACAAGUUCCCAAGUCCUAUUCUUGUUUAAUGCCUCCAUUUCCACAUCCAUGGCAUUUUUCCAUUUCCUGUCAGACAAUGCUUCAGAUACAAAGGAAGGUGUGUGUGUGGAGUUGAGGUUAGUGAGAAAGGUUUUAUGGGUAGGUGAGAAUUUGUCAAAGGAUAAGAAAUUUGAUAGUGGGUAAAGUGGCUUUUGGGUGCAAGCUCUAGUUCCUUUUCUAAGGGCAAUGGGUAGGUCAAGGGUUUGGUCUGCCUGUGCUUCUAGAUUAUCAUAAACAAACUCAUUAGAAUCAUUAGAAUUUAUAGGAUUUGAAUGUGUUACCUCAUGUAGUGCUGGUGGGUUGGAUUCUUGGACAUUGCCAGAUUCUAGAAUGGCCUUUCCUCUUCUUGAGUAUACCUUUCCAAAUUUGCCGCCAUCAUCAGGUGCAGGUCUUGUGGAUUCAGUAGGUUGAAUUCUUUCCUCAAUUUCAGGGACAACAGGUUGAAUUCUUUCCUCAAUUUCAGUGACACCAAUGCCGUCACCAUUUGUCCCAGUUUCAGGCCCAAACGUCGUAUUUGGGGACAUGAGAGUCUCAUCUUCCUCUCUUAUAUUCUCCCCCUGAAGAUGAGGCUGUUUGAAGUAGCUCUCUUGUUCGUUGAAGGUGACAUCUCUUGACACAUAGAAUCUUUUUGAAAGGGGUUGAAAACAUUUGUACCCUUUUUGUGUGGUAGAGUACCCUAAGAAAACACAUUUGACANNNNNNNNNNNNNNNNNNNNNNNNNNNNNNNNNNNNNNNNNNNNNNNNNNNNNNNNNNNNNNNNNNNNNNNNNNNNNNNNNNNNNNNNNNNNNNNNNNNNNNNNNNNNNNNNNNNNNNNNNNNNNNNNNNNNNNNNNNNNNNNNNNNNNNNNNNNNNNNNNNNNNNNNNNNNNNNNNNNNNNNNNNNNNNNNNNNNNNNNNNNNNNNNNNNNNNNNNNNNNNNNNNNNNNNNNNNNNNNNNNNNNNNNNNNNNNNNNNNNNNNNNNNNNNNNNNNNNNNNNNNNNNNNNNNNNNNNNNNNNNNNNNNNNNNNNNNNNNNNNNNNNNNNNNNNNNNNNNNNNNNNNNNNNNNNNNNNNNNNNNNNNNNNNNNNNNNNNNNNNNNNNNNNNNNNNNNNNNNNNNNNNNNNNNNNNNNNNNNNNNNNNNNNNNNNNNNNNNNNNNNNNNNNNNNNNNNNNNNNNNNNNNNNNNNNNNNNNNNNNNNNNNNNNNNNNNNNNNNNNNNNNNNNNNNNNNNNNNNNNNNNNNNNNNNNNNNNNNNNNNNNNNNNNNNNNNNNNNNNNNNNNAAAUCUUUUAGGAACAUGAUUUUGAAAAAGUAGAGCUCUAGUUUGAUCUAAAAGGUGCCCAUUUUUCCUUUCUGCAAUCCCAUUCUGUUGGGGUGUGUUCACACAUGAGGACUCAUGGAUUAUCCCUUCCUUUUGGCAAAAAGAGUUUAGUACAAGGUUAAAGUAGUCCUUGGCAUUAUCCGACCUAAUUCUUUUUAUACCGACCCCAAAUUGAUUUUUAAUCAUAGAGACAAACUGGACAAACACAGAGCUAACUUCAGAUUUUUGUUUCAAUAAAAAAACCCAAGUCACCCGGGUACAAUCAUCAAUGAAUGUUAAAAACCAUUUAGCACCAGAAAUAUUAGGAACAUAAGCAGGACCCCAUACAUCAGUAUGAACAAGAGAAAAGGGGAAAUGACUCAUCUUAUUGCUAAUGGGAAAAGGUACACGUUUAUGUUUUGCCAACUCACAUACCUCACAAUGAAGACUUUCCACACUUAAAUUUUUAAACAAGGAAGGAAAAAGCACUUUUACAACUCGAAAUGAAGGAUGUCCUAGUCGGCAAUGAUAGAGGUGAGCUUUCUCUUUGUUGGUCAUGGUGGAUUUAGAGAUGAGACUCUUGGUAGGCAGAUUAGGAUCCUCCAUGUAGUACAGGCCAUUCCAUUCUCUAGCAUGUCCAAUCGUCCUCCCCGAGUUCUUGUCCUGCAAUACACAAGUGUUGCUAUAAAAAACAACAUUACACGCAAGGUCUUUGGUGAGUUUUUGUAUAGAAAUCAGGUUGGUGGAUAGUUUAGGGACAUGAAGGACAUUUUUUUAACGUCAUGGAUGGGCUUAUUUGGACCUCUCCUUGUCUGGCUGCAGUUAUGAGGGUUCCAUCUGCUGUGGAAAUUUUCUUGUUACUAGGACAUGGAGAAUAUGUGGAGAAGUAUUUGGAUAGUGGGGUCAUAUGGUCAGUGGCUCCAGAGUCUAGUAUCCAAUAAUGUGUGAACGGUGUAUCUGAAACAUUAAGUCCAAACAAGAAUGGAAAUUUACCAGAAUAUGUUAAGGAGCACGUACCUGUAGGCUUCUCCAAUUUACUAAGGAUGGAUCUUACCCNUUCUAUCUCUUCAUGAUUCAANUGGACAGAUUCUUCACCUUGCCCAUUAGCAAUGUAUGCUUGCCCUCCUUUUUUCUGUGGGCCUCCCUUCAAUCCCCAUUCUCGGCCUGGGAGUUUCGGUCCCCAUUCUCUGCUUGAGGUUUUCCCAUCUUUCAGCCCCCAUUCUCGGCUUGGGGGCUUUCCAUGUAAUUUCCAGCACUUUUCCCUUGUGUGGCGCGGCUUGUUAUAAUGGGUACACCAAAUCUCCUCAUGUCUUUUCUCCCAGUUUUUUCUCUGGUUAGCAACCAUGAUUGUUCCUCCUUCAGCUAUCAUUGCAGAGCUUUCAGUGGUUGAAGUUUCCAGCAUCAACCCUCUCCUGCUUUCUUCACUCCGAAUAAUGGCUACCACUUCAUUAAGCCCUGGAACUUUCUCCUUUCCUAAGAUUUGAAUUCGGACCUGGUCAUAUUCAGGAUUUAGGCCCACCAAAAAAUCAUAGACCCUAUCUUGUUCAAUAUAUUCUUUUAAAAUUGCUGAGUCUUCUGAACACUUUGCUUUUAUAACCCGAUAGUGAUCCAAUUCCAUCCAUAGGGAUUUAAGUUGAUUGGCAUAUUCUGUAACGGACUUACUUCCCUGUUUAGCAGCCACGGUUUUCACCUUUACAUCAUAAAUUUGAGCAGCAUCCUUGGCCUUAGAGUAAGUUUGUUCGACUGCCUCCCAGAUCUCCCUUGCUGAUUUUAGGAACAUGCAGGUAUCACUGAUUUCUGGGACCAUUGAAUUCCACAGCCACGCCAUGAUCAUGGAGUCUUCUUCAUCCCAUGAUUUGAAUUUUGGAUCACUCUCACUCGGUGCAUCCCCAGUUAGGUGACUGAUUUUCCCUUUUCCUUUCAGGAUGGUCCUAAUGAUUUGAGACCAUUUGAGGUAGUUUUUUCCAUUUAAUCGAUAAGCAGAAUGGAUAUUCUGCAGUUCUCCAGUGGUCUGGAAUCUAUCUCCAGUUUUCGGGUUCCCAGCUUCAGCCAUAACGCGAUACACUCACGAUAAGUGACGAAAGCUUGACGGUGACGUAGUGAUGAUGACGCAGCAAUGAAGGCUGCCGCAAACGAUAAGUAACGAAGGCUCGACGGUGACGCAGUGACAGUGACGCAGCAAUGAAGGCUGCCGCAGACGAUAAGUAACGAAGGCUCGACGGUGACGCAGUGACGGUGACGCAACAAUGAAGGUUGCCGUAGACGAUAAAAAUGAGGGCCUGAUGGUGGAGCAGCAAUAAAGGCUGCUGUAGUUUUAGGUUGAAGGUAGAGCAGCAAUAAAGGCUGCCGUAGUUUUAGGUUGAAGGUAGAGCAACAAUAACGGCUGCCGUUUUGGAUAAAAUAACACGGUCAGAGACUCCCAAGGAUCGGGAGCUCUGAUACCAUCUCAAGUUUAGAAUAGAAUCUCUCUUAUAUUAUUCUGAGGUUACUAACCUCUAUAUUUAUACAAGUCAGCAGCAUAUUAUGGGCUGCUAAAUUUACUGGACAAAUCCCUAUAAUUAUGGGAUCAAUCAAACAUAAAUAACCUAAUAAAGGUAGCAUUUAACAGUUACAAAAAUACAGCGUAUUUAAAUAAAAAACUUCCUAAACUAUUCCAUGCCAAUUAAUUCCACGCCAAUCACGGUUUUGACAUAUUCUAGUCAAUAAAAGUGCUUGCAUAGGAAGCUAUUAAAAGGUAUUUCCUCCGAAUAAGCUAACAUAUAUUAAAGAAAAAACAUAAGAAUCAAGGAUAUGAAAUACAAAAUCUAUUCCAUGUAAUGGUUGAGUCAACCAUAUUUAAUUGUUGUGCAAUUAUUUAUUAUAAGAGAAAAAAUAAAAUGAAAAUGAAACACCAAUGAUAAUAAAUUAAAGCAGAGUUCUUACCUAAAUUUUGUGACUCACUUGUGAAACACCAAGGAAAGAAGGCUUUUGAUAGAUCAUAUUUUACCCUGUACACAUGAAAAACAAUGUUACUCAAGAUAUCAAAGGCAUUAGAGCAUUGCCUCCCAAAACUCGCCAAUUCACUUAAAGUUGCUAAUUUCUACAAACCAUUUCUUUUCUUAAUUCAGGAGUAAUCAUCUAGGUGCUUAUUUAUGUUAUACAAGUCUAUGUUCCGUUGUUAUCCUUAAUCACAAAUUACUUAUAUAAACAGGGGAAUUAUAUAAACAGGGGAGGGAGAGAUGAGUCAAUAUAUUUCACGCAUCAAUAUAUUACAACAAUGCACUUGAACACCCAUUUCCGAUCUUCCUUAGUUUAGGCAUAAUUUCUUCGUCUGACUUUUUCAGAAUUUAUCAAUAACAUACACCUAUUGUGUCUUGUACCUCCUUUUCGUUUCUACUUCACUUCCUUCUUAUCUUUUUCUCUUUCGUCAUGCCUUUUUUUACCUGGUACCUCUUUCUCUUCCUUUUUUAUUUCUUUUUUAAUUUGGUGUCGACUUCCCAAUACACCCCAGCAAGGGAUGCCUCUUUGACAUAUCCACAUUUGAGAGAAUAAGCUUUUUGUCAAAGCAGCUCCAUUGGAUGUCAAAGAAACCCUCAAAAGGUCUAUUGCCUGACCAAAAUAGAUACAAUGAAUGUCAAUUAUAAAUUGAAAAGGAAGAAAUGUUGUACGCAGUUUAUUAUAGCCAUUUAUUUUAUUAGAUUAAUUAAAACCAUAAAUAUUGCGGUUGAACAAGUAUUCAAGAGUUGAUUGAGAAUAUUACCUCAUGUGACUUUCUUACUUUAAUAAAAUGUUCCUCCAAAUCAUUCACCUUCACAAUCCCUAGUUCUUUCAAAUGCGAAAUGCUAGAAGCAUUUGUCAUUGGUUUCACUUCAAGAUCAUCGCUCACAACAAAUAGACAUGGUCUCUUCAUAAAUCCCACAGGAGGUUCUCUUGCUCCAUCAGAGGAUCUUGGGUCAAAAAGUUUCACUUUUUUUGGAUCUCGUAACAACUCUUUUCUCUUUGAAAUCAUUGUACGCCCCUCAUUCUCUUUCUCCACUACAGGGCCAUACCAAUAUUCAGGAGAAUCCUCCUCUUCUAAUGGAUUCCUCUUACAACCAAAAUGAGGAGCAACCUUUAUAUUCUUUAAAGAUUCAUUAGAUGAUCUUACAAACCAUGAUGGAUUGAGACGCUUCACACUUUUGUACAAGUUACGAAUGCUUCCCAAACACAAUUUUCCUUUCAUAAGCCUCACAAUAGAUCCAAUAGGUGUUGUGAGGAAGCUGGUUAGAAGGUCAACAAAAUCUCCAUCUACUUCAGCAAAUAAAAUCUUGUUCUGUGAUUUGCUCACCAUUACUUUGAUUUUUACAUGACCUUUCGAAUGAAUGGGACCGGUAUACUGUGAGGAAGAGUAUUUCUUAUAUUCUUCAUUUUUCAAUAAUACAUCACUCAGAGGAGAUUUGGAGAUUAAGGAUUGCUUUAGUAUGCUCAAUAUCUGAAAAUACAACCAAAACCAAGCUAAUUAAGGAAGUCAGGAAGGUUAUCAGUUGAGCAAAUAAGAAUAAUGUCUUAACUUUAUACCACAAAAUAAUCAUUUUAGUAUCCAAAGUAUUUUCUUCAUCCGCAUAUCAACUCCUAUUUCUUUCCCUGAUACAUAUAUUUUAAGGGAAUGCGACUGAAACAUUCUCUUGACUUAAAAACAAUUACCUCCUUGAUGCCAACUUUUCCAGAUAUUUCUGUGAGGAUGCUGAUGUCUUUGUGUCGAUGCUUGAGAAAAGUUUGAACAGAGUCACCAACAGAGCUUCGGAGGACUCUCAAGUCAUCCAAGAUCAAGAACAUGGCAUCUGAUUUAACAAAAGCACCAUUGUCCUUAGCUAGCUCUUCCUUGGAUUCUUCCAGCAACAUCGUUUCUUUUCUCAUCAAUUUUCCACAAUGGCACCUUGCACCAUCAAAGGUACUCAGCAACAAAUCCUUUUCCUUUGAACAGCUGUAACACACGAAAUACUUGGUGGGUUCUGUAUCAUCCACUUUCACUUUCAGUCUUUGGCAAGAGCUCUCUAACGGGUUGCGAGGAGAAUGCAACAUUUUCUUGCAGAUGUUGUUCCAGAAAACAUUAGAUUCCAGUUUAUCAACACUGUCGUACAGCUUAUUGAUGCAGCCAAGCUGUAUAUGUUGAUCCAAUUUGUUUCCAAGCCUAAUAAUAGUUCCCAAUGGAAGGGUGAGGAAACUGAAGAGAACAUCUACCAACUCCCCACUUGCUUCUGCCACAACUACACGCCUUUUGUUAUCGUCCACCCAAUAUUUCAAAGGGAUUGUUACCUCUUCGUCGGAAGACAUAACUGAAACAUAAAACUAAAGAACAUUAACGAAUUAAUCAAACAAAACAUGUACGAUUUUGGUGAAAUUUCUUAUACCUCAUCUCAGUCGUUGCUUGGGUUGUGUUUCCUACGCGAUAUUUUUAAGAAUUAUACUUGUGGGUGUAUUUUUAAGAGAUAAGCAAACAUGAUGAGAGCGUUAUGUAGUCGUGAAAUAUACCUUGCUUUUAGAGAGAGGAAGAGACAGAAAAACUUGAAAAGUAAGGGAGAGAUGAUCAACCCAGACUGCUGAGAAUGUAGAGAAUAAGUUUAUGAUAGAUGAAAGAAUCAUUUUAAAUUAAUACAAUUUCUGCGAUUGAGAAACUCUUAUAGAACUACUGGAUGUUUAAGCUAUGAAUGAGAGAAUUCACCAGAAGAGGGAAAUUAACCAAAAAGCUUUUGUUGAAAAAUACAAAAAAGAACUCAGUGUCAUCACAUAUCGCCAGAGUUUAGAACGUUGAAACGGAUAUUGUACUAUAUGAGUAAAACUUUUAAAGUAGCCUAUAUCAAUGUCUUACCAUGAUAUAUCCAGAUCGAUUCAUCAGAUUGCCUAAAAUUAGUUUCAUUUGUUCAGAUCAGUUUGUCCAGUGAGAAAUUCUCACAACAGUAGUUCCCACAAACAAAAAGAAUUAUUGCACAGCUCAACUUCAUAUUUUAAAUUUCUAAUAAUUACGAGUUACACAAGGAUUAAAUGUAAAUUCUGCAUUCAUUACAUGAACAAUGAACGGUUAAUUAAACCUAAAGUUUAGAACCUGUUUCCUCCGGAGGCCACGGAAAGAAUUCAGCACAUAUCUGCGAGAGUUUAGAACUUUGAAACGGAUGUUGACCUAAAGCAUCAUAGAAAUGAGUAAAACUUCCAAAGUAGACUAACAUUGAUAAUAGUUAAAAUUCUUAUUAAAUUAAAAACGAGAAGUUUGAGUAACAUAUAAAAAAUUAUAAAUAUAAGUUUUAAAAUUAAAUUUUAAUUUCGAAAUGGUGUCAUAAUAUUUUAUAUAUUGUACUUAAGUAAAGAAAGAUGCCUUCUUAAAUUUAGAAUCUAAUAGACAUAUGUAAGCAAAAUACAUAUAGUUUUGAUUUUCAUAUAUCUCUAGUGACACCUUAAAAAUAGACUAAAUCAUCAUCAUUGUUGAAUUAACAAAGUUUUAUAAUCUUAAAUAAAAUUUAAACUACACAAAAAAUAUUUUAUAAAUUAUUUCUAACGUUUCCCUUGUACCAAUUAUAUUUCUCAUUGUAUCGUAUAACCCUCUUAACGUUAAGGAUUUUCAAUUGACAAAAAUUAAGUUGAUUAAUUAGUUAGGUUCUAAAUUGUGAUUGCAUUAUAGAAAUUGUGGUUGCAGGCGUAGUUGCAAUUAGGGAUGGACAAAAUGUAAAAAUAGAACUAAACUAUUGUUAAACAAAACUGCAUAUAUAUGCAAUUGAGUUUGAUAUUAAUUUAGCUGAGUUGAAGGAUGAUAAUUACAAUACAUAUUUCAAUUGUUGCAUAAUAAGUAUGGAGAUAUUCUUACAAUCAUUUGAUUAGUUUAUUGAGUGAAAGGAGGCCAAACUCAUUGAUUACCAAUUCAACACAUUAUUAAGAGCUUGGCUGUCAGCAGACCCACCAUCUGAACACCACAAGUGGAAAAUGUGAGAUAAUUAAGAGCCCUUUAGACCACUAUCUUAUCUUUUUCUUUUUUCUUCUCUUGACUCUUUCUUCUUUUUCUGUUUCAUUUUUCUCUUACACUGUGUCUCUGUCUCUUUAUUUCUCCCCACUUCCUUCUAAAUUUCUAAUUCCAUUUUUCAUAUAUUCUAAAAUCAGAUUAUACGCUUCAGUGGCAGAUAUAUUGUCAAACAUUUCUAUUCAAUUUUUUUUUUAUUUAAUGCAAGAGUAAUAUUUGCUCUAAUAUUUUUUAUUUUACUAUUAUUAUGUAAACGUUUAAUCUUUUUGUUAGGUAUAUCACUUGACCAAAAGUUAUUCUCUUAGUUAAUUUAUUUUGACUAAAUUUUGGAUUUGUUUCAUGAUGUUUCACUUGUUCUUUUGGAUUUUUAUUUGGGAUAAUGAUAUUUUGACAACAUUUUUUGUAAACAUUUUAAUACCAUCUACAUGUCAUUCUGGGAUUGGUCUAUGGUGGUGUUUAUGAUUAUUUUUAUUAAUUGUGGAGUAAUUUUAGAGUAAUCAGAGAAUGACACAUAGAUGAUAUUAAAAUAUUGUCAAAAUAUCAUUAUCCUUUUAUUUGUAUGAACCACUCCUUUUUAGUUUCUACUAAAAGUACGAAUAAGUAUUUAGUAAAAAAAAACUGACUUGAGCUGAGUUUCUUCUAUAUUAGAGUAUGAAAGUAAUUAUUGGUGAACUUUUUGUCGGGUAAUAUUGAUUGAAUUUAGGAUUUCGAUUAUUUUGAACUUGAAUUUAGUUAGAGGAGUAAUGUAUUAAUUGUGAUUCACUAAAGUUCUACUAAUGGUUAAAAAAUAUAGCUGCACAAUGGACUUUCCAACGAUGGUUUAAACAGAUUUUUAAUGAUAGUUUUCGAACUGUCGUAGCUCAAGUUGAUGUUAAAUAUAAGACAAAGUAAUAGACGAUUAUCGUUAAAAAUUCCAAACGAUGGAGAUUGUUCUUAAACUACAAUUAAAAGUCAUCGAAGAAAAGAAAAAAAUAUAAUAGGUUCUAUAUUAUCAUAACGGAAUUAACAAACCUACGAAAAUAAAACAGAAAAGUAUCUCUAUUUCAGUUUUGAAAGACAUGACAGAUAAAAAAAAUUGUUGAAUAGAUUCUAUAAAAAUAUAAAUUUUAAACGAUAUAAAGAAAAUAUAAAGAGUUGAUUAUGUAAAAAGAAAAAGGUUAAAUGACAUAAAAUAGACCAUGUAGAAAAAUAUUAGGAGUAAAAGUUGUAAAUAUAUAAAUAUUGGAUGUCUGGACUAGUCAUAUCUUAACACAAAUUCGUAUUUCAAACUUUUAUAUUUACAGUAUUUUUCUUAAAAUGAAAAAUUAAAAAUAAUAUAAAUAGUUUAAUAAUUAACUUUACUAAGAAAACAAUUAGUAUUUUUUAGUUUAUUAACAAUGUCAUUAUUCAAAUAUUUAUUUAUUUAUUAUUUAUAUUAUGUUUUAAUUUUUAUUAUUAUUAUAUUAGUAUUAUUAUGUUAUUAAUAUUUAUUAAAUCUUAUUACAUAUUAUAAUAUAAUGAUAUACUGUUAAGAAUCCUCCAAUUUUAUUACAUAUUAUUAAACUCUUCAGCUUCCAAAAUUUGUUCUCAUCUCGGACUCUUUUAAAAGGAUUGAAAUAAAUUACAAUUGUUUAGAGGCAGGACCAUGAAAAGGUUUCAGUUCUUUUUUACAUUUUUUAUUUUAAUUUGAAUUUAAAAUUCAAACUUUUUUACAAUAUAUUUACAGUUUUUUUUAUAAUUUUGAAUUUCAAAUUUAAACUUUAUUGCAAUUUCAAAUUUAGAAAUAUGAAUUUUAAUAUUAGAAAAAGAUUGAAAUAGAAAUCAUUAGUUUUUUAUAUCUUUAAAAGUUUAAAAAGGUUAUAAUUUUCACAUUUUAAUAAUGCACUUUUGUCUAUAUUAUUAAAAUUAGUUUUUAAAUUAAUUUGACAUAAAUAUAUUAUAAUUUUAAUUGAAGUAUUAUUUUCAAGAUUUAUUAUUUAGUUUAUUUUUAAUCUAUUAACAAUGUCAUUAUUUAAUUAUUUAUUUAAUGUUUUACAUAAUAUAUUAAUUUUAUUAUUAUAUUAAUAUUAUUAAAUUAUUAAAUUAUUAAAUAUUAUUAUGUACUAUAGCAUAUUAUAUAUUUUUAAGAUCGAUAAAUUUUUUGAACUUUUUCAGCUUCUAGAUUUUGAUCUUAUUAGUUACUUUAUCAUUAAUUAUUUUUUAUAUCUCAAUUAACAUAUUUUAUUUAAGUAAAAUUAAAAGUAUUAUUACAAUUUAUUAUAUUAUUUCCAACUUAUUAUAUGAUUAAUUGAAAUUAAGUAACUAUUAAGUUUAUCAUUUAAUUAUUAAUUAUUAAUUGAAUUAUCAUUUAUUAUUAAUUUUAAUUCUUAUAUUAUUUUAUCUUUAUUUUAGUGACAAAUGAGCUCUUUUAUAACUUAUUAUAUUUAAAUCCUCACUUUUAUUUUUCUUUUGUAAAUAUUCUUCUUUUUAGACUACAUUUAUUUAAUUAUAACUCUAAUCUCCUCUUUUUGUACUUAUUUUGGUGUUAGAAAGACCUUAUAAUAAAUUGAAUAAUCUUGAUAACCUAGAGAAGUAAGAAGAUCAGCAAAAAGGUGAGUUUUAAAAGCUUAGGUGACGUUGAGCGUCACUUAUCUAUGUUGAGCGAUCCAAUUACAGAAAGCAUCUGAAGCAUCCACUGUCGAGUGCCCCUUCUACCACUGACCACCACAAUUAUAGAGAGCGUCUAGGGUUGCCUUGAAGGUCAGUGCUAAGCAGUAGAGCCCUAGUGCUGAGCAGUACCUUUGCUAAUGUGUCAAGAUGAGCCUAUUUAUUCAACUCCUCUCGAAGGAUAUCGAGUCUUUGGUGAUUUGGAGGCACAACCACAUUAUUUGGAGCGCAUGGAAGAUGCUUGAGGCUUGUGGGAACAUCCUCUUCUUCCUCCUUGUGUCUCCUUCUUCUUUCACCUUCUAUUUUGUGAGCUUAAGGAUCUUUAUGGAAAUGGAAAGUCAAUGGAAAUGAAGAGUCAAACCCAUCUUAUUAGAGGCUUUUAUAAUCAUUAAACUUUUUUGUACUCUCUAGAUACCUUGAUUAUAUAUAUAUAUAUAUAUAUAUAUAUAUAUAUUCCAUUAAAUGUUAAUGUCUUGUUUCUAUUCUUAAUGCUUGUUUGAAAUGGGGACGUGGAUAACUUGAUUUAUGAGGAAUCUAGUGAACCCUAGACUUGAAACAAGAGAUCUAAUGAAACUUGUAUGUAGGAAUGGAACUGGAGCUAUCAGUUGUCUUAAAUCCUAAAUGCAGGUUAGCUUGUUAAGUGUCCAAGGGAUUGGUUCUUAAUGAGUAAACCUAGACUCUAACACCUAAAGAUUGGUGUUUGAGUUCUUUAGUGGGUUGAUUUUAGUGUUUGAUGCAGAGGAGAUGAUUCUAUGGGUGCACGAGAGUAAAACUGGUGAAUUCUACCUCUAGCAUGUCAUUUCAUAUCAUUUCUAACAUUUGAUACAUUUUUCAUAUCAUAGGGACUAAAGUUGACAUUUUUAAAAGCGGAGACUAAACUGAAAAUCAUAACUUAACUUAGGGACCAAAAAAGGGUUUAAAUUUAUUUUCAACUAUCAAAGUUUACCUUUUUAAUUCUCUGUCUAUUCAUUUAUAAUUAUACGUAAUCUUACAUUUUUUAGUCUAGAUAAAUUAUUAGUCCUACCAUUGUCUAGUAUUACACGAAUUUUUGAAAAAACGACAUUUAAGGUUAAGGUUAUCAUUUUAUAUUAUUUGAACGAUUCGGUACAUUUGUCAAAAAAAUCACAUGUAAUUAAUAUAUAGAUUAAUAAUGUACAAAAUCUUUAACAUCUAAAAGUUAUAAUAAUAAGUGAUAAGUUUUAAAUAAUUAAUUUGAAGUUACAUCUAUAUAAGUAAAACUAUAUAAUAAUAAAGCAACUUGUAUUUUGUUCCGUAAGUAAUUAUGAACUUAGGUUUGAGAAAAAAAAAUAACAAAUAAAUAUAUUAUAAAAGACCAAUAAUUGUACCUAAUAAAUGUUACAAAAUUUGCUUGUAUACCAUAUUUUUAGUUGUAUUAAUUAUAUUUCUAUCUUCCUUUAAGAUAGUUAACCAUGUCUUAAACUGGACACAGAAGAUAUAAUUCAAUUUUUUAAAAUGAUUGAACAUAACUCUUUUUGGAAAGCCAUUGAACAUAGCUCUCUUAUUGAUUUUGAUGACAAAAUAUAAAUAUAAAUAUAUAUAUAUAUAUAUAUAUAUAUAUAUAUAUAUUUAUUGGAUUAUCUCAACAACACAAAAUAAAUGUUUUGGGAUAUUCCACGUUAUUCUUUUAUUCUUUCUUCUCAUCACUGACUCAGUUGAGAGAGAAGAAAACAGUGUAUUGUCACAGUUUGGGUCCUAGCUUGUCUCUGUAAACUAACGUUUUAUUACAAUCCAAAAGUUAAAGUUAAAGCUAAUAUAAUAAUGAAAAAUUAUCUUUUCACACCCAUCAUUUUUUUAUUUAUUCUUUACAACCUUUUCAAUAAUAAAAUAAUAUUUUUAAUUAAUAAAAAUAAAUAUAAAUAAAAAUUUAAAAUAAAAUAAUAAUCUUAAAAAGUGUUAAAUGAACAUAUAAAUGAGGAAAAGUUUCAAACAUAUAUAGCCCUACAAUGUAUAGACGAUGGCAAUGAUGACUACAACUUUAACUUAUAUCAAGUGAACACAACAGGUGGAAAAUCAGAGAUAAAAGACCUUUUAGCGUAGUAACUUUUUUUUCUUUCUUUCUUUUUCUUCUUUUCUUUCAUUCUCUUUCUUCUUUUUCUUUAUUUUUUUUUUCUAUUUCAGUGUUCUAUUAGCACGUGUCUCAAUCACUUAAUUUUCUCCACUUUUUUAAUUUCUAAUUCAUUUUUCAUAUAUCCUAAUAGAAUAUAUGUUUUGGAACAUUUGUAUCCAAGCAAUUUCUAAUUUAGUGCAAUUGUAAAAUUUGCUCUAACAUUGGUCAGUUUACUAUUCUGUAAAUGCUUAAUCUUUUUGCUAGUUCUUGAUAAAAGUUAUUCUUUUAAUUAGUUUAUUUUUUUAAUUUUGGAUUCGCUAAUGUUUAACUAGGAUUUUAGGAUUUUUUUUAAUCACCUAUUAUUUUCUACAAGUAACUAUCCAAUAGGAAAAAUUAACUUGAUUUGUAAUUGAGAUUUUAUGAGUACGAAAAUAAUUAUUGAUGAAAUUGUAAUUUGACUUAAUUAGUUCAUUAAAUUUAUUGCUUUCAUUGAUUUUGAGUGAAACAUCUUAUUGUUCAAGUGGUAAAAUUGUAGUAUUUUAAGUCAGACUUUGGAAUGAUUACUAGGUUUCAUAACAAUGAAUAUCAGCCAAGCAAUGCUACCUUAAGUGAUAUGGCUUAUCUCUUGGUGUCUAAAGUGAAGGGGGAAUCAAGAAUAAUCAUGAUUUUCUUUUAUAAUAUUGUUUACGCAAGAUAAUCUCAUUCAAGUGAUACUCACAUGUUCCUUAAGCAUAUAUUAACCUAGUUUAAAAGUAUUUAUAUGUUUAAUAAUCUUAGUUUAUAAUUUUCAUAAAUUUAUGAAUGUUUAUUAUGAGAAAGUGUUGAAUUAUAUAUAUGAAUUGAUGAAUCGAUAAUAAUUCAGAAAUAAUGUGUUGUAGUAUGAGUGAUCUACUAUAUAAAACUCAAAGAUAUUAAAUAUAGUUGAAGUAACAUACCUGUGAUGAUAUGUUAAUUACACUGUGAUUGUGUAUAUUGAUUAUUAAAACCUAGGUAGGGAGAGAGAAAAGAGAAUUCUUGUAUAGCAUUAAUAUGUAAAGACACAAAUUUUGAAUGCAAUAAACUUAUUUUUAAUAUUUAAUUUAACCAUUCGCUUGAAGAAGAAAAUCUUAGAUGAGUCAGACAUUAGUCUCUCUCUUUUAUAUAUAUUCAAUUUGAUGCUUAGAUCCCCUAUGUUAAUCUAAAAUUUUGAAAAUUAUUUUUUUUAUUAUGUAUAAGUUGUUCAUGAGUUUGAAUAGUAUACUAUCUUGGUUUUUUUUUUUAAUAGCUUACUCUUUAAUUUUAGUGUUAAUUAUAGUUGGUACAUAAACAAAUAGCAUUGCAAGUAAGGAGAUAAUUUUGGAAACAUUUAGGAAGAUGUUGUCAUAUUCAUAUAUAAUCAUGUAUAUAUUUUCAUUUCGUGACUGAGAACACAUAUAUAUAUUAUACUUUAGAUGAUUACAUAAUUUAUAUAUAUAUAUAUAUAUAUAGUAAUAUAUAUAUAUAUAUAUAUAUAUAUAUAUAUAUAUAUAUAUAUAUAUAUAUAUAUAUAUAUAUAUAGUAAUAUGAACGGAAAAUAAUGAAUGAAAUUGGUAUAUUUUGAAACGAAGCAAGUGAUAGGAGGAUAGUGCACUGUUAAGUGCUCUCUUUAAAGCUUUAUUCAGAGUCUCUGACUGUGUGGUGAAGUAAACACUAUGAUGAUAACUUGAUACUUUCCACUUGAAGUUCAGGUUUUUCUCUCUCUUAAUCAUCUUCCUCAUUUCUUGUUCUAAAUAAUUAAUUACGCAAACAUUUACACAUAGAUAAACUGCAUCGCUCAACCAAAAUAUCAUUCUCCUCUUUCUCAUAUCCUCUCAGUAUUCUCUUGCAGUAUUGCUCGGUCUUACGAUUUGGAACACUGGCAACUAAAAGGCAAAUCACAACUUAAGGUAAUCCCGAAUUCCAAUAACAGAGGUGUUUUAUAGCUUAUAUAUACAUCAAUCCAUCGAUCAAUAUAUGUUUUAGAUCCUUCACACUACUCUUUUAAUGGAUCCAUUUUUACUUCAGCUCUUUUUAUGGAUCCAUUGCUCAAAUCGUAAACUCAAAUACUUACGUAAAGCAUGUUGUUAUAGUUGAAAUAAUUAACUUUUACACAGCAGCAGCAUCAGUUCUAAACGAGGGGAAUAUUCAGAAAGGGAAAAGAAAUGGAAAAUGGAGCGGUUGAUGGUCAUCAAUCAGAGCUUUCUUAUUCUUACUUUGUCUCACAUUCAAGGUUAGAUUUUUAUAUUACCACUUAUACCCUUUAUGUCUUUUAAUGAUCCAUUGCUCUGUUUUUAGCUGAAUUAUAAUACCGGUUAGUGUAUAAUUUAUUUCAUAUGAAAUAAUAAUAAUCAUUUUAUCAUUUCAUAUUUUGAAGUUAAUUUCAAGUAUAAUAUUAAACAUAAAAUACAACAUUAAAUCAUUUUAACAUCUAAUAAAUAGAAAAAUUAUUUUUAUUGUAUUAAAAACUGGAUUGGUCAUUAUAUUAAGAUUCAAUGGUUCAGUCAAACUACAAUUAAAUCAAUAUUAAUAUAAUAACAACAAUAAUAAUAUUAGAAAACUAAAAUAUCGUAAUUAAAAUUAAAAAGAACACAUAUUCCAUAGAUUUUCACCACUUAAAAUACAAAUAGAAAAGAAAGUGUCUUAUUAAUUUAUAUUACUUUUCUUGAAAAGUUAAAACAACAAUAUAUUAAAAAAUUUCACCGACCCAAAACAAACCCACUGUUUUGGUCGUAUUUUUCAUAUUUCUUUUUUCUUUUUUAAUUUGUUUAUCGAUUCUUGCUUCUGUUAUAAGAUGAUCAUCUAUUUGAAGAAGAGUUAAAGUCAACAACCCAAAAAUAUUUUGUAAGUUGGAAGUGACGAAAAUACUUAUUGAAGAUAAAAUUAAAAAAUAAUAUAAAUUAAAUUAAAUAUAAAUUGAAAUUUAAUUUUAAUUAUAUUUAUGUUGAUAUAAUAUAAAUUAAUUUUAAUUUUAAUUAAAUUAAAUUUAAUAAAAUAUAAAUAUGAAUAGUAAAAUACUUCCAUUUGACUAUUAUAAUCAUUUAUUGAUUGGUAAAUCUUUUAAAAUAUAAUAUGAUGUUAUGAUGUAAAUAUUAAACAUAAUUUUCUAUUUAUAUAAUAUUAUAUUAUAAAUUAAUUAAUUUUUGGCAUAUCCCAUAUUAUUAUAUUUGUAAUUCAAAUAGAAGAAAAAUUAACACAUAAUAUAUUGGCAGAUGUAAUAAUUCAAAAAUUUUAAUAUUGGCAGAUGUAACAUUUACAAUUAACUUGCAAAAAGCUAUUGAAAACCAUUUCACCAUCGAAAAAUGAUCCUAAACCAUUUGAUCACCUCUCAUGAAAAGUUUGCAAAAUGUUUUUAAGCUAUAUUUUUAGCUUCUUUUUCAAUUACUUAAUUCAAACUUCUCUUAAUUUUAGUGUGAACAAUAAUUAACAUCCAUUACAUUACGUUACGUUUACACUCAUACUGUACAUUUUGUUUAGUAUGCUACAAUCAAUUGACAAACAUAAAUAGUAAAACAAUUCAAACUUAAGUCAAUAUCUUAAGCUAAAUCCUUUUAGACUCUUCUAAAAGAAAUUUGCAACACUUUUUUUUUAUUAUCAAAAAUAAUAUUUUAAAGUACCAAUCCAUUACAUUUCUAACCAAUAUUUUUUCCAUUCUUAAAAAUUUAGCAUGCCUUUAUAAAUUUUAACACAACAUUGAUUACUUUUACUUUAGUACAUAUAACUUUUUUUAAUUGAUUAAACAAUAUCCUCUUUUCUUAAUUAGUUAUUGACUAAUAUGUUUUCACUUUAUGUUUGUUAGGAAAUAGAUGUAAUUUGAUCUUGUACAAGAUAAACAAUAUUUGGAGAUGGACUUUUUAGGGCCUUUUGGCAAAGUUAUCGAAGGACUGAUUGAUUUUGUAUGGAAACAUGGUGUUCGACAAGUAACUUACAUUGUCAAUUACAAUAACAAUGUCUUUGAAUUAAAAGAUAGUGUUAAGGAUCUUGAAUUAGAAAAAGAAAGGAUAAAUCAUCAACGUGACGAGGCUGAGAAAAAUCUAAACAACAUUGAAGGAAAGGUUAUUGAAUGGGAUCGAAAAUUGAGUGAAAUCGAGACCGCAGUAGAGGUGUUUGAGAACGAUGAUGGCCACACAAGGGCCCGAUCACCCAAUUGUUUUUUGUUUCCGUUCUUACGGAACAGACACAGGUUAGGAAGACAAGCACAUAAGAUGAAAGAGGAUGUUAAAAGGCUAAUUGGUGAGUCCCCUGAGCUUGAUGAAGUUUUCUAUAGGCAAAAUGUAACAUGUAAUGAUGCCACAUUGUCUAAUUGUGGUUUUGUAGAAUUCAGUUCUAUAAAAUCCAUAAUCGAAAAAGUAAUGAUCCAACUUCAAGAUUCUACAGUGAGAAUGAUUGGAUUGUAUGGGAGAGGGGGUGUGGGUAAGAGCACUUUAGUCAAAGAAAUUGCAAGGAAGGCUAAAGAGAAAAAGAUGUUUGAUGUGGUUGUUAAAGUAGAGAUAACAGCUGACCCUAAUCCACAUAAAAUUCAGGAAGAAAUUGCUUACGUGUUAGGAUUAAGAUUGGAAGGGGAAGGUGAAAAUGUGAGAGCUGACUGUCUACGAAGGAGGUUAAAGAAAGAAAAAGGGAACAUCCUUCUAAUCUUGGAUGACCUGUGGCACAAAUUAGACCUAAAUAAGUUAGGGAUUCCAGUUGAAGAUUAUGAUGAUGAUGAAGAUUUUAAUCGCCAAAAGCCAGAUAAUAAAGAUAGUAACAAUGAUCCUAGUAGCAAAGUUUCGAAAAAAGAAAAUAUCCCUGGUGGUCAUAAGGGGUGCAAGAUUUUACUAACUUCACGGGAUAAAAAUGUGUUGUGUGUUGAAAUGGAUGUAAAGUCAACUUUUUGUAUAAGGGAAUUAGAUGAUAAGGAUGCUUUAAUUUUGUUUCAAAAGUUGGCGGGAAUAGAUAAUGAAAUGUCUAGCUCUAAACAAGAAAUUGUGAAGAAGUAUUGUGAGGGAUUACCCAUGGCAAUAGUUGUAGUUGCAAGAGCAUUAAGAAAUAAGAGUGAAUCAGUGUGGGAAGCAACAAUAAAAAGACACAAAAAGCAUGAAUUGAUGGGUGAGGGGACAUCUAUGGAUAUUUCAGUGAAGAUGAGUUAUGACCAUCUUGAAAAUGAAGAAAUCAAGUAUAUUUUCCUACUUUGUGCUCAAAUGGGUCGUCGGGCAUUAAUCAUGGACUUAGUUAAGUAUUCUUUUGGUUUAGGUAUAUUUGAAGGAGUUUCCUCGCUUUGGGAAGCUCGAGAAAAAAUUAAGACAUCAAUCCAAAAGCUAAAAGACUCUGGUUUAUUGUUGGAUGAAAGUUCUAAUAAUCAUUUCAACAUGCAUGACAUGGUUCGAGACACUGCUUUGUCUAUAGCACAUAAGGAUCACAAUGCUUUUAAUUUGAGAAAUGGAAAACUAGAUGAUUGGCCAGAACUCGAAAAGUGCACUUCCAUUUUUAUGUGCAACAGUGAUAUCAUUGAUGGGCUUGAAGUCAUAAAUUGUCCUCAUCUUAAACUUUUCCAGAUCGACACUAAUGAUCCAUAUUUGAAAAUACCCAAGAGUUUUUUCAAAAGAAUGAAAAAUCUGAGAGUUCUAAUAAUGACUGGUUUUUGUGUAUCAAACUUGCCAUCUUCAAUUCAAUACCUAUCAAAACUCAGAAUGCUUUGUUUGCAGCGAUGUACUUUAGAUUGCAAUCUUUCUAUAAUAGGAAAGCUGAAAAAAUUGAGAAUUCUGAGCUUCUCUGGAUCUAUACUUAAAAAUUUGCCGAUUGAGUUGCAAUGCUUGGAUAAGUUACGAUUGCUAGACAUCAGUGAUUGUUCUGAACUGAAGAUUAUUCCACCUAAUGUUAUAUCAAGUUUAACAUGUUUAGAAGAGCUAUAUAUAAGAGAAAGCUUGAUCAAAAUGUUGGUGGAAAGAGAGACAAACAAAGGUCAAGAUUUGUUUCUUUCCGAGUUAAAGAAUUUACAUCAAUUGAAAGUGGUGGAGUUAAGCAUCCCACGUGUUUCAAAUUUCCCCAAUCACUUGUUCUUUGACAAGUUAAGAGAUUACAAUAUUGUGAUUGGUGACUUUGAUUUCUUUUCUCUUGGAGAAUUUAAGAUGCUCAAUAAGCAUGAAACAUCCAGAGUUUUAGCAGUGCAACUAAAGGAUAACACUAACAUUCAUUCCCAGGAAAACAUAAAAUUGUUGUUUAAAACAGUACAAACUUUGUUGUUGGGAAAGACAAAUGGUGUUCGAGAAGUUGUCAAUGAUUUGAAUAUAGAUGGAUUUCAAGAUCUGAAGCACUUAUCCAUCAUAAAUAACAAUGACUUCAAAUAUGUCAAUUCAACAAAAUUGUGUAAUUAUGUGAAUGUUUUUCCCAAUUUGGAAUCUCUUUGUCUCUACAAUCUGGGGAAGUUAGACAUGAUAUGUUAUGGUCCAGUUACAGUUGUGUCAUUUGCCAAAUUACGAACCAUCAAGGUUGAGAUGUGUCACCGAUUGAAGAAUCUCUACUCCCUUGACAUGGCUAAGUUUCCUAUUGGUGCGCAAACAUGUGAUAUUUCUGAAUGUAAUUCUUACAUGGAUAUAUUUCUUUCUAGUAUAGAGAUAAUUGAAGUUUCUGAAUGUAAAUCUUUAAAGGAGAUCCUUCAAAUUCCAAAGCAUUACAGAAAGGUUGAGUUUCUUAAGUUGCACACUUUGACACUCCGAUUAUUACCACUGCUUUCAUCGUUUUAUACCAAAGUGGAUAAAUUUUUCUGGCCGCAUCUAACAAAGGCUCAAACUACAAUUAUGGGUCACAAAGAUCUUACGAGUGAGGAAGAUAAACAAAGUGAUGAGGAACCUUCUCUUUUUGGUGAACUGGUAUGAUAUUCCAUUAUUUUCAAUAAUUUUAAAUAAUUAGUUCAAUUGUUAUAAAUAUAUUAAUCAUGUAUGUAUGUGUUUGCAGGUUGAAAUUCCAAACUUAGAGACCUUGAAUUUAUCCUCACUCAAGAUCCAUAAGAUAUGGAGUGACCAAAACUCGUCAAGUUUCCUUUUUCAAAACUUGAUAAAAUUAGUUGUGAAAGAUUGUGAUAAAUUAACACAUCUAUGUUCAUUGUCUAUGGCUAAAAGUUUGAAGAAGUUGAAAAGCCUUGUCAUAAGCGAGUGCCCAGUUAUGGAGAAGAUUUUUGAGACUGAAAGAAAUAAUGCAGACAAGGUAUGUAUUGGCAUGAAUAAGUAAAUGUUCGUAGUUGACCAAAUAUAAGUUUACGACUUUGCUAGUAUUAAGGUUGUGAUGAAAGGAAUAGAUUAUGAGAUAGAGAACAUGUGGGAAUAGUAGAAUUUGAAAGUAGUAGUUGAAAGAAAUACAUUAUGUAGUUGUUUUGUAUUAUGUGUUUUCAUAGAUUUAUCUUAUUUCAUAGAUGUUAUCUUACAUCAAAUGGUAGUGUACGUGGGUAAAUAUAUAGACCAUAGAUUAUUAUAGAAAAUGCUAGUCAUAACUUAUAGGGAAUGUUUUAGAUUUUUAGCUAUGUAGAAUAUUCUUGAUUUUUUCCUCUUAUCUUAAGUUUUUCUUCAAUAUUCAGAAUUUGCAUUAAGUUUCAAUAAUUCAAUCUUAGGCUAUUCUAUAUUGUUCUAGAAUUUGCAUUACAUGUUAAUAUUCCUUCUUGAUGAAAACUCACUAAAUCCAAGCACAUUGCCCAAUAGUUCAAACCUUGGGCUUGGUAACGCCUUUGUGAAAAUAUUUCCAGUUAGAUCUUCUUCCUUCACUGCCUUGGCCCAUUCUUCAUGUUUUGCGGUCUUUUCAAAGCUUGCAAACUCUAGUAUGGCCAAGUUGCAAGAUUCAUAUAUGUCUACGAGAUAUCUUACAUUUCUUGGAGUAAAUUUAGGUGAUAAUUCUUCUUGUUCUUGAAUUGAUGUUGGAGUUUGCAGGAGAUUCUGGAGCAUGUAUAUUGUUAUCUUCUUCCUAGUUCCAAGUAGCACUUUAAUCUACUUCAUUUUCUCUACUAAUAGUUAGCUUCUUUGUUUGAAUAUUGUAGACGUUGUAGCCUUUUGAUUGUGUAAUGUAUCCCAAGAAUAUUCCUUAUAUACUCUUGUUUUCAAGCUUGUGCAUAUAUGUAGUAGAUAUACCCAAAUACUCGUAGACGUUUAGCUGAUGACUUUCUUUCACUAAUAGGAGUCUUGUCUUGGUUAGAAUGUAAACUAUAGUGUAGCCUGCUUCUGCCUACAAAGUUUUAGGCAUAUUUCCCUUUUAACAUUGAUCUUGCCAUAUUCAUGAUAAUGCAAUUCUUUUUCUUUGAGACAACAUUUCGUCGUGGAGAAUGUGUUAAGAAAUGGACUUUAAACCUAACUCAAUCCUAUAAAACCAACUUGUAAGCCACCUAUAGUGGCGGGUGUAGUGGUAGAGGCGACAUAAUUUUUUUUUUUCAAAAGAACCUUAGGCUUUAGAUAUCAUCUUAAGAAGUGGAAUUUAACCUAAAUCAACCCUAAAAGGUUGGCUUGUAAGGUUAGGCUUACACCCACUUAUAUACUAUAAAUUAGUCUUAUCUCUAGUCAAUGUGGGACUUUCAAUAACAUGCUACUAUGAUUUAUCUCUCUAUGCCUUCAUCUUUGCGAAAAUUUUUCAAACUUACAAGUUGUGUACUCCUUUCCACGAUCACUUUUAAGAUCUUUUAAAUGUUUUUCACUUUGUUUCUUCACAAGGGGCUUGAAUUUUUGAAUAUUCCAAAGAUUUCUUACUUUUCCUUUUGAUAAAUAGGUCUAUAUUAUUCUAGAGAAGUCAUUAAUGAAGAGGAUGAAAUAUUGAUUGUUGUGAUGUCAUUACAAAACAAGUAUUACUGAUGGUCAAAAUUCAUCGAAAACGUCAAAAAUUUGUUAGUGAUGAGUUUUCUCGACGAAUUUCUAACAGGUCCAAAUCGACAGUAAUAGUUCAGUCGGUAAUAUUUACUGAUGGAAUUUUAUAUUUAUCAGUAAAUACUAAUAGAAAAAUCCAUUGGUAAUUAGAAGAAAAAUUCAUGAGUAAUUACUGAAAAAAAAAAUCUAUUGAUAAAUCUUGUGAGUAAAUAUCACAAUCUGGUUCAUCUUUUCCUUUUCUCUCCUUCUUCAUCUUUCUUUUAACUUUCUCAAUCCAAAAGUAUCGACAUACUACAAAUGAAAGAGGUAGCUCAUCUUCAAUCCAACAGAAUCCAGUCAUUAUAAACUAAUAAAAUUUUGAGGAAAAACUUAUUAGGGUUCAAGCUAAUCCAAUAAUAGGAGGCAACAAUGGAGGCUUCUUAUUCCUAGGCAACGUGUGCAACAAUGGAGCACUUGCGACAAUGGUGCCCUUGUCGUAGUGGUUGAUUCAUCACAGUGAUGUCCUCAUGCGAUUUACUACGUCGUCUAUGUUGGAAGCGAGACAACUCUUUGUCACAGUGGGUUGCCUCUUCCGGAGUCAUGAAAGGUAUGGCUCAUAGUGUAUCUCUCUACAAUGGUGGUUUUUGUUCAUGGUGAUUCACGAAGAGUCUUGUUUAAUGGUUUAUGUUUGUGGAAAUGGGGGAGAAAUUUGUCAAUUUUUUUAUCAACAGAUUAUAUCAAUGAAAAUAUCUUUCGAUAAAUGAGAUAUGUAUUACCGAUAAAAAAUUCACCAAUAAAUGUAUUACUAAUGGAAAAAUCUAUCAGUAAAUGCAAUAUGUAUUACAAACAGAAAAAUUCAUCGGUAAUUAAAAUUUUAAAAAUCUUUCGAUACAAAAAUAUUGGUAAUUUAAAUUCACCGACAAAUUUAUUUCUGUUGGUAAAAUUUCGUCGAUAAUUCCAACAAUUUUUGUAGUGUAAGUCUCAUCAUCGGUCCACAAACAUCCGUAUGAAUCAACUCUAGUAAGUUUUUUGUUCUCAAUGUUUUUCCUAUUGAAAAUAGGUAAUCGGUGUUGUUUUUCGAGAAAACAUCCUUUGCAUGAUUCAUUAUUCUUCUUCAAUCAGGGAAGAUCUCUCAUUAUAUUUUUUUAAUAUAAAAGUUUUAAGAAAUGAGUGUUGAAAUGAUCAAAUUUUCUAUGUCAAAACCAUAAGUCACCAACUUCUACCUUUAUAGCAAUAUUAAUUCCAAGUUUAAAGCUUAUAGGAACUCCUCUAUUUCUCUUCACCAUUUUUACUUGGCCAAUGUUAGCUGCAAAACCAACGGCAAGUGCACCGGUCGCAACGUAGCAAGUGAUAAAUAUCGUUCUCUCCCAAGGGACUUCUGCAACACAUUACAACUCUUCCUUUUAUAACUCAAUUAGACAUCAAAGUACACAAAAAAACACAAGAAACUCUUUUUGGUAUUUUAUCAAACAGUUGGUGUGUAAGGAAUUUAACAUAGUGUAUUUACAAUUUGUCAAGACUAGAGUUCAUCCACUUCAUUCUCAAGCAUUUACGAACAACUCAAUUCCAUCAAUUAGGUGUUCAAUUUCAGUUCUAAGUUCAAGUCAUAUUUUCCAAUACAUCAAGAACUACAAUUCAAUCCAUGGGUGAUGAAGCCACAACAAGCAUUAAGCAUAGAAAUCAAAUACUAACAUUGAAAUGGAAAAGCAUAUAUCAUUAACAUCACAAAAUACAUAAGAAUUUCAUGUUUUACAACUAAUCUCAACAAAUAGGAAAAGCCUUCCAUGGUGGAGAACUUAGGGUUCACAAAAUUGAAGAAAUAAGGAAGAAAUUGGAACCAAAGAGAAGAUGCCAAGCCUUUCCCAAGGUUCUUGGCAGUUGCUUCAUGCUCUAUUUGCGUCUCCCCUUCGCAUCUCCAUCUCAAUUUGUGACCCAUCUUCUUCCUCAACCAAAAAGGGGAAAAAUCACCAUUGAUGAAGCUUGAAGACCCAAGGAGGAGUGAAAGAGCUUCCCAACACCCCAAAUAGACUCCAAGGGCCUCUCUUAAUCUCUCUAGGUGAAGAAUGAAGCGUAAGAGAAGAAGAAUGUCCAAAAAAUCGCGAGACCCAUGUUUAAAUAAUCCAUUUUGACACAUUAGCGAAAAGUCACGCCCAGCCCCCUUCUAGGGCGCCCAGGCGUGAAAUCUGUAGAAAAAGGGCACUCAGCCCCCUUUUGGGGCACCUAAGCCCCAUUUUAUGGCGCCUGAGCCCCUUUUUUGGAUGCCCAACCCCCUUCUGUGGCGCUCCACAUGGGUAUUUGUUUCAAAUUGAUCUUUUAUUGUUCCAAAACAUGUUCCCUUGAGUUCUUGUUUGUUUUCCUCCACUAGAAUUGCUUCCUAUUCAUUUAUUUCACACACUUAAAUAUAGAGAUUAGAGGUAAAAACAAACAUAUACUAAAUAAAACACAAGAAAACUAGAAAACACACUAAACGUGAGGAUAAAACAAGGUAAAAGCUAUGAAGGAGUUGAUUCGUUCACAAAAUAUACACACACAAACAUGUUAAAUCAACCGUUAUCAGCCAAUUUUUAACCUUUUACUAUACAAUUUUUCCGUGCAUCUUUUUCAAAGUGAAAAGAAUAUCCAUUUUUCGCCAUUUGGCCAAUAUUUUAAAGAUUCUCUUUAAGGUUGGGUACUAGUAGAUGUUCUUGAUAAAUUUUGUACAUUUUUUGUUUCCAUCAAGACAACUCCUUUGCCUCGAGACUUCACUGUGGUGGUGUUUCCCAAUCAAUCAUUGACAUUGACAAAUUUAUUGAUCAUGUCUUUGACGAUGCUUUAAUCUUUAAUUGGUCAUGUCACUGAGGCAUCCACUAUCCAAGUACCAAUUUCCUUCUCCAUUAGGAGAUUCUUUACUGGCAUGGAAUAAGUGUUGCUCAUUAUUAUGUUCUUCGACAAAGUUUUUUUUAUGCUUAUUUUUAUUACGAGAAUGCUUUUCCAUGUGACCAAAUAUCUUAUAGCAUGAACAUUGAGGUUUUCCACGAUGCCAACAACAUUUUUUCCGAGUGACUUAUCUUUUUACAUGUCACAUGAAAUAUAUUUUCCUUAACAAGUUAUAAAGAAGCAUCUAGAAUUUUCUUUAUUUAUUGAAAUUUCUCCUAUACUUUUUUUUUUCCUUCAUACUUUUUGUUAUAAGUAUAUAAUUUUAGUUUUGAUUGAAAGACAUUUUCAACCAAGUCCUUUUCACAUCUUUUCAAUAUUUGUUCAUAAUAAGUUUCAAGAGAACCCAUUAUUUGUGUUAUUGACAAUAUGACUAAAUCCAUUUUUUCGUUCAAUCGUGGUUGCAAUUGCAUCAUGUUUUUAGGAAAGAGAAAUUAAAAUUUCCUCAACGAUAUUUUUUUGUUAAGAAUAUUUUCUCCAAAAGCUUUAUGAACAAUUAUUUCUUUUAUUAUAGAAUAGUAGUCUUUAAUCAUCUCAAAUUCUUUCAUUCUUAUUAAUUCAAACUAUUGUUUAGAGAAUGAAUUUUAACAUUGCAUAUCUCAUCACUUCCAUGAAACUCCUCUUGUAUUAUGUUUCAAGCUUGCUUUGCACUGGUGAAUCCUAUUAUUCUUGGAAAGAUUGCGUCAUCAACUAUUUGUUGAAGAGUAAAUAAAGUCAUCGAAUCCUUUUGCUUGUUGUUGAGACUUUUGCAAGUGUACCAAAUCUCAUCAAAUGAUGAAUCGGUAAGUCUAAAUGUCAUUUUCCCAAGGCAUUUGUUCUGACUUUGCUAAUUGUGAAAGUUUAUCGAUUUAGCAACAAUAACUAAUAUCAUAGUAUUUUUAUGCACAAUUUAAUUAAAAUUUCAGAUUUACAAUUUAUACAAAAAGAUCGAGUUCAGAUUCAUUGGAGUUAAAAUUCAAGUUCCAAAUUCAGUGCUCUUUUUCUAUCAACACAAUUCCUCAGAAUCAAGCAUCAACAUCAUAGGCAUACAAACAUCUAAUUCCCCAGAGGACAAAUUCUGAACCAUCAAACUCAAAAAUUACUAAUGCCUUACCAAAUCUAGAAUUCAGAUUCAGAUUAAACACGAUGUUACAAAUGAUUAAAAGUUUCAAACUAUGUUUAGAAUUGAAUUCCUUUAACUGUUCUAUCUGUUGGAGGGAGGUUCGACACACACAUAGAACUCCACACAUGGUAAGACAUUGUCCGCUUUGGGCCAAGCCCUAAAGGGUUUGCUUUUGGUACCACUCCAAAAGGCCUCUUACCAUUGGAGAUAUCUAUGUGUAUAUAAACCCUUGACCAGUCCUUCUUUCACUCAAUGUGGGACUUUGUUUGCUCUCCAACAUCCUCCCUCAAACAAAGGACUAUGGUCACCUUCCUCCCUCGCUGCGAAAGUCUUGUCUUAUUCAUUCGAGUACACCAUGGUCAACACAGAGCAUUUCUCAUUUGCCCUCUUUCACGAUCCAUGGUCACAAUGAGCUUUUCUAGCUCUCCCCACCUCUCAUGAUUCCUCCGGCGCCACUGGCCUCCUGCCUGGCUCGCCUGAUCAUGGGGGGCGUACUCGUCUAAGCCCGGUUACCAGACCCGAACCAUGGGCUCUGAUACCACUGUUGGGGGGAGGUUCGACACACACAUAGAACUCCACACUGGUAAGACAUUGUCCGCUUUGGGCCAAGCCCUCACGGGUUUGCUUUUGGUAUCACUCCAAAAGGCCUCUUACCAUUGGAGAUAUCUAUGUGUAUAUAAACCCUUGACNAGUCCUUCUUUCACUUAAUGUGAGACUUUAUUUGCUCUCCAACACUAUCUAUGUCCACGAUCUCAUGCAUUUCCCAAUGUUUUAACUGUUGAAAUAGUUUAGAUUUCCAUCAUAUGCGUGAACAAUAAGCAUAGAAAACUAAAUUCAUCAAGAAUCAUGCAUUGAACAGAGAAAUUACAAAGAGUUUUAGAACUUUACUCUCAACCCAAAUGAAAAUGGAGUUUCAACUACACAUAGACAUCAAGGAAGCAAGAAGAAGUGAUUUUGAUGGAUUGGAUGGAGUAGAAAUGGCGUCCUUGCAUUGGAGUCCUCUAAGCUCGAGCUGGAGAGCUUCUGCAGUGUUCCCACCAUGAAAAACUGGUUCUGUUUGCGUUUUUUAGCCAUUUUAAUGAGUUCUGGAAAGUCAACUCGCUCGUGCAACUUUAGAGACUCGUUGGAGCGAGCUCUCGUUCGAGCGAACAAUGUCAUUAACUUGAGUGAAAAAGUCAACACAUGAACAGUAAAUGUCAAUGCGUGAACAGUAAAAGUCAACUAGUGAAUAGUGUCGAUCAACAGAUGAAUAGUGUUGGAUGAAUAAUGAAUAGUGAAUUUUAGUGACUUUGUUUGCACAUUGUUCGCAUCACUGUACAUGUGACUCUUGUGGCACCUAGUGUGGGUAUUCACUUAAAAUCUAUCUUUUGUUGUCCAAUCAUGCUUCCUUGAGUUUUGGCUUGUUUUCCUCCACCAAAAUUGCCUCAUGUUUUCUUAUUUCACACUCAAGGAGAUAUUAAAAGUAAAAUAUAUAUAUAUAUAUAUAUAUAUAUAUAUAUAUAUAUAUAUAUAUAUAUAUAUAUAUAUAUAUUAACUAAAACAUAAGAUAACAUCAAAACACACUAAACUUGGGGAUAAAAUAGGGUGAAAGCUAUGAAUGAGUUGAUUUAUUCACCNGUAUUCACUUAAAAUCUAUCUUUUGUUGUCCAAUCAUGCUUCCUUGAGUUUUGGCUUGUUUUCCUCCACCAAAAUUGCCUCAUGUUUUCUUAUUUAUCACUAAAUGAAUUAUUAAAAGUAAAAUAUAUAUAUAUAUAUAUAUAUAUAUAUAUAUAUAUAUAUAUAUAUAUAUAUACAUAUAUAUAUUAACUAAAACAUAAGAUAACAUCAAAACACACUAAACUUGGGGAUAAAAUAGGGUGAAAGCUAUGAAUGAGUUGAUUUAUUCACCAAAAUAUAAACACAAAAACACAUAAAAUCAAUUGUUAUCACUUAUUUUCCUUAAAACUCCUUCUUCUGAGCUGUAAUAAGAGUAGAAAUGUCUUCUAGAUAGUGAAUACAUCUUUUAUAAUGUCCCAUAAAUCUCGAGAGAAAAAUAAUGUCUUCAUUUUGACACUCCAAAAAUUAUAGGUACUAGAAUUGAUGAUGUUUGAUUGGUAGUGGUCAUUGGUUGAAAAAAUAUUUUGGAAGUAGUAUGGAAUGAAGCUAUAGUUUUUUUUAAGUAGUUGAAAAUUUUUAUCUAUGACCAAUGGAUGACCGAACAUAGCUCUGAUACUAAUAUUACUAUUUUGAAGUUGUGAAAGGAUUACUUGAUCGGAUAAAGAAAUUGAGUGGAUAGUAGAAUGUGAAAGUACUAGUUGAAAGAAGUAUAUUUUGUAGUUGUGUUGUAUUGUGGUUGCCAUAGAUGUUGUUUUACAUUAAAUGAUAGUGUACAUGGGUAUUUAUAAACCUAUAAAUUAUUUUAGAAAAUGUGAGUCACAACUUAUGUAGAAUAUUCUAAAUUUUUAUCUAUGUAGAAUAUUCUAAAUUUUUAUCUAUGUAGAAUAUUCUUGAUUUUUUCCUCAUAUCUUGGACUUUUCAACAAUAUUCUAUAAUUUUCAUUACAUUUCAAUAAUUUUAUCUUAGGCUUUUUUAUUGUUCUAGAAUAUACAUUAUACUUUAAUAGGUUCUCCAUCAGACUUUACCUUGUACAUUUUCGCUUAGCUACCAUAUGUAAUAAUAGUUUGUUUUCAAAUGCAGGUUUGCAUCUUCCCUAAGUUAGAGGAAAUCCACGUUACCAAAAUGAAUAAGCUAACAGAUAUAUGGCAAACUAAAGUGAGUGUUGAUUCCUUUUCUAAUCUCAUUUCUGUGAAAAUUGAAGAGUGCAAUAAAUUAGACAAGAUUUUUCCAUGUCACAUGGAAGGGUGGUUUGAAAGUUUGGACAACUUAAAAGUUUAUUGGUGUGAGUCGGUUGAAGUGAUUUUUGAAAUCAAUGAUUCUCAAGAAAUAGAUGAAUUUGGAGGGAUAGACACAAAGUUGCAAAUAAUUCUUCUUGAAGGCCUCCCAAAGUUAAAACAAUUGUGGAGCACAGAUCAAAAUGGAAUUCUUAGCUUUAAAAAAUUGCGGACCAUAGAUGUAGAUAGUUGUGAUGAACUUAAGAAUUUGUUUCCAGUUUCUGUUGCCAAAGAUGUUCCAAAGCUUGAACACAUGUCCGUAUUGGAUUGUGAUAAAAUGGAGGAAAUUGUUGGAAGUCAAGAUGCAUCAGAUGCUAACCCAGAUCUAUUGGUGUUUCCUGAACUAAUCUAUGUGAGAUUACAUCGUCUACCAAACAUGAAGUAUUUCUACAAGAAGAAAUAUCCUAUAAAGUGUCCAAAGCUGAAGGAGUUGAGUGUGACAAAAUGUGUGAAGCUCAAAACAUUUGUCAAAGAUACCAUUAAUACAACAAACAAAGUGGGAAAUUUUGUUUUCUCAAUUGAAGAGGUAAGCAAUAUUCUAUCUUUGUCGGAGUUCGAGAAAAAAACAUUUAGUAAAUGUUUUAUUAUAUGUUUGGUAGAAAAUAAAAAUAUACAUAGAAAAAUAAGUAAAAGGAAAACGAACUACGUGACAACUUAAAUGAAGAAAAAACUAUUUUGUUUGAGAGACAUAAAAUAUAAAUUAAAUAAAAAUAAUAAUUCACUUAAUCUUUUAUAUUAUUUACUUAUAUUUGUUUAUUCUUUAGGUAUUUCCCAAGUUGGAGCAUAUGGAAAUUGAGUUCAAGGAAGCACAAGAAUUGUUACCAAAGUACCAAAUGCAGCGCCUAAAAGAACUUAGUUUGAUUUCAGUCGAAAGUGUCGAUCUUCUCAACCAGUUUCCAUACAGAACACCAAAUUUAGAAAAGCUAAAAUUAGAAUCCUAUGAUUUUAAAGAGUUAGCGCCAAAAGCAAACAAUGGACGACAAAAAGGAUUGGGGAUUGUAUUGCAGCUGAAGGAAUUAGUUUUCUUGGAUUCAAAUAUAAAGGAUCUUGGAUUUGAACGAGGCCAAGUUCUACAGAGACUAGAGGUUUUAAGAUUAGAAGAUUGCAGUAAAUUAAGCAAUUUGGCUCCUCCCUCUGUAUCAUUGAAUUACUUGACACAUUUGGAAUUGAAGUAUUGUUUUGGAUUAAAGCACUUAAUGGCAUCCUCCACUGCCAAAAGUAUGGUUCAACUCAAGACAAUGAAAGUAAGCUAUUGUGAUAAAAUAGAGCAAAUAAUAAGCAUGGAGGAAAGUGAAGAAGGCAAAGUGAUGAAAAUUGUAUUCAGCAAAUUGAUUUCUAUAGAACUUGUGGGGCUAAACAACCUUGCAAGUUUUUGCAGUCACAAGGAGUGUGAAUUUGAAUUCUCAUCACUGGAAACAUUGAUUGUAAGAGAAUGUCCGAAGAUGGAGAAAUUCAGUGAGAAAAGAUCAAUAGCACCCAAGUUAAGGAAUAUAUUUGGUGUGGAAGGAGAUGAAAAAACAAAGUGGCAGUGGGAAGGUGACUUGAAUGGCACGAUACACAAAAUUUUCGAUGAUAAGGUACUCUCUCUUUCGCUUAUUAUUAAUUUCAUUUAUCCUUAUCUUAUCAACUUUUCUUCUGUCCAAAGAGAAAAUCACUUCAUGGGAAAUUAUAAAUCCUUAUUUUUGGCAUAAAAGCUUUAAACGUUAAAUAGUAUGUUUGCUGAGAAUUUGAAAGAGUGAAUUCGAUCUGGUUCUUUAAAGCAUUCUAUUUAGUCCUAAUUUUCUGUAAAAGCAUUCAAUGUUAUCAUUUCUACAUAAUAUUUACAUAAUACUUUAUUCAUUUUAAUUUUAUAUAACAUUUAUACUGUUAUUUGUACGAACAUCAUAAGUAUAUAUCUUACGGUUUUAAUUUAAAAAUAUAAAUAUAUUAAAUUAUGAAAGCGAAGUAUAGAGGAUUAAAGUUUUUAACUUCAAAUACUUAGGAGAUCUGUUAAUUAAUAAUUUGAAUGGUAGAGAAGUAAUUUAUUCAUUUGUCUGAUUUACAGGUCAGUUUGGCAUAUACUGAGAACUUGUGGCUUGACAUUGAUAAUGAUCAAUAUAUUAUAGAGCAACUAUGGCAUGACAGACAUUGGGUGCAGCAAAACAGCUUUGGAUAUUUGAAAACAUUGUUUGUAUGGAGAUGUGAUACUGUAGUGCAUGUAAUUCCAUCUCAUUUGCAUUCUUGCUUUCCCAAUUUGGAAGGGUUAGAUGUACGGUAUUGCAGUAAUGCAGAGGUGAUAUUUAAUAUGAAUGAUGAGAACAGGGUGAUGACAAAACCUUCCGGAAUAUUCCGUCUGAAAAUAUUGAACUUAUAUAAUCUACCAAAACUGGAGCAUGUAUGGGACAAGGAUCUGGAGGGAAUUAUUGACCUUGAUGCGCUAGAGGAAGUGCGUGUUGAAAAUUGUAGGAGUCUUAGAACUUUUUUUCCAGCGUGGGUGGCCAAAGAUCUUAACAGACUUGAGGUGUUUCAAAUAACAAAGUGUGAUGAAUUGGAAGAGAUAUUUAGGAGUGGAGAAGAAGAAGAAGGAUCACUACCAGACUCUGUUUUUCAUCAACUCACCACAUUGACGCUGCAACAAUUGCCACGCCUCAAAUAUUCUAUUCACCGCUCCAAACAACAGGCAAUUCUCACACUUUUUACUUUAUCUAUGCUUACUCUUAUUAUUUCAAUUUUAAAAAAAUAUAAAUUUCUUUCAUUAAUAAACAAAAAAUGUAUUAUUUAGAUAAAAAAAAGUUAUUUAAAUAACAGUUAAUACAAAGAUAAAUAAAGAAAUAUAAAAGAGGGUUCAGAAUUGAAUUUUAACACUACCUUAAUUUUACAAACAUGAAAAUUGUUUUUAUCUUUGAUUAAUUUAAGACUUUUAAUAAAACUGACUUUAUGUAAUCAUAAAUUGGCUUAUAUAUGUAUUAUACCAUAAAAAAAUAUUAUGUAUUACACCAUUAAAAAUCAUAAAUAAGGUACUUGAAUUUUAUGCAAAAAUAUUAUGUAUUAUACCAUUAAAAUUUAUAUAUAUAUAUAUAUAUAUAUAUAUAUAUAUAUAUAUAUAUAUAUAUAUAUAUAUAUAUAUAUAUAUAUAUAUAUAUAAUUCUUAGUAAUUGAUAAAUAUAUAUUAGAGAUAACAAAUAGUAUGGUGUUGGACUUUAUUUUAUAUAAUAAUACAAAUAAAUAACUAUAUGAAUACUUAUAAUUAUAUCUUAAUUAUAAAUAUACUUAAUUUGUAUUUGGUUUUGGGUAGGUAUACAAGUUCUCAAACUCGAACUUUGACUAUAAUUUAAAUUAAGUAAAUAGAUAACUAUAAUAAUUAUCUAAUUAAUAUUGUUGGAAGUUCUACAUCGACUAGAGAUAAGACCAAUUCAGUGUAUAUAAGUGGGUGCAAACCUCACCCUACAAGCUAGUUUUGUGGGGUUCAGUUAGACUUAAAGUCUACUUCUAAUAUGGUAUCAAAGUCAUGAUUAGAGCCUAUCGUAGCGAUAUCUGUUGUUGUUCAGCAUGUUGUUCCACCCGCUAUCGGGCCAUUAUCGGACCACCCAUUAAAUGUCUAAUCCCACGAGAUGUAUAUACCUCAGCGUGAGGGGCGUGUGCUAAAGAUAAGACAACAAACUGGUUUUGUGGGGUUGAGUUAGGCUUAAAUUCCACUUCUAAGAAAUAUUGAUCUACUUUGGCAAAUGCACCAUAUGAAGCAAAUUUAACAAAUAGGGUUAGGAUUUUUGAACCAAAGAACACCAUAUCUAUUAAAGUUCUUGUCUUUGUGUUUGUCGCUCCUAAAAGCAACUUUUACUGUUUAGGUUUUUCUGUUUUAUAGUUUUUAUUGUUGCUAUUAGGGAUUACUUCAAACCCCCCUCACUCCAAACUUUUGUAUAAAAAGGGACUUCCGGUAUUUUCAUGUUGUAACUAAGAUACACAAACAGAUAAUGAAAAGAGUUUGAGUUUCGUUUUUCUUACGCUGUUUGGGUGCCUUUCUUCUCCCUUUAUACUUGUUCCACUCGAUUCUAGCCACUGCUUUCUUCUUCGAUCUGCAGACGUGUCUCCAUGGAAAGCCCUCGCGCUCUGUCUUUCGCACACGACUUACAUCUUUCAGACUCAUCCGAUAUCUGAUGCCACGAAGCUUCUCGAGAAAGGUCUCCUUUCGCGUCUUGGGUUAAAUGGCCUUUGGGCCUUUGUCACACGUUUUGGGCCGAUUUUAAUAUAGUGACAACAUCUAAAUGAGAAGAAAAUAAACAACAUCUAAAUGUUCAAUGUAAGGAUUGACAACAUAGCGACUUAGUUUAUGGACAUAAUAACAUACGUCUAGUCUAGAGAUGGUUAAAUAUAGUAACCUCCAUAUAUAAAUCGUACGUAGAUAUUGGGUCAGAUAUGUUGGAAUAAAUUUAAAAUUUUGGGGUUUAUUAGUAAUUUUGUUUAAAUCUUAUUUUAUUAGUUUUGAUCAAUUAAUAUUUAGUUUGUUUUUGAUAAAGAUAAAAUAGAAAUAGUUAGUUUUGAUUUAUCAUUUAUUUAGGUACAAUAUUAUUUUAUUUUGUUGAUAUAAGAUAAAGAUAAAUUAAAUAGUUGUUUUUAUUUUGAGUCAGUUAUAUUUUGUUUUUAGUUUUUAUUAUUUGGUCUAAGGCAUUAUUUGCACUUGUUUAAGUGUUGCCAAGGUUUAAUAAAAAUAAUCACAGUAGAAUUGAAGAGUUCAAUUAUUUGUGUGUGUCACAUAAUCCUUUUAACAAAAUGGUAUAAGAGAUUACGAUAGUUGGUAUCUGCAUAUGAAGGUUCUUCUUGGAUCUCAAGAUGUAUGGUUCAUAGUAGAGGAUGUGUACAAUGAACCUGCAGACGAUCAACAUUAAAAAAGACAUCGGUGAAAGAGGCUUUGUACUUUAUUUAAAUGUAGUAUUAAGUCGAGGUUUGAGAAAAUAGCUAAUGCAAAGUCAACAAAAAGAUGUCUGGGAUAUUUUGAAGGUGGCAUACAAAGGACAUAUCCACAUACGGCAGGUCGAGUAUAAACUCUUAGAAGAGAGUUCGAACAUAUGGAGAUGGACGAAAAGCAAGGAGUUGCUGAGUUUAUAACUCGAGUGCAGAAGAUGACCAACUAUCGUGGUCAAUGGAUGAAGUUGUCUCAUAAUGAAUGAAUAUAUUCGACGGAUGGGAGGGCUUCUGGAUGGCUAAUGAGAUUAUAGAUAAAUAGAUGAUAGAGCUUAAGGAGUUGAAGAAGACCCUUAUUGACUAGGAGAAGGAAGCAUCUAGCGUUCUUGAACCAGAUGAAAACGGGAAAGAGGAAGAUGGAGAUGUUGAGAAGAACCAUUGUUGUGACUUUGGCAAGCGUACCAAAUCGUUCAAGUAAUAAAACCGGUAAGACCGAAUAUCGUUUCCCAAGAGACUCGUUGCACUAGACAAUCAUAUAAUUUCUAACUAACCUAGACUAAAGAAUGCUUCCACAAAUUGAGUUUUGGUGCAAUUAAAGUAAACAUGAAACAUAAAUAGUAAAAGUGAUCUUUUGCACUCAAAAACUUGGAAAUGGCAAGAUGAGAAAUGAUAUGGAAUGGUAUUGUGGGGGGUAUGCUUUCACUGAUUUCACUCUUAUGUAAGUAAAAUCACUUCCUCUUCAUUAAUAUGUCAAAGUCAAUCUACUAAUUUACUCAAACCCCAAUCACUUGGUAGAAUGAGCCUAGACUUUCUUAUUAGGCUUCAAUCCCUUGGAAAACCUAACAAUUAAUUCCGCAUUAAGAAAUGAGAUUUUAAGACUACCAAAGGUCCUAGUUCUAUCCCUAGAAACUAUUUUCUUUAGGUGUUUAACCCAAGUCCGGAUUUACCCAACAUUUCCCAAUAUUAAGCAAACCCUAAAAUCAAGUCAUGGGUAGCAACUUCACAACAAGCAUUAAGAGAAGAAAUCAAACACUAACAAUCAAUGAAAGAGGCAUAUAUUCAAUCAAAACAAAGGGCUUUACAUAAGAGUUCAGUGGCUACAACAAUCUCCCAACAAUAAUGAAACUAGCUCUCCAUGAAUGGAAGAAGAAGGACUGCUCCCACAGCUCCUAGCUCGCGUCCAAGAGCUCCAAAACGAGAGAAAUGCGUCUGAGUAACAAAAGAUCCCAAGCUCUUCGUGCCUCUGAGUGAAAUAGGGCAAAUCUGCCAUGUCAGCAAAGUUGGCGCUCAAGUCCCCCCAAAAAUGGGGCGCUCAGGCGUGCGACAGUCAAACUCAGGAACUGGUGCACUAGCGCUCAAGCCCCCUUAAGCUAGGGGGCUUGAGCCUGAUUUCAGCAGAAUUCUUAUUCUUCGUUUUUUUGUUGAUUUUCUUGGUUUUCAGUGCCUUCCUUUGAUGCAUAGACUUCUUCCAAUUAAAUUAAGCACAUAGAAGCAGGGAUUAGUUAUCAAAAUAUCUCAUUAAAGCUUAGGGGUUUAUUAGUAACUUUGUUUAAAUCUUAUUUUAUUACUAUUUUUUUGUAUAGUAAUGUUUAGUUUGAUUUUAACAGAGAUAAAAUAAGAAGAGGUAGUUUUGAUUUUUCAUUUUUAGGUACAAUAUUAUUUUAUUUUCUUGAUAUAAGAUAGAGAUAAAUUAAAUAGUUAUUUUUAUUCUAAGUUAGUUAUAUUUUUUUUUGUUUUUAUUGUUUAUAUUUAUUUCAAAGUCCUAUUUGUACUUAUUUAAAGGUUUUCAAGAUUUAACAAAAAUAACCACUCUAAAUUGAAUGGAUAAUGAUAUUUAGACAACAUUUUUUUGACAACAUUUGAACAUUGAUUACGUGUCAAUCUGUGAUUGGUUAAAAAUCAUUCCACAAUAAUGUUUAUGAUUAUUAUUAUUGAUUGUGGAGUGAUUUUUGACCAAUCAUAGAUUGACACGUAAUCAAUGUUCAAAUAUUGUCAAAAAAAUGUUGUCUAAAUAUCAUUAUCCAAAUUGAAUAGUCCAAUUAUUUGUGUAUGUUUUUUUUUUUAACAAGAUAGGUGUUCUAGAAUAAACAUACAAUUUAAUAGUGGGAAUGAUAGUCAUUAAGAAUGAAAAGAAUGUAAUGAUAUUGACACAUAAAAAUUUCUGUUUUGGAUUUUGACAGCUCAAGCUGGAGAAAAAACUUAAUAUCUCUAAGAUUUUUUAACAUAAAAGAUAGAUACAGCAAAGCUUUAAUAGAGUAGGUAAUACUUUUACUAAGACUAGCAAUUACAAUAUCAUCAACGCAAAUAAAAAUAACAUAUCGUGAAUGCCUUUGAUAAAAAGAAAAAAAAAAUUAUAUCUUAAUAAAACCUUGAGAAUGAUACUAGAAGAAAAGGUAUUAAACCAACUUAUGUUUAUUAUGUGAUAAAUGAAAUUUAUGUUAUGUUGAAUAUUUAUUAUAUAAUAAAUGAAGUUUCACAAUAGAUUAUAAUAAAACAUGUACGUGUGUUAGGAGGAUGCUUAUAUUACUUUUAUAAAGUGUAUGAACCAAAUAGGAAUGAACUUAAGUGAGGAAAAGAAAUAUAAUUUUAUAAAAUAAUUUGAAGAUAAAAAUAUAUAUAACUCAUUUUAUUAUUAAGUCAUCUCAUCGUUGUUGUUAGUAUUAUUACUAUUAUAUAUAUAAAUCUAAUUUGUUUUGCAGGAGAGUACAUCUUAUUUGAGUGAGAGAGAUAUAAAAGGGUUAUGUUUUGGGUCUCAGGUCAUCCCAAACUCCAACUUCUGUCUCUUAGAAUCUCUGAAGGUUGAUGGUUGUCAGUUUUUAUCAGAUAUACUUCUACCAUUCAAUUUACUUCCUUCCUUAGCUAAUUUGGAAAUAUUGGAAGUUCAGAACUGUAUGUUUAUCAAAACCAUAUUUGAUGUCAAAUGUACAACGGAAAGUAAAGAUGUGACAUCUACAGGACCAACUCUUUUUUCUUUGAAGAAUGUGACUUUAUCCAAUCUGCCAAAUUUGAAGAAUGUUUGGAAUGAAGAUCCUGAUGGAAUUCUAAGGAUGCACCAUCUAGAAGAAGUAUACGUUGAGAACUGUAAAUGUCUUAGAAGCGUGUUUCCUGAAUCAAUAGCCAAAGAUGUUGUGGAGCUUAAAAAUCUAGAAGUGGAAGACUGUGAGGGAUUGACGACUAUUGUUGCAGAGAAUAAUAACGCAGAUCCAAGAGGAACUAAUCAAGAUCUCCCCUGUCCAUUGGUAAGAUCACUGAAACUAAAGAGUCUGCCCAUGUUCAAGUAUUUUUACCACUGUUCACUGCAGUGCGACAAUUUUGCAAAUCUAGAAUCACAUAGCGAGAAUCAAGUAGGUACUGAAAAGGUACGUAGUACUGUUUUAUUACUUCCUCACUCACUUAGCUGUUGUUUAAAUUUAAUGUAGAAUCAUCAGUCUCGUUAGUUGUUUGUCAUUGUUCCAUAUGGAGUACGAAAUACUGUGAAAGUUAAAAUCUGAAAAUUUACUUACAAAUCUUCUAUCUUCUUUUUCUAUUAAUCUCUUUUUUUUUUUUUUUUUUGCUUUAUAUCAUUGUUGUCAGAACAUGUAGGAUGGGUAGUGUGUUAAAAGAGUAACCAUUGUCGCAGAGUCUAUAUAUGGAUUAAAUACAAGAAACUCAAGAAAUAGAGGGUACAAACACAAGAAACUCACAACACUGUAAAACCCACAAUACACAUACUUAGUGGUAAACUUAGUCCCUCAGCCUUUAAUUUUGCAUUUCUAAAGCUAAGGCUGCUCACAAACAAUCUUGUACCAUCACGUAGUUAAUUUGUCACCGAUUAUUACUUAUCAGGAAUAUUCGAGCAUUCAAGGUUAUUUACAUGUCUUUUAUAUAAAAGAGAUGGAUUACUAAUAGUCAUAACCUGCUUUUGCUUUUGCUUGUUUUCAGUUAAAGUGGUUGUCACUGGGGAAUAAUGGAGUAGAGAUGAUUUUGCAUGGAGAAUUUCAGAGAAACUUCUUAGAAAACUUAAAAGUUCAUACUCUCUGCUUGUUUUCGGAUGCAUUUGGGUGUGAAAUUCUUGAAGAGGUUCCCAAUAUAGAGAAGCUAGUGGUACGUGGUGGUUCCUUGAAGGAGAUGUUCUGCUGUCAAAGUCCUAACAAUGAAGAUUAUAGUGGACUUCUGUUACAAUUGAAAGAAUUACGCUUAGAGUCCCUUCAAGAGUUGGUUUCCAUUGGGUUAGAGAACUCUUGGACUGAGCCCUUUGUCAGAAAUCUUGAAACCUUUGAAGUCAUUAGCUGUUCCAGUUUAAAAAACUUGGUAACAUGCAGAGAGUCUUUCUCGAAUCUGAUAUGUUUAAAAUUUGAAAACUGCGAUAGCUUGUCAUAUUUGUUCACAUCUUCAACCGCCAAAAGUUUGGCUAAACUCCAAAGAAUGAAGAUAAAAAAGUGUAAAUCAAUUGAAGAAAUAGUAUCUAAAGAAGAGGAGGAAUCAGAUAAAGAUGAAAUAAUAUUUCCGAAGCUCAAUUGUUUGAAACUUAAAUAUCUGAAAAAUCUCCGAAGGUUUUACAAAGGGAGUUUAAGUUUUCCACUGUUGGAGGAAUUGUCAAUAAGAGAUUGCGACGAUAUGGUAAGUUUAUGUCAAGGUACUCUGGAGGCAAGUAAGUUGUCUCAAGUUAUACCAUUGGAAAUUGAUCUUAGCUCUGCUAUAUGGAAGGAAUUUAUGAGCAAGGUACGUGUUUAUUUAUUCAACAUUCUGGUAGCAAACAAGAGACAUUUUCUAUCAUUACAAACAAAAAAUAUAUAUAGAAAAUCAUACAUAAAAUUUAUAAUAAACGUUUAAUCAAAUGUAUCUACAUUUCCUUUAGACCUUUUAUUUGAGAAAAAAAAAAAUGAGUCUUGCAAAAUAUUCAACUUACAGAUCAAAUAACUAAAAAAGAGAAAUAAAUAUAUAUAUAUAUAUAUAUAUAUAUAUAUAUAAAGAUUUUAUUGGUUGACAUGUGCUGAUUUCGCCAGAUUGGAAGGAGAUCGAGUGUUGAGUUCAAAGAUAGGGCAGACCUAAACGAGAUAUGGCGUCUCUCACUGCAAUUCCAGGACUUCUGUUUCAGUAACUUGGAAACCUUGGUUGUGGAUGGGUGCCAACUUUUAUCAUAUGUAAUUCCCUUCCAUGUGCUUCCUUUGUUACCUGAAUUGCAAACAUUGGAAGUUCGAAACUGUGAUUCUGUUAAAACCAUAUUUGAUGUCAAAUCUUCACAACACACAUUCACUUUUCCUCUAAAGAAAUUAGUUUUACUGAAGCUGCCAAAUCUUGAAACUAUUUGGAAUGAAGAUCCUGCUGAAAUUGUUACAGAGCCUAAU